rnacentral:lncRNA from 1 species
CCUUGUGGUGAGACUAAAUUAGCUGCUUAUUCUGCAGGUUGCAUUCAGGAGAUCGAGCUGCCGGAUCGGAGGAGGUCAUAUCAGCCGUGUUGGUUGUGCACUUGUGUUGCUGCCGGCGGAGAAGCAACCAUGGUGAUCGGGCCACUGAUCUCCAUGGUGAUGAAGAAGGCAUCCAGCUACCUGCUGGACCAAUACAAGGUGAUGGAAGGCAUGAAGGAGCAGCGCAAGACCCUGGAGCGCAAGCUCCCAGCAAUCCUGCACAUCAUCCAGGAUGCGGAGGAGAAAGGAGCCUCCCGACCUGAAGUAGCAGCUUGGCUCAAAGACCUCAAGACAGCAGCCUAUGAGGCCAACGACGUCUUUGAUGAGUUCAAGUACGAGGCGCUUCGGCGAGAAGCCAAGAAGAAGGGCCACCACAGCAAGCUUGGAGCGGAGGUAGCAAGACUCCUCGUCCCCGCUCGUAAUCCCAUUGUAUUCCGUUACAGGAUGGGCAAGAAGCUACGCAAGAUUGUGCAGACCAUCGAGGCCUUGGUCACCGAGAUGAAUACAUUUGGUUUCAGGCACUUGCAGCAAGCACAGCCAUCAAGGCAGUGGCGACAGACAGAUUCCAUAAUCAUUGACUCCGACAGAGAUAUUCUUAGCAGAUCUAGAGAUCGGGAGAAGAAGAAAAUCGUGGGGAUGCUCCUUGAUCAAGCUAGCAACAGGGAUCUCAUGGUUCUUCCAAUUGUUGGGAUGGGUGGGAUGGGCAAGACCACCUUUGUGCAACUCAUUUACAAUGACCCUGCAAUCGAGAAGCACUUUGAGCUUCGAAGGUGGUGCUGCGUGUCAGAUGAUUUCGAUGUCAGUACCAUUGCAAGCAACAUCUGCCAGACCAAUGAGAAAUGUCGUGAAAAAUCAUUGCAGGAGCUCCAGAGUACAAUAAGUGGAAAAAGGUACCUCAUUGUGUUAGAUGAUGUAUGGAAUCGGGAUGCUGAUAAGUGGGGAAAACUAAAGACCUGCCUUAAACAGGGUGGCAAGGGCAGUGCAGUACUAACAACAACUCGUGAUGCAGAAGUGGCUCGCAUUAUGACCAUGGGUGUAGCUGAAGCCCAUAAUAUCGAGAAUCUGAGUGACGAGCAUUUAAAGGAAAUUGUCCAGAGCAGAGCAUUCAGCUUGCAAAAUCCAAAUAUAGAAGAGCAAGAUGGCAUUCUCAGUGGAUUUGUUCGUCGAUGCGUUGGAUCUCCCUUGGCUGCCAAAGCCUUUGGCUCUAUGUUGAGUAACAGGACUAGUAUAAAUGAAUGGAAGGAUGUAUUAGCUAAAAGUGACAUUUGUAGUGAGAAAACCGGAAUUUUACCGAUCCUCAAGCUCAGUUUUGAUGACCUAUCCCCAGAUAUGAAGCAGUGCUUUGCAUUUUGUGCUUUAUUUCCUAAAGAUUAUGAGAUUGAUGUGGACCUCUUGAUUCGACUGUGGAUGGCACAUGACUUCGUACCUGUGCAAGAGGAUGACAAUCCAGAAACCGUAGGAAAAUAUAUUUUCGAGGAGCUAACUCGGAGGUCAUUCUUUCAAGAUGUUAGGCAAACACGUCCAAUUGGCAAUCUUCGUAGGUCAACCAUAUGCAGGAUACAUGAUCUCAUGCACGACAUUGCUCUAUCAGUUCUGCGGAAAGAAUGUGUCACUAUAGUUGAUAAGCCGAGCGUCAACAAGCUGUUGCUAAAUCCGACCCGCCACCUCUUCUUAUCAAUAUACGGUGUUAGUCCUGUUUUCGUGCAAGAACAGGUUACAAGUCUAUUGAAGAAACAAACUGCAAUGCUCCAUACGUUGUUUAUCAAAGGUUAUGGUCAACCCCUUGAUAUAUCAAAGUACACUUCACUGCGAGCAUUACACCUUCCAGCAGAUAGGUUAUCAUGUGUAGGACAGGAACAGCUUACAAGACACAUACAGCACCUAAGGUAUCUUAAUCUGUCGUCACAUGAGUUCGAGAAACUUCCUGAAGGUAUAAGCAUGAUGUAUAAUCUACAAACGUUGGACCUCUCUCAUUGCAGACACCUUCGUCAACUUCCAAAGGAUAUGAAGUAUAUGGCAAACCUCCGACACCUCUAUACCCAUGGAUGCAAAUCAUUGACGUGCAUGCCUCCAGGACUUGGACAGAUCACUUCUCUGCGGACUCUAACUUAUUUUGUUAUUGGUGAUGGCUUGGGAUGUAGUACUAUUGCGGAACUUCAAAACUUAAAUCUUGGUGGAGAGUUAGAGUUAAGUGGUCUGCAAAAUGUAACAGAAGUGCUUGCAAAAGCAGCCAAUCUUGAAAAAAAAGAGAAACUCACAUACUUAUCUCUCAAGUGGAAUGAUGAUGCCCGUGAGAAACCAGAUUCUCAUAAUGAGGUGUUAGAUGCCCUUAAACCUCAUCAUCAGCUGGAGAUGCUAAGAAUAAAGUCCUACAAAGGCACCAAUUUACCGUCAUGGAUAACAGAUCUUAGUAUGUUGCAGCACUUGACUGAGCUCCAUCUGCUUGGUUGUAUGCUGUGUGAGGAAUUUCCUCAAUUCUGCCAUUUCAAAGCCCUUGAAGUUCUGCAUUUGGAAAAGUUGGACAAAUUGCGAAGCCUAUGCAGCCAUAUGGUGUCUACGCCAUUUCCAGCACUGAAGCAACUCCGGUUACAUGAUUUGGAGAGCUUGGAGAGAUGGGUCGCAACAGAAGGAAAAGAAGAUGAUGAAUUAACCUUUCCUCUACUUGAGGAGGUCGAUAUAGACAACUGUCCAAAGUUGACUAGCCUACCUGAAGCACCAAAGCUCAGGGUUGUAAGUUUGGAUGAAGGCAAGCCGCUGCUCUCCUUAGGAAUAGUUAAAUCAAGGCACAUGUCUUCAAUUUCUAAGCUAAAGCUGCGUGUCCAUGACACAGAAGCACUGCCUGAGAUAGAUUAUAAUUGGGAUUCAUCACAGAAACAGAAACUAUCUUUGGGUGGCACAGAAGCCGCACCUCUGUCAGAACUGAACAUAUCUGGCUGCAACUUUUUCUUCGUAUCAAGCCAGUCACAGCUAACACCUGGGGUCUGGAAAUGGUUUGAACAUCUUGUAUAUUUCACAAUUGAAAACUGUGAUGUGCUCAUCUACUGGCCAGAAGAAGUGUUCCAAAGCUUGGUAUCUUUGAAGGAGUUGUGGAUUCAGUCCUGCAACAAGCUAAUAGGGCCCACACAAGCGAAAGGUGUCGAACCUACACAAACGACAGAUCAACUCCUACCACAUCUAAACAUGAUACGUAUAUACUGUUGUGAAAGCAUGGCACAGCUCUUCAUUCUUCCCCCAUCUAUCAGACUUAUUCAUAUUGAGGAAUGCCCUAAGCUUGAGUUCAUAUGGGGAAAGGAGGAGCAUAUUGACACAUAUACAUCGCUGGAACAUUGCCGCGACCCUGCAUCCACCACUGGUAACCUAGAGCAAUCGCCGUCUCCAAUUAUUCGCCGUCCAUGCCUUGUAGAUCUAUCUAUAAGCAGUUGUGAUAGCCUGUUAACACUUCCAAAUCUACCACCGUCCCUCAAAUAUUUACACAUCUGGAGCUGUGAGAAGCUCUGCUCUGUGUCAGGAGACCUGUGUGCACUCGAGGAGCUACAUAUUUUUGACUGCAAUAAGUUACAGUCAGUCAAUUCCUUGGGAGACCACCCAUCAUUAGAAACACUGUAUCUUAAUCGCUGCCGAUGCCUUGCAUCUUUAGGAUGUGAUGGUGGUCGUGGAAGUUACUCUGCUCUUCAGAGCCAUAAGAUCGAAGACUGCCCAGCCAUAGACAUGAAGCAGUUUUACUAACGCCAUCAAACAGCUGCUUGACAGCUUUGAAUAUGAAGACGUAUCACACGUUCAUUCAAGCAGCUCUGAUGAAGGUACGACCUUUCACUUUCCUCUUAUUCAAUUUGUUUCCUUCAAAUUUCCCUGCUUUGCAUGCCCUCCUAUUUUGUUGACUAACUGGUGUAACCCCACAUAUUGGUGUUGAGAUCAGUUGAUGCGGAAUCACUGAAGUACUACUGAAACGAGAUCCUGAUCGGUCUCAGUUUUGGAGAGCAAUUUGUGGUGAACGGAGGCAGUCCAAGGCUUCAAGAACUCAUGGAGUCGUGCUGUACCAUUCUGCACUGCCAGGGCCAAAACAACACAAUUCCUUUAUAUAAGUUGGGUAAGUAAAAAACCAUGCCUUCGUCUGUGUUAAUCAAAUCUCAUUUAGCACAUAUAUGGGGACGUGUUGUUAACUUGUUACCCCAUGCUUUUCAUUUUUUCUGUGCAGACAUGACCCAUUUGUCCUUAAAAAGCAUAAAGGAGGGCACUCACAUGUACACACGACUGCUAUCUGGAAGCUUCAUUGCAGAUCUAGAGAUCAGGAGAAGAAGGAAAUCGUGGGGAUGCAGAUUUGCUUUCAACGGUCAAAACAGAGCUACAAAUGAUUAGUUGUAGUCGUGUGUGGUCCUUCCAUCACGAGUCGGUUUUUUCUUUUGCGCUAUAGAGAAGCUUUUCAGUUGUUGUCUCUUUUACGGUUGAUUUGAUUCCUUUUUUCCUUUCUAUGGGCCUGUUUGGCUCCACCCUAUUAAAGUUUAACACCUGUCACAUCGGAUGUUUGGAUGCUAAUUAGAAGUAUUAAAUAUAGACUGAUUACAAAACUAAUUGCACAGUUGGAGUGUAAUUCGCGAGACGAAUCUAUUAAGCCUAAUCAGUCCAUGAUUUGAUAAUGUGGUGCUACAGUAACCAUUUGCUAAUGGUGAAUUAAUUAGGCUUAAUAGAUUCGUCUCGCGAAUUAGCACAGGGUUCUGCAAUUAAUUUUAUAAUUAGCUUAUGUUUAAUUUUUCUAAUUAGGAUCCGAACAUUCGAUGUGACACUAUUAAAGUUUAGCACCUCGUAUCCAAACACCCCCUAUUAAUAUAACAUGAAAAUCCUCUUGCCAUCUUUUUUUAAAAAAAAUCGUAGGGAUGCUGCUUGAUGAAGCUAGCAACAUGGAUUUCAUGGUUCUUCCGAUUGUUGGAAUGGGUGGGAUAAGCAAGACCACCUUUAAUUUGUGCAACUCAUUUUUUCGGCUGUCAGAUGAACAUCCGAUGCGUUUCCUUCAUCUUCUAGUAAGUAUAUAUCUAGGUGCAUAGUAAAAAUUAUAUAUCUAGAAAAAAUGACCUACAAUUUAAAAUGGAGGGAUUACGUUGGAACAUCAACCAAACAAAUGGACGAACCCGUUUAAUUAUUUGGCCUCCAAGAAUGCUAUACGACCUGAAUGAAUAACUGAAGGCUAUCAAGGCACUUAUUGUUGUACAUAGGAACUGAGCUUGACUUAGAUAUAUUUAUUUGCAAACAGGUGUGAAAUGUGAUACAAUAAUUCAGAAAGCUAGACGUCGUGAGCCAUCCGAGAGAUAAGAAGAAGCUUCUCAUUACGGUGCACAUCCAUCCCAUACGACUCUGACAUUUCGAUGCCUGUCAACACUGGCGGAAGCUCCCAAUUGAAGUGGUAGAUGAGGUUGGCAAGAAUGAUUUCGAAAGUGGCGGUGGUGAAGUUUAUACCCAGGCACAUCCUUCGCCCAGACCCAAACAGCAAGAAACAGAAGUCGUUCCCCCGGAAGUCGGAAGCAGCAUCCAUGGCUUCUUCCAUGAACCGCUCGGGCAUGAACUCCUCUGCACUCUCCCAGUAGGUGGUGUCCCUGCAUAGAGCCCACGCGUUGACGAUUACACGUGUCCCGAAGGGUAUGGUAUAGCCCUCCACAUUGCAUUCCGACUUUUUUAUUUUUUGAACUUUUUUUUGAAAGAUUCUUACAAAUAGGUCCUUGGCGAAAACAUUUCAAAAUCUGGACCCUUAGCUUGGCGCCACCAUCGUACACGUCUCGGCGCUAGCGGCUCUGGCGCCUAGGUCAUUGCGCAGCUGGUGACGUGGAUGCUGACAUGGCGGGGGCUUGGCACCAAGGUGGAUGACGCCAAGCUUCGUAUUUCAACCACCUGCCUCCUUCCUACCCGAGCCUUCCUCCUCUUCUUUCUCCUCCCUCUCGGAUUUUUUCUCUCCCCACUUCACCCUACAUCACGAAUCGGCCUAUUGGAUCUUGAAAACUUUGAUUUGAUCCGUGGAUCUUCGAGAGCAAGGUAUCCUCGCUCCCUCAUAGUUUUUUUUCACGUCGAUUCGGUAUAUAUUAGUCGGAGUUUUGAACUUAGGGUUCAUGCAACCGUAGGAUGUCAAGGCGUGGAAAAGCUAGGAAACUAAGGUAACCUCAACGCACGUUGUUAUGUUAUGGGUUCAUUGUUGUGGAUCGAAUGGGAAACCCUAGGUAUAGGUUUAAUGUUAAUUGCUUUCGGUUCUUACAACGAAAUGGACUAAAUUGUAGUUAUGGCGGGAUGACUGGAAAUGCCUUCGACCCAUUGCCUCUGCCAAGUGGUGUUCCAGUGCCCAUGUGCUUUUACAGCGAUCCUUGCAAGGUAGCCAAGUCCGAUGCAGAGGACACGUAUAGGAAGAGGUAUUGGAUGUGUUCCAAUUUUGCGUUUGAGCCUACACUUCGUCAGCGCCGCAUUAACAAGAUGGUGAGAAAUUGAUGUUGUCUAAUAAUUAUUUUGUUUCGUAUGACAUCUUGCAUGAUUUUUUUAUUUUCUAACAAUUGCAUUUGUUGCAAACCCCUCUACUGCUCUGUGAUUUUGAGCAGUGGAUUGACACUGAGAUCAAGCCUGAAGAUAAGGAGGAGAUGCAGGAAAUGUUGCGGUGGGAGGCAGAGAAGAAGGAGACAACGGAGAACAGACACAGAGAGGAGGCUGCAGAAAAGGAGCACAAGGAAAAGGAGAAAAAGAGGCAUGCUGCUGCGAACAGGGAGGAGAGGGAGAAGAAGCUUGAGCGUGCACGCUGAGCGAAAGCAGCGAUUGAGGAGAAUCCCAAUGCCCUGAGGAAGGGAAAGUGGCCUCGUUGCACACAGUAGUCUUCAGUACUUGCUAGUUCUAUGGUUUAUUCAUGAACAAUGUUAUCUACUGUUGGACUUUUCAUUGUGUUGUCAUGUAAUGGACUUUAAGUAUGGAUGAUGAUAAAAAGAAGUACCGACAGAUGCUCAUCACUGAAUCAACACAUGCCAUCGAAAUUUUGGCAGAAUUUCCCCUAUUAUUUUUACACAAUCCAUACAUGUAAGUGAGAUGAAUUUUUAACCUCAAUACAACAUGUUCAAACAUACAAAUAUAUGCCACAUUCAUAAUGAAAGUCCACAAAAUGCAUAAUGAAAGUCCACAAAGUUCAUAAUGAAAGUCCACAAUAGUACAUAUACACAAUAGUUCAUAAUAAAAGUCCAUAUACACAUUAGUUCAUAAUAAUAGUCCAUAUACACAAUAGUUCAUAAUGAAAGUCCACAAAGUCCAUGUUAUUACAUAAUAACAUCUACCACAAACGUUCACUACCUCCUAGUCUUACCCUUACCCUUGUGACCAAGAGUGUCGGUACCUGGAGUGUAAGGGGAAGGUGGACGAUAUCUCCUAGUGCCUGCAAGCUGUGUAGGCUGAGUCAAGGGAGCGUCCUGGAGCUGAAACGGGCCAAGCUCUUCGUGCCUCUCGUCAUCCUCAUCCUCGUAUGCAAUGCCUUUGGCCUGUGUAGCUGCUUGGCUAGACGAACCUAUGCCUCCUCUGCUUGAGGAAGGAACAUGCAUGUCUCGCAUUGUGGCUGUCCUGCAACCACAAUGAGCAGCCGCACGGCGUAGCCGACGUGAUAGUCUCUAUUGUACAAGAAAUAGGUUAAGUGAAAGAAUUUAACGUAUUAAUAAUAUAUUUGAAAGCAUAUUUAGAAUCUUAUGUCUAGGAAGCUACGCGUCUCGUCGUCUCUGACUCUCGGACGAAACUGCUCAAUGUCUUCAACCGAGGUUUUGAGGGUAUGGCCCUACAACAAAGUAAAUGUACCAUCAUUAAAUCACUAAGUCACUAUCUACCUAAAUCACUAAGUCAGUAUCUACCUAAAUCACUAAAUCACUAAAUCUACCUAAAUCACUUAAGUCAACUAAUCACUAAGUCACUUAACAUAGAAAAAUAAGGCAAUUGACUUACCAAUCUAUCCAAGAUUGGUCCUGCCUCCACUUGCCUUCCUACACAAGUACUUCGGUCGUAUGUCGUGUCUUCAUCGUCGAAGGACUCGAUGUCGCUGUAGUCAUCUUGUGUCCAUUGUAGCCUCAGCCUGCAACGGCUCGCACCUUGGUACCAAGCUUGGUAUCGCAUGUACUCACUGUUUGUGUGCGGCUCGUUGUUCUCAUCCACGUUGUCGUGGAACUCCUCCCAUUGCUCAAUGUAAGGCUGGUGGUAUACAUGUCACUCAAAAACCUUCCUGUUCUUCUUAUGAUCCAACCUGCACGUCACGUAAGAUGUAUAACUGCCCAUAGUCGUAUAACCUGAGUUAAUGUAAGGGACCAUCAUGAGAUAAUUGAAAUAGCAAAACACUUCCUUGUGUAAACUCUACGCCAGUCGAGAAUGGAGCCGUUGGCCCAAAUCUGUUCUCAUGCCAAAUUAGAGUGCAACUCGAUCAGGCUGGGUGGAACUCGACCGGCAUAGAAAACAUAUAAGAGGGCACCUCAUCUGUAUAAAGUCAUCCAUCGCUCGCACACAUGGUGCUCAAAAGGAAAAGUAAGUGCCCCCUCUCCCUAUGUAUGGCUCCCACGACACCUGCAACAUGUCCAAACAAGAUGUCAGAUGAUAUACUAAAACUAAUUGAAAUCAGCAUGGGAAAUAAAAUGUACUUACACUAGACACCGUGAGCGUGUCUAGCUCGUUCGUGAAAUCAUGGUACGCCCACUCCAACAUCGUGUGUAGAACCCUAACCUGGUCCCAAAGGUACGCCCACGUAGGAUGCUGUCUCGGAGGCUGACCUGGGAACCACUCAUGGCGAGACAGAACCUCAGGACGGCCAACUGGUAGACGCGCCCACAUCCACAACUGCUGUAGGUACACACAUCCACCAAGUGAUGCUGAGGAUGAAGACCGACGACAAGCCUCGCACAGCUGCAGGUAGAGAAAACCCAACAUUGCAGAGCCCCAGCUGUACUGACCCGCCUGGUGCCAGUCGGUGAGGCAGUGGAUCCAAAACCACAAUGUAGUGUCACCCGUGGCAUCGGGGAAGAGAAUGCAUGCAAAGAGGUGUAGGAUCCAUGCCCUGCAGUAGUUCUCAACUGUUUGCUCAUUUACAUCCUCGAGGCAUUGUGCAAACUGUUGCCGGAGCCAGGAGAUUAGAACACCAGAAGUGUGAGCACCUUGCUCGUCAACCUCAUGCCCAAGGAAGGCUGCUACUCGUUCUCUCCAACCAUCUGACCUGCACGGCCCAGUCACUGCAUCACCGCGAAUCGUCAAACCUAACAUCUUCUGACAGUCCUCAAACGUAACUAUUAUCUCUCCGAAAGGCAAGUGAAAGGUAUGAAUCUCAGGCCGCCACCUACAGUUUAGACAAAGGAAGAUUACAUGUCAAAUAGGCUAGGGCAUGAACGAUUGGCUAUGAAUGGACGCAAUGAUUGAAGAUAGUACCUGUCAACCAACGCUGUUAUGGCUGCUGAGUUGAACUUGGGCAACCCAUGACGAACCUGAAAUGAGAUGACAUCUAGGCCAGCAGCUUGCACCAUAGGAGUGUACCGGUCGUCGUACCGCAUGUCCAAGAACCCAUCGUGGGUUCUAGAACCAAGGAGCGGAAGGUCAUGCAUGCAAUGAAACAGAGUCUUCCGUUAUUUCACGAACAACACAUGUACGCUUACAAAAAAUCAAUCAACACGUACAUAUUAUUACUACCCCCCCACCCCCCGCUAUGAGACAUCCUUGAUGGGUCUGGUCGUACACCGGGUCGAGCAAGUGGAGUUGCGCCAUCCUACAAAAAAUCAAUGAAAUAUAAAUUAAGUAUGCAGUGAAACAUAAACUUAGAAAUGUACAAAUAAUUGACACAAUUGCAAGUAUAAAUUGAGACAUGCAUAAUUAAUUGAGUGGAUACGACAUAUAUGAAAUAAUGAAAAGAACCACUAGUCGCACCUCACUACUCUGCCAAUGGCACGUGCAUGAACUGUGGUCCAGUCUACCGCACUUGCUGCACUCGUUCUGCUCGGGGUCAGUAAGAAAUGGGGUUGCCCUACCACGCCUCGCUCUUCCGGGUAUUUGAUCCAUAACCAUCAUGUGCCUCGUCCUCUUUCUUGAUCCACGCCUGUUCCAACGGUAAGCUGGAUCCGCAAUGUACUUUAGCCCAUCAUCAACAUGAGGGACAUGACUAGUAUUCCAACAGAUGCGCUCCUAUUCUUUCUGCACUUCUGCUCCCAUCUCCGUGUCAAAUUGUAUUACGGGUGUAGUUUAGCACUGAACAACAUGAUUUUGUGGUGCUGGGAUUGAAUCAUAGGAGUGCUAUUUGUGUGUCCGGAGCCAACUUUGACUGAUCUGAAUUUUGGUAAAAUUUCAUCCGAAUUUGUUUAAAAUCCAGUUGAAUCCAGGCCCGAAAUUUCCUGAAUUUCCGAAUUUCGUCCAUUUCGGAAGGCUCCGAAUUUUUUCAACUUUUGAAUCCCAGAACCUUGGUUGAGAAGCGGAGAGAUGGGAGACCUAGUUUUCAUCUUCGUUGCCUCGUUGGAGGGGAAUACUGCAUCUGGAGGAAUCGCGCGGAGGACAAGCUCAUGGAAGGCCCCGCUUUCGAUUACAGAGAAAAUCUUCGUUGGUCCGUGGGAUUUGAUUACAGCGAAGGCGAAGCAAACAUGUUUAACCGGUAUCUGAUUACAUGGUACCAGAUACGGAGCGAUUUUUACUGAAACAAACAUCACCUAGAGCUGACUAUUAUAUUCAAAUACUGACAAAAAGUAGAAUACUUCUCAGACAAGCCAGCCAUUACAACAAUAACAACACAACAACUGGAUUACCGGCGUGUCACAAUAACACACAACAAGAAGCUACGUACCACGAAGCAACAGAAACAGCACUCUUGCAAAUUAAGGGAUAAACAACACCCCCAAGGAAAUGGCGAUGAAAUUAAACCAGGCCCCGCCUGCAGAGCUUUGAGCACCUACACAUAUAUAGCAGGUGCAUGCAGCUCUCUAUUACAGAAACAGUAGAUCGAAAACGACGAGCAACCAAGCAUCGAGCAGCAACACUACUUACUUCUUCUCUCAAUGCAAGCAGGAAGAGAAGGCAAGCUAGCGAGCUGAUCAGCAGAGAAGUCGCCGGGAUUCAGAUGACUGCCGCGGUCGGCGUGCAGCGGCGCUCGCAGAAGUUUCCAGCAAAAUGCGGAACUUCAAGCGGGCCGGGGCUCCUAGAUAGCAUGUACAUCUUUGGGCUUGUUCGCUUCAGCUUAUAAGCCGGCUGAAAAGCUGAAACGGCUGAUUUGUUGUAAGAGGAAAACACUGUUUGGUGGCUGAUAAGCCGGCUGAAUAAGCUGAAGCGAACAGGCCGUUUGAUCCAACAGCAGCCCAUGAACAACAAACAGUAGCAGCAGCUAGCGUAUGAGGGUGGUGUGUGGUGGGGCCAAAGGCCAAUCUUGCAAGACAGCAGGAAGGAGCGUAACAUGCAUGCCCGUGUGCAGUACUGCCGUGGGUGUUGAGCACUUUUUUUUCUUGCUCCCGUUGUACUCAUGGAAACAUUUCAAAAGUAUAGAUUCAAUAUUUUGCAUAUUAUUUAAACAUUUCAAACAUUUAUGGAAACCACAUUUUAGAUAAACUGGUUCAAUAUUUUGCAUAAUAUUGUUGAAAUAGUGUACCUUAAACGUUGAGCUAAAUAUAUAAAAAUGUUGAGCUAAUAUAUCUAAAAUGAUGAAACUAAGAAAAUAAAGAUGAAAAAAAUAUAUACAGUCAUGUGGGAUCUCAAUCCGUUAGAAAAAUUUCGAAAAGGCUCAUAGUUUAUUCGGAAUUAAAAUUAAAUGAACCGUUAGAGAGAUAAGUAAGUUGAAAAGUUCGAAAUCAAAACUCACAUCACCCAACAAGUAGCUGACACCUAUCCGUCCUUUCAGCAGCUCCACCCACCUCGCGCCAGCAUACUAGCACAUGGUGGUCCCCAGCCACCUCUCGCCAGAUCGCAGUGCCCGAUGGGAGAUCCGGCGAUGCCGUUGCGUCGAAGGAGAGGGCGGAACCGACGAGGGUCGCCGGCGGCUCCCACCCCGAACGCGUCCUGACCCACUCCGGCAGGGCCUCCCGCAGGUACGGUGAGCGCUUCCAUCCGUGGUCCGCAAGCAGUAAUGUCUGAUUUUUCGCUUUCUUCUCCGGAAUUCGUCACAUAUGUCAUCGUCCUGUGUUUAUAUAUCCUUUUUAUGCUGCAAAGCUUUCACGAUUUUGAUGAGAGAUUUGUUCAUGUUUGUGCCCACAUAGUAGUCAAUGUGCCACUAGUACUGAUUGCAAUACGUACGGAAAUUGGUUUUGUGUCUGUUCUUUCUCCAUCUCAAUCAUCAAUCAAAUGGGGGUAGUCGUCGGUACGCCGGGUGGGCCGAGUUGGCCAAACUGCACAGUGGUGGUGGCAGCCAAGGUGUUGUUCAAGGUCGGGCUGGCACGCACACGGCCGUACCACAUCAGGGUGUGUCCUGCUUCCCCGUCAACUUCCUCAAUACGACUCGGUACGCCACUGUACCUAAUCCUCCAAAACUCCAACUCCAAAGGCUCGCUGAACGGAAAAAAAUUCUAGGAGGACGGUCCCCAAAUCCUUCUCCGUGAGGAUCCACUCCCGAUGGUUGCAGGCAUGGCAACAUAUAAUUGAUCCGCCGCCACCAACGACUGAGGUUUCUUCCACCUCGUCAACUACCACCACCUCCUCCACCCACCUCUCUUCUUCUCCGGCUACCCUGCGCGCGCCCUCGCCGCCGUGCGUGCCUCCAGCGAGCUCCCAGGCCCCGACGGCGCCAGCACUACGGCCGCGCCCCGGUGGCCGGCGGCGUCUCCUACUCCUCUAACGUGGACCUGUUCCGCUCGCCUUCAGCUGCCGUGGGAGCCGCGUAAUGGAGGAGGGUGGUGGGCCAAGCGACAGCUAGCUGUGGUGUGGUGGGCAUCCUCAUUUACUAAUCUCCACCCACCUUCCGAUGAAUAAAAAUUGACCUCUUUAUGCUGCCUUUGUCAUNNNNNNNNNNNNNNNNNNNNNNNNNNNNNNNNNNNNNNNNNNNNNNNNNNNNNNNNNNNNNNNNNNNNNNNNNNNNNNNNNNNNNNNNNNNNNNNNNNNNCAUCUAAGGUUAGCAGCCUCUUUCAGUGUACAAAUGAUUAUGCACCUAAUACUUUCCUCACCUUUGCAGUGCCGUGGGCCGCCACUUCCCUUCUGGCCCACAUGUCAUGGAGGCGCGCGAGGAGGGGGAUCGGUUUCACGUAUGAUUAAUAAAGAAAGGCCCAAGACACGUCACGCUGCGGGGGACAAGGGAAGACACCGCACCGCACGCACCUCCACCACUUGCGUUGCCUUUGCCUUUGCUUUUCCCCUAGCUCGCCCGCCUAGGAGCUCCAGCAGCCGGUCCGCUCCGCCGCCGGUGCGGCAACCACGCCGCCGUCAGAUCGCCUCGCGCGGCCACGCGGCCACCGAUCGUCCCCGCGAUACACCGCCGCCGGUGCGCCGUGCGCGGCGGCGCUGUCCCGCCGCUCCUCCGCCUACCGUCGGCCUGCGCCACCGCCAGCGCACCGGCAGCACCGCGAGCUGCUGCGCCGCCCCGACGUUGGUCCUUCCUGAGCCCGGUGUCGUCACCAGCGUCGCGGAGAAGCUAAUUACCUGGAGCAAUUUGUAGAAACAAAUAGUACUGGUUCGUUCACUUAUUUCUUUGCUCAAACUUAAUUUCUGCUUAGAGUUUGUGCCUAAAUUAGCUGCUUAUUCUGCUGGUUGCACGCAGGAGAUCGAGCUGCGGGCGUACGGCCGGAUCGGAGGAGGACAUAUCAGCCGGGUUCCUGUUGGUUGUGUACUUGUGUUCCUGCCGGCGGAGAAGCAACCAUGGCCGAGUUACUGAUCGGGCCACUGAUCUCCAUGGUGAAGGAGAAGGCAUCCAGCUACCUGCUGGACCAAUACAAGGUGAUGGAAGGCAUGGAGGAGCAGCGCAAGACCCUGGAGCGCAAGCUGCCAGCAAUCCUGCACAUCAUCCAGGAUGCGGAGGAGAAAGGAGCCUCCCGACCUGAAGUUGCAGUUUGGCUUAAAGACCUCAAGACAGCGGCCUAUGAGGCCAACGACGUCUUUGAUGAGUUCAAGUACGAGGCGCUUCGGCGAGAAGCCAAGAAGAAGGGCCACCACAGCAAGCUUGGAAAUGAGGUAGCAAGACUCCUAGUCCCCGCUCGUAAUCCCAUUGUAUUCCGUUACAGGAUGGGCAAGAAGCUACGCAGGAUUGUGCAGACCAUCGAGGCCUUGGUCACCGAGAUGAAUACAUUUGGUUUCAGGCACUUGCAGCAAGCACAGCCAUCAAGGCAGUGGCGACAGACAGAUUCCAUAAUCAUUGACUCCGACAGAGAUAUUCUUAGCAGAUCUAGAGAUCGGGAGAAGAAGAAAAUCGUGGGGAUGCUCCUUGAUCAAGCUAGCAACAGGGAUCUCAUGGUUCUUCCAAUUGUUGGGAUGGGUGGGAUGGGCAAGACCACCUUUGUGUUGGAGUUGUUCUAAAUUCACUCCAGGAAUAAAGGCCGACCUUCCCGACCCUUGACACUCAGGGUCGGGCGAGGCGGAGAAUCUCCCGACCCCGGGACUCGGGGUCGGGCGAGGCGGAGCGUCUCCCGACCCAGGCUUGAGGUCGGGCGAGUCGGAGAUCGACCCUCAAGGGGUCAGGCGCAUCCGACCCCAGGCUUGAGGUCGGGCGAGGCGGAGUCCCAGGCGCAUCCGACUCCAGGACAAAGGACUCAGGGUCAGACGAGAAGGAGUUCCAUCCUUGUACGGGACCAAGAGUCCGUACAGCUCAAUACCCCCUGUCUGGGGUUUCGGUACUAUAUAUACAUACACCCUUGCUAGGGUUUUGGGUGGUGACAGAAGAGAUAGAAGAGAGAGAGAUUAUCAGAUUCUCUUGUAAGCCGCCAUAGGCGUGUAGCCCUAAACUCUUGAUAUAGUGAGAUUGUUGCCGGCUGGUGCCCGUGGUUUUUCCUCUUCACAUUGAAGGGGUUUUCCACGUAAAUCGUGUGUCUUCUUUUGUGGUUUGAUUCUUUACUUCAUAUUCCAUACGUCGUACCUAACAAGUGGUAUCAGAGCUUUGGUUGCUGUUUGGAUUUCAUGUCGACGUCGAUGAAGUUUGAUCUACCGCUGCUGAACUACGACACGCGGUUCUCUCUAUGGCAAGUCAAGAUGAGAGGAAUUCUAGCGCAAACUCAUGAUUAUGAUGAGGCGCUGGAUAGCUUCGGAAAGAAGACAAAGGCCGAGUGGACUCCAGAAGAGAUCCGCAAGGAUCAGAAAGCACUCGCCCUAAUACAGUUACAUCUUCAUAAUGAUAUUUUGCAGGAGUGUCUGAAAGAAAAAACUGCUGCAGAACUAUGGCUGAAACUGGAAUCGAUCUGUAUGUCCAAGGAUCUAACCAGUAAGAUGCAAAUGAAGAUGAAGCUGUUCACCUUGAAGAUGAAGGAGGAAGAUUUAGUGAUGAACCACAUCACUGAAUUCAAGAAGAUCGUCGCCGAUCUAGUAUCAAUGGAGGUGAAGUAUGAUGAUGAGGACUUAGGUCUUUUACUGUUAUGUUCUUUGCCAACUUCAUAUGCAAAUUUUCGUGACACCAUACUCUUGAGCCGUGAUGAACUAACCUUAAAGGAAGUUUAUGAGGCUCUCCAAUCAAGGGAGAAGAUGAAAGGUAUGGUGCAGACUGACAGAACGUCGUCCUCCAGAGGCGAUGCUUUGCUUGUGAGAGGCAGAACUGAUAACAGAUCCUCCAAUGAUGAUGGAAGAAAAAACUAUGAAAGGAGAGGCCGUUCAAAGUCCAAGCCGCAUGGUAACAAAAAAUUCUGUGUCUAUUGCAAGCUAACAAAUCACAAUGUUGAGGAUUGCAGAAAAGUACAGAAUAAGGAGAAGAAGAAAAACAAGUCGGCUGGUAAGGUCUCUGUUGCUGCUGCCGUGUCUGAUGAAGAAUCUGGAGAUGGUCUGGUGGUAUUUGCCGGUUGUGUUGCUGGUCAUGAUGAGUGGAUCCUUGAUUCUGCAUGUUCAUUUCAUAUUUGCAUUAACAGAAAUUGGUUUAGCUCUUAUAAGUCUAUGCCGAAAGGAGAUGUUGUGCGGAUGGGAGAUAAUACCCCGUGUGAUAUUAUGGGAAUUGGAUCAGUUCAGAUCAAGACUCAUGAUGGCAUGACACGCACUCUGAAAAACGUCAGGUACAUACCAGGGAUGUCCAGAAAUCUUAUUUCAUUGAGCACGCUUGAUGCAAAAGGUUACAAAUAUUCCGGUUCGGAUGGUGUUCUGAAGGUAUCAAGAGGUAAUCUUGUCUGCUUGAAAGGUGAUCUCAAUUCUGCAAACUUAUAUGUCCUUAGAGGGUGUACUUUACCUGGUUCUGAUUCCGCUGUUGCUGCUGUUACUAAUGAGGAACCUAGUAAAACUAACCUUUGGCAUAUGCGUCUGGGACAUAUGAGUCACCAUGGUAUGGCAGAAUUGAUGAGGAGAAACCUACUGGAUGGCUGCACUUCGAGUAAAAUGAAGUUAUGUGAGCACUGUAUUUUCGGGAAGCAUAAAAGGGUACAUUUCAACACUUCUGUUCACACCACUAAAGGUACUCUUGAUUAUAUUCAUGCUGAUUUAUGGGGUCCUUCCCGUAAGUCCUCGCUUGGUGGUGCUCGUUACAUGCUCACAAUUAUUGACGAUUACUCUAGAAGGGUGUGGCCUUAUUUUCUGAAACAGAAAGAUGAUACCUUUGCUGCUUUUAAGGACUGGAAGGUCAUGAUUGAAAGGCAAACUGAAAGGAAGGUGAAAUUGCUUCGUACUGAUAAUGGUGGAGAAUUUUGUUCGCGUGAAUUUAAUGAUUAUUGCAGAUCAGAAGGUAUUGUAAGGCAUCACACCAUACCCUAUACUCCACAACAGAAUGGUGUGGCCGAACGCAUGAACAGAUCCAUCAUAUCCAAGGCCCGUUGCAUGCUGUCUAAUGCCAGGAUGAGCAAGCGUUUUUGGGCUGAAGCUGCUAAUACUGCCUGUUACUUGAUAAACAGGUCACCUUCUAUUCCACUAAAUAAAAGAACUCCCAUUGAGGUAUGGUCUGGAACGCCUGCUGAUUACUCACAGUUGAAAGUUUUUGGAUGCACUGCAUAUGCUCAUGUUGAUAAUGGAAAAUUAGAGCCUAGAGCUGUUAAAUGUCUUUUCCUUGGUUAUGGUUCGGGUGUCAAAGGCUAUAAAUUGUGGAACCCGGAAACAGAAAAGACCUUCAUGAGCAGAAGUGUUAUUUUCAAUGAAUCUGUGAUGUUUACUGACAGCUUACCCUCAGAUCAAGUUCCAGACAAAGGACUGCAGCGUAUGCGCAUGCAGGUGGAGAACGCUCGUAAUGAUGUUGAUAACCCCGACCCCUUGGUCUCGGGGUCGGAUGCGCCAGACCCCUUGGCUCCAGGGUCGGCUGAUGCUCAAGCGCCAGACCCCUUGGCUCCGGGGUCGGAUGUUGCUGCGCCAGACCCCUUGGCUCCGGGGACGGAUGUUGCUGAUGCGCCAGACCCCUCAAUCUCGGGGUCGGCUGAUGCUCAUGAUAAUGUCCAGCAAACUCCAGAGGAGGAUCUACCCAUUGCUCAACGCAAGUCCAAAAGGACAGUUGCCCCUCCUAACCGCCUCAUUGAAGAGUGUAAUUUGUCUUACCAUGCUUUGAGUUGUGCUGAACAGGUGGAGAAUGUUCAUGAGCCAGCAACCUAUAAAGAAGCUAUUCAUUGUGGCGAUACUGAAAAUUGGAUUUCGGCCAUGCAUGAGGAGAUGCAAUCUCUUGAGAAGAACAGUACAUGGGAACUUGUACCUUUGCCUAAGAAUAAGAAGGCCAUCCGCUGCAAAUGGAUCUUCAAAAGAAAGGAGGGUUUAUCUCCAAGAGAGCCUCCGAAAUAUAAGGCAAGGUUAGUUGCAAAAGGCUACAGCCAAAUUCCGGGUGUCGACUACAAUGAUGUUUUCUCUCCAGUGGUAAAACACAGUUCAAUUCGCACUUUCCUUAGUGUUGUUGCUUCACAUGAUCUUGAGCUUGAGCAGUUAGAUGUGAAGACUGCGUUUUUGCAUGGAGAGCUCGAGGAGGACAUAUACAUGAACCAACCAGAAGGUUUCAUAGUGCCUGGCAAGGAGAAAUAUGUGUGCAAGUUGAAAAGAUCCUUGUAUGGUUUGAAACAGUCCCCUCGACAGUGGAACAAGAGGUUUGAUUCAUUUAUGUUAUCACACAGUUUUAAAAGAUCUAAGUAUGAUAGCUGUGUUUAUAUCAAGCAUGUUAAUGGAUCACCUAUAUACUUGCUGAUAUACGUUGAUGAUAUGUUGAUUGCUGCCAAGAGUAAGACUGAAAUAAAUAAGUUAAAGAAGCUAUUGAGUAGCGGUUUUGAUAUGAAAGAUCUUGGUAGUGCUAAGAAAAUUCUUGGUAUGGAAAUUAGUAGAGACCGAAAUUCUGGUUUGCUAUUUCUUAGUCAACAGAAUUAUAUCAAGAAAGUUCUUCAGCGUUUCAACAUGCAAGAUGCUAAGGCUGUAAGUACUCCUAUUGCACCUCACUUCAAGUUGUCAGCUGCUCAGUGUCCUAGUACAGAUGCAGAGGUCAAAUACAUGUCAAAGAUUCCUUAUUCUAGUGCUGUUGGGUCCUUGAUGUAUGCCAUGGUUUGCUCUCGCCCAGAUUUGUCAUAUGCUAUGAGUCUUGUUAGUAGAUAUAUGUCUAAUCCCAGCAAAGAACAUUGGAGGGCAGUUCAGUGGAUUUUCAGAUACCUCAAAGGCACAGCAAAUUCCUGUUUAAAGUUUGGAAGAACUGAUGAGGGUCUUAUUGGCUAUGUGGACUCAGAUUAUGCUGCUGAUCUGGACAGGCGAAGAUCACUCACAGGCUAUGUGUUUACUGUUGGCAGUUGUGCUGUGAGUUGGAAGGCUACUUUACAGUCGGUUGUUGCUUUGUCUACUACUGAAGCAGAAUAUAUGGCGAUUUGUGAAGCGUGCAAAGAAUUGAUUUGGCUGAAAGGUUUGUACGCCGAACUUUGUGGAAUUGAAUCUUGCAUAAGUUUGCACUGUGACAGUCAAAGUGCAAUUUACCUCACUAAAGAUCAACUGUUCCAUGAGAGAACUAAGCACAUUGAUAUCAAGUAUCAUUUUGUGCGUGAUGUGAUUGAAGAAGGUAAGCUAAAGGUAUGCAAGAUCAGUACUCAUGAUAAUCCUGCCGAUAUGAUGACAAAGCCUGUUCCUGUUACUAAGUUUGAGCUGUGCUCAGGCUUAGUUGGUUUAAUUGGAUAGUCCAAGAGACUAUUAUUGGCACCAGUGGUUUUUCCUGUCUUUGUUCUGUUCAGAAUGAAGGGUUGAUGAUACAAGAUGAAUUUGUCUCAAGGUGGAGUUUGUUGGAGUUGUUCCAAAUUCACUCCAGGAAUAAAGGCCGACCUUCCCGACCCUUGACACUCAGGGUCGGGCGAGGCGGAGAAUCUCCCGACCCCGGGACUCGGGGUCGGGCGAGGCGGAGCGUCUCCCGACCCCAGGCUUGAGGUCGGGCGAGUCGGAGAUCGACCCUCAAGGGGUCAGGCGCAUCCGACCCCAGGCUUGAGGUCGGGCGAGGCGGAGUCCCAGGCGCAUCCGACUCCAGGACGAAGGACUCAGGGUCAGACGAGAAGGAGUUCCAUCCUUGUACGGGACCAAGAGUCCGUACAGCUCAAUACCCCCUGUCUGGGGUUUCGGUACUAUAUAUACAUACACCCUUGCUAGGGUUUUGGGUGGUGACAGAAGAGAUAGAAGAGAGAGAGAUUAUCAGAUUCUCUUGUAAGCCGCCAUAGGCGUGUAGCCCUAAACUCUUGAUAUAGUGAGAUUGUUGCCGGCUGGUGCCCGUGGUUUUUCCUCUUCACAUUGAAGGGGUUUUCCACGUAAAUCGUGUGUCUUCUUUUGUGGUUUGAUUCUUUACUUCAUAUUCCAUACGUCGUACCUAACACUUUGUGCAACUCAUUUACAAUGACCCUGCAAUCGAGAAGCACUUUGAGUUUCGGAGGUGGUGCUGCGUGUCAGAUGAUUUCGAUGUCAGUACCAUUGCAAGCAACAUCUGCCAGACCAAUGAGAAAUAUCGUGAAAAAUCAUUGCAGGAGCUCCAGAGUACAAUAAGUGGGAAAAGGUACCUCAUUGUGUUAGAUGAUGUCUGGAAUCGGGAUGGUGAUAAGUGGGGAAAACUAAAGGCCUGCCUUAAGCAGGGUGGCAAGGGCAGUGCAGUACUAACAACAACUCGUGAUGCAGAAGUGGCUCGCAUUAUGACCAUGGGUGUAGCUGAAGCCCAUAAUAUCGAGAAUCUGAGUGACGAGCAUUUAAAGGAAAUUGUCCAGAGCAGAGCAUUCAGCUUGCAAAAUCCAAAUAUGGAAGAGCAAGAUGGCAUUCUCAGUGGAUUUGUUCGUCGAUGCGUUGGAUCUCCCUUGGCUGCCAAAGCCUUUGGCUCUAUGUUGAGUAACAGGACUAGUGUAAAUGAAUGGAAGGAUGUAUUAGCUAAAAGUGACAUUUGUAGUGAGAAAACCGGAAUUUUACCGAUCCUCAAGCUCAGUUUUGAUGACCUAUCCUCAGAUAUGAAGCAGUGCUUUGCAUUUUGUGCUUUAUUUCCUAAAGAUUAUGAGAUUGAUGUGGACCUCUUGAUUCGACUGUGGAUGGCACAUGACUUCAUACCUGUGCAGGAGGAUGACAAUCUAGAAACCGUAGGAAAAUAUAUUUUUGAGGAGCUAACUCGGAGGUCAUUCUUUCAAGAGGUCAGGCAAACACUUCAAUUUGGCUAUUUUGGAAGGUCGUCACUUCGUAAGUCAACCAUAUGCAAGAUACAUGAUCUCAUGCAUGACAUUGCUCUAUCUGUUCUGGGGAAAGAAUGUGUCACUAUAGUUGGUAAGCCGAGCAUCAACAAGGUGUUGCUAAAUCCGACCCGCCACGUCUUCUUAUCAACAAGGUGUUCUCAUUUCUGGAAAGAACAGGUUACAAGUCUACUAGAUCAUCUAUUGAAGAAACAAACUGCAAUGCUCCAUACGUUGUUUAUCAAAGGUUAUGGUCAACCCCUUGAUAUAUCAAAGUACACUUCACUGCGAGCAUUACACCUUCCAGCAUAUAUAUAUAUACCAUGUUCAGGACAGGAACAGCUUACAAGACACAUACAACACCUAAGGUAUCUUAAUCUGUCGUCACAUGAGUUCGAGAAACUUCCUGAAGGUAUAAGCAUUAUGUAUAAUCUACAAACGUUGGACCUCUCAUAUUGCAAAUGCCUUCGUCAACUUCCAAAGGAUAUGAAGUAUAUGGCAAACCUCCGACACCUCUAUACCCAUGGAUGCGAAUCAUUGACAUGCAUGCCUCCAGGACUUGGACAGAUCACUUCUCUGCAGAAUCUAACAUGUUUUGUUAUUGGUGAUGGCUUGGGAUGUAGUACUAUAGGAGAACUUCAAAACUUAAACCUUGGUGGAGAGUUAGAGUUAAGUGGUCUGCAAAAUGUAACAGAAGUGCUUGCAAAAGCUGCCAGUCUUGAAAAUAAAGAGAAACUCACACACUUAUGUCUCAAAUGGAAUGAUGAUGCCCGUGAGAAACCAGAUUCUCAUAAUGAGGUGUUAGAUGCCCUUAAACCUCAUCAUCGGCUGGAGAUGCUAGGCAUAAAGUCCUACAAAGGCACCAAUUUACCGUCAUGGAUAACAGAUCUUAGUCUGUUGCAGCACUUGACUGAGCUCCAACUGGUUGGUUGCACGCUGUGCGAGGAAUUUCCUCAAUUCUGCCAUUUCAAAACCCUUGAAGUUCUGUAUUUGAAAAAGUUGGACAAAUUGUAAAGCCUAUGCAGUCAUAUGGUGUCUACGCCAUUUCCAGCACUGAAGCAACUCCGGUUACAUGAUUUGGAGAGCUUGGAGAGAUGGGUCGCAACAGAAGGAAAAGAAGAUGAAUUAACCUUUCCUGUACUUGAGGAGGUUGAUAUAAAAAACUGUCCAAAGUUGACUAGCCUACCUGAAGCACCAAAGCUCAGGGUUGUAAGUCUGGAUGAAGGCAAGCCGCUGCUCUCCUUAGGAAUAGUUAAAUCAAGGCACAUGUCUUCAAUUUCUAAGCUAAUCCUGUGUGUCCGUGACACAGAAGCACUGCCUCAGAUAGAUUAUAAUUGGGAUUCAUCACAGAAACUGGAACUAUCCUUGGGUGGCACAGAAGCCGCACCUCUGUCACAUCUGAACAUAUCUGGCUGCAACUUUUUCUUCGUAUCAAGCCAGUCACAGCUAACACCUGGGGUCUGGAAAUGGUUUGAACAUCUUGCAGUUUUAGCAAUCAAAAACUGUGAUGUGCUCAUCUACUGGCCAGAAGAAGUGUUCCAAAGCUUGGUAUCUUUGAAGGAGUUGUGGAUUGAGUCCUGCAACAAGCUAAUAGGGCCCACACAAGCGAAAGGUGGCGAACCUACACAAACGACAGAUCAACUCCUGCCACAUCUAAACAGGAUAUGUAUACGCAGUUGUGAAAGCAUGGCACAGCUCUUCAUUCUUCCCCCAUCUAUCAGAAUUAUUGAUAUUAUGGAUUGCCCUAAGCUUGAGUUCAUAUGGGGAAAGGAGGAGCAUCUUGACACAUAUACAUCGUUGGAACAUUGCCGCGACCCUGCAUCCACUACUGGUACCCUAGAGCAAUCGCCGUUUCCAAUUAUUCGUCGUCCAUGCCUUGUACGUUUAUCAAUAAGAUUGUGUGAUAGCCUGGUAACACUUCCAAAUCUACCACCGUCCCUCAAGGAUUUAAGCAUCUACAGCUGUGAGAAGCUCUGCUCUGUGUCAGGAGACCUGUGUGCACUCGAGGAGCUACAUAUUUAUAACUGCAAUAAGUUACAGUCAGUCAAUUCCUUGGGAGACCACCCAUCAUUAGAAACACUGAUUCUUUAUGACUGCCGAUGCCUUGCAUCUUUAGGAUGUGAUGGUGGUCGUGGAAGUUACUCUGCUCUUCAGAGCCAUAAGAUCGAAGAGUGCCCAGCCAUAGACAUGAAGCAGUUUUACUAACGCCAUCAAACAGCUGCUUGACAGCUUUGAAUAUGAAGACGUAUCACACGUUCAUUCAAGCAGCUCUGAUGAAGGUACGACCUUUCACUUUCCUCUUAUUCAAUUUGUUUCCUUCAAAUUUCCCUGCUUUGCAUGCCCUCCUAUUUCACUCAUGUAACCCCACAUGCAUUUCAUUUUUGCUGUGCAGACAUGACCCAUUUGUCCUUAAAAAGCAUAAAGGAGGGCACUCACAUGUACACACGACUGCCAUCUGGAAGCUUCAUUAUUGCGAGCCUCUGCUAACGAUGACAGGCCUGCAAUGGACGACAAAAACGACAAAGUUUGUUUUCACGGCACUACCAGCUAGCUGCUGGUAAUGCUCUUGUCACUAAUGUACAGUACUCCAUUCUGUCAUCCAUGAAAGUCGUGGAGAAUGGUCUAUGAUGUUACUCCAUUCUGUCAUCCACGUGAGCCGAUGAAGCAGAAACAAAUGAUGAUGAUGAUGGAUGAUAUAGCUGCCGGGACCCACUGCAACCUCGUGCAUCAAUCAUGACGAUCUCUAACGGCAAAGGCAUGCAUCCAGUAUGGCCUGAUGAAGUAAUUUAGUCUGCCAAAUUUCUUUCUGCUCGUUGCGCAUAGAAGGCGUAUUUUCUUUUCCUUUUUUCCACCCGAGAAGGAAGAAGAAGAAGAAACUGCUGUGGCCAAUUCAAUCCGGAUCAUCAAAACAACAGCCCAUUCCAGACUAGAAGAAUUUGGUCACCAAAUUCGGAUGGAGGUAAAAAGUCACUAGUUACCUGCAGCACCGAAUAGUACUGGUUCGUUCAUUUACUGUUUCCAAAAACUUUCUGCUGAGAGUUUGUGCAUUGUGGUGACACUAAAUAUGCGCGUGCGCGGUUCGUAGGAUUCGAACCCACAACCUCCAACCUCGCGCGUAGCUUUCUUGCCAUCCCACCUACACACCACAUCUAAGUAUGUAGGGGAUCCUAUCCUUUUGUAUUAACUCGUGGGGGACCCUUUUAUCCCGGUUGGAAACACCAACCGCGAUAAAAGACCCCCUUUUAUCCCGGUUGGUAUUACAAACCGGGAUAAAAGGGUUCGAGGAUUUAAUCCUCUUCCAGCCACCUUCCAGUCACCUCGUUGGGGACCCUUUUAUCCCGGUUUGAAACACCAACCGGGUCAAGAGCCUUUUAUCCCGGUUGGUGUUUCAAACCGGGAUAAAAGGCCCCUCAGAGUCUUUUUUCCCACUAGCCUUUGCAACCGGGAUAAAAGGUCCCGGUUGGUGAGCCCCCCACCAGUGACCGAGUUUUAAUCCCGGUUGGUGAACCUUUGUCCCGAGCCAACUUUAAACCGGGAUAAAAGAGGGCGCAUGGAAAGUUAAUUCUCUACUCGUGUUUGCGGGACACAAUCAUUUCAAGCAGGAGACGGUGGUUCAUCUGGAUGGACACCGGCCUCCGAUCAACAAUUUCCCCAGUUUCCCGUGUAGGCAAGGGGGAAGAUGGCAGGUCGCCAAGAAAUAGCAGCAGAUAUGUCCCUUGUCAAAACUUCAAGCCAGUAGUCUGUAAAAUAGAAAGAGAGAUUUGUUCCACUUAGGCUGCUACGCCUACAACAAUAAUGACUGUGGGGAGCUAGGAAAUAGCAUCAUGCUGAUAAGCCCAACAUCAUUGGAAUACAGUAACAGCGUACUGAAAACAAAAGAGGCUACAUCAUGGGCCAACUGAAAUUGUGUUAUCCAUAACAUUUUUUUUUAGAAAAUCCUCAGCCAUCAACACACGCAACCAAAUUAUUACAGAAUCUUAAGCUCAGUUGCUGAUUAAAAAAAUAAAAAGAGAAAAUAAUUAUAAGCAAUGUUUAAUGUUGCUUAUCCAUCCAUUUUUAAUAGAAACUUUCCAAAGCUUUCGUUGCUCUACUAUCGAACGGACGGUCUCCCUUAUGUCUUCACACCACGUUAAUAAAUCGCAAUUAAUAUGUUCUCCCGAAGGUAACCUUCAAAGCGAUGAAUGUAGAUCACCCACGAGCAACCGAGCACGCACAAGGGAUGCUGAAACACCACAUGGAUCUCCAUGACAACACCUUCAACAAGAACAUGACGCUAAUGACACCAUUGUCAUUGGCCCAAGUAUUGGGUUGGGUUUACACCCGGAGAAUUAAAAAAUCACCAUUCGGGGGAGGUGCAAACAAAGUCGCCUCCAAGGAGGCAACGGCACCCGCAAGCGUCACCAUCCACACUUUCAUCCCGACCUCCACCAUGCCAUGCCGGCAGCAGCCUGAGCAGAAAUCCACUCACCAAGCUGUUGAUGGUGCUGAGCAAGUUCGCAAGUGCCAGCCAUCAUUAUUGAGAGCCAGCUGCUGCCGCCGCAAACUCAUGCCCAUUGCGCUAGGGCUAGGGCGCCGGCCAUAGCAAGGCCUAGAUGCACGUGUUGCGUCAUGGCUGGCACCACACUAAGCCCACCAUGUCACCAGACUGUCACAGCCGGAAGGGCGCCGGUCGUCAGAUCCGACCCCCAGCGCAUGGAAUCCACCGCCUAGAAGCUAAUAUCUCUAGAGUGAAAAUCAACACUUCAGAAGAUCCCUGAGGGAGGGGGAACGUGAAGGAGAGGCUCCCCGAGUGCCGUCAGCAUCACCGGAGAACCCAAGCAGCCACAUAUCCAGGGGUCUCCGAGGGACCCGUCGUCGGAUCCGGUCACGCCAAGGGGAAGCACCAUCACGUUCAAAGGUUUCACCUCUAUGUGUAACGCUGCACUGUCCGACUGCCCGAGUACCUCCAGCAUUGGAUGGAGUGAUGGCAAUCUUAUUAGGGGGAAAAGAAACUACACACACCAAUGACAUAUGGUAACAGCUUACAAUGAUGGUAGUGGAUAAAAGAAAUGGGAGCACCAGAAACAAAAUCUAGAGUCUCAACAGUCAAAAUCAAAUUAACAAGAUCAAACAAUAAAAGUUAUGAGUACCACAAGAGCUUACACUGUCCGACUGUCCGAGUACCUCCAGCGUUGGUUGCAGAGCACCAGGGGGGGGGGGGGAUCAUUUCCAAAGUGGAUGCAUCAGUGGAGAUCUCUCAAUGUUUGUCACAUAAGCAGUGUGGUGCCCUCCAGGUGCCCAGGUUGGUGUGUUAAACUGCCUCCGAUCCACAGCCAUCUUAGAACACUGCAUUCCAAGUUUCCAACACUUUUCAUGGUCUCAACUCUACUUUUACAUUCUCUCAGGGGGUGUUUGGGAACACCGUGCUAAACUUUAGCACCUGUCACAUCGGAUGUUUGGAUACUAAUUAGGAGUAUUAAAUAUAGUCUAAUUACAAAACUAAUUGCACAGAUGGAGUCUAAUUCACGAGACGAAUCUAUUAAGCCUAAUUAGUCCAUGAUUUGACAAUGUGGUGUUACAGUAACCAUUUGCUAAUGAUGGAUUAAUUAGCCUCAAUAGAUUCGUCUCGCGAAUUAGACUCCAUCUGUGCAAUUAGUUUUGUAAUUAGCUCAUGUUUAGUCCUUCUAAUUAGCAUCCGAAUAUCCGAUGUGACCCUGCUAAAGUUUAGCACCUCGUAUCCAAACACUCCAAUGUGCUUUAUCUUGCUCCAAUCAUCUCCUGACUCGCUGCAUCUUUGCUUAAACCUCUUUGUGCAUUGUGACAGUGUCAAGGUAUGCAAAGAGGUCAGCCUCUCAAUGCACGGAGGCAAAGUUUUCAUCCAGUAGGCCUCUACUUUGAGCUCACGGAGAGAUGCCAUAUCUCCCAACCAUUCUGGCAAGGUUUCCAUGUCCUCACAGUUCAGUAUCUCUAGCUUCCUGAGGGAUUUCCAGCCUAGAAUGCACUUUGGCAAAGGUACAGGAUCGAUGCAACUGUCAACAGUUAAUUCUUCAAUGUCAAGCAGUUGAAGAGAAUCAGAGUCAGAAGAUAUAUUUUUGAUGUACUUGAUUUCCAUUUUGGAUGAUAAAGCAGAUGUUGAUAGCCCCAUGAUCGACUUGGUAGAAUGAUGGCCAAUUGAAUAAGAACGGAUAUUGUUUAAUUCCAGAUAUGAUAUACCUGGCACUCCAAGGGAUUGAUGGUUCGAAUCUUACAUUCAAACAACAGUCUAUCUCCACAGUAACUUCCCUACUCUUACUAUUGUAACUCUUCUGAGAUUUUUCACUGGCUGUGUGAUCAAGAUGCAUAUCGAUGAUUUGGCAUAUAGGUUCACUAUAACUUCACCAUCCCCCACAAGCAGAGACACCGGGACAGACGAGAUAUACAAGUCUUCAAGAGAUUGUAAAUAAUCUAAAUGGAGGUCACCAGAUUGAACAUUGAAAAGCUCCAAUCGUACAAGAUUUGGUAGCCAACGUAACCAGUUAGGAAAAUCACCACCAACAUAGUUCUUUAUGCAAAGCCUUUUAAGGUUUUCACGAGGCUGGAGCUCUUCUAACGCGACCUUGUUCAACACUGGCCCACUCCACUCCAAACUUAAAAAUUGGAGCUCCUCUUUUUGCGCCAAUUCAAUUAUGUUUGCGUCUGAGCUUGAUAGAUCUUCGAGAUGUUUAAUAUUAAGUUCAGUAAGCUGGUGACUUGUAGUCUUUUGUAGAAGAGCCAUGUCCUUUGAUGAACUGACGGCGAAACUAGGGCCCUGCUAUUUUACAAAAACAAAGAAAAUGAAAAAUAAAACAUUCUGCUUUAGUCAAGAUGGCAUGCAUACUAUAUAAAACCAUCUCUAGGUGCAAACAUGCAGCUUAGAGCAUCUCCAAUAGUCAUCUAAUUAAUGUUUCUAGAUAACUAGUUAAUAGGGAUAUCCCGAGUUGCUUUUACAGUCUUCUAUAACCUCAUCCCAAUCUAACUACCGUUGUUGGGAGAGUCACAGCUCCUCAUUUAUUUGGGGAGUUGGGGUGAAUUAUUUGUCGAAUAAUUAUUGUAAAAAAGGAAAGGUAAAGGGAGUGUGUUAGAGCACUAUUUUUUCACAAACUCUCCAAAUAUGGUAGUUGUAUUGGAGCACUGAAUAGUACUGGUUCGUUCAUUUACUGUUUCCUCAAACUUUCUGCUGAGAGUUCGUGCAUUGUGGUGACACUAAAUUAGCUGCUUAAUCUGCUGCAGGACAUCAAGCAGUGGGCGUAUGGCGCACCUAUCAGCUGGGUUCCUGUUGGUCAUCUUAAUUCUUGCUUGUGGUAGAGCAAACCAUGGCCGACUUAGUGAUCAGGCCCAGGGCCGGCUCUAGGGGAGCGGCAGGCCGUGCGACCGUCCGGGGCCCAUGAAGCUGCGGGCCCAAAACCAUAUAGGUAAUCAAUACAUAUAAUUUGGUUGGUGGACUUUGUUUCGGCCUUUCUAAAUGGCCCGCGUAACAACUGCGGCCUGCCUCCGUCCGUGCCAAAUCAGGCCUACCAAAUUGCUCCAUGACUAUGCUGUCCCUGAUUCUGUAUACAUAUACGCUCCUGACUCCGUGGUUGUGCUGUCGCUGAGCACCGCGUCUGGAGCGCGUCAGAGGAUAUAGGCGAGCCGCGAGCACCGUUAGGGUCAGAGGCGAGUGCUUAUUUGAAGUUCAAUCUUUGUUUUCUUUUUCGCCAAUUUCGUCAAAAAGCAAUCAUUUAAUUAAUAUUAUUUCUUUCGUGUAGUAAUUCCAUUCUUCAUCAAUUGCGUAGAAGGAGCAAUGCCUUACGACAUUGAAGGAGAAUCUUGGUAAUUCUAUCGUCAAUUGCAUAUCAGAUUCUCUUAACUAUUCCAAUGACAGUAGUAUCAGCCGAAAGUAGUUUCUCCAUUUUGAAACUAUUGAAAAAUUAUUUGAGAUCAACUAUGUCACAAGAAAGAUUGAAUGGCUUGGCUAUGUGCAAUAUUAAGAAGGAUGUUUUGGACGACAUUAAUCUUGAUACUGUUCAUGAAGACUUUGCAUCAAGAAAUAUAUCCGAAGAUGUUUUUCUACAAAGCACUAAAGCAUUAUAUUUUUAUUUGAGAUAAUCAUAAUGGUUAUUGUUUUUAGUUUUUUUGUUACACUAUUAUUAUGUUUUAUGAGAGAUAUAUAUUGCAAAAAUGAUGCGUAGCUCUCCUGAAUAUAUAUAUAUAUAUAUUGCAAAAUAAUUUUUAUUAUUCGUAUUAUAUACUUUAGUUUUGAUAUUAAAAAUAGUUCAACGGGUCCUUAUGUUUGCCCAAGGGUCUUCAAAAUUAUAGAGCCAGCCGUGAUCAGGCCAUUCAUCUUCAUGGUGGAGAAGGUGAUCGAAGGCAUGGAGCGCAAGCUGCCAUCAAUCCUGCAUGCACAUUAACAAGGAUGCGGAGGAAAGAAGAGCCUCCCGACCUGAAGCAGCAGCUUGGCUCAAAGACCUCAAGACAGUUGCCUAUGCGGUGCUGGCCGGUGGCGCGAUCCAACGCUCUUGGGCAGCGGUAGCGAUGGCUUCCUGUUCCGCGGGCAGCCACAGCAGCGGCGACGGCGCGCUCAGCGGCCUCAACCCGUGCGCGGGCCCACUAGGAUUAAAACAAUCUAACACAUCCCAAUCUUAAGGAAGUGCACCAGUAGGUUCUUUUGUAUCACUUUUGGAUAGUCAUCGAAUUGCCGAACCUUUGAGCAGCGGAUCGACCCCCGCAUGCACUCAUGUCACACCCGAUUUUAAGGACAAAAUCGAGUGCAUUAAAUACAUGUGUGCCAGGAUCAAGUUACACACAUGUACGAUAAUAGUGAAUAACAAAGAUAGUGCUAAAACGAAUAAAGAGAGUAUUAAACAUUAUUACAUGACCGAAAGUCUCAAUAAACCAUAAGCCUAAUUUAUUAUGCAGCGGAACUCCAAGGACGACGACGACUCCACAGGCAGCUGACUGAAGAAACGUACGCCUAGAACUCCUCAAAGUCGUGUAGGUACUCCUCCCAAUUAGCUUAGUCUGAACAACGGUUUUGCAAGGGUGAGUACUGUAACAACUCUACCUAAAUUAAGUACUUUUAACUCUAAACCAGUGAUAAAUCCCUAAGUUAAGAAGUGAAAUGACCUUUAUAAACCUAAGAAGCUCGUUUUGGAGUUUGAAUUAAAGCUUGAAAUUUUGUAUACAAACCUGAGUUUCUGCCCAAGUAAGAGUUGUAAAACUUUUUAAUUCCAACAACUUUUGUUAAAGUCACUUUGACUAAUUCGGAGUGGAAGGAAGUCAAAAACAUCAACCAAAGCCAGUUUUUCUAAAGGACCCUGAAAAUCUCUUAAGUCCUGAAAUUCGAGUUUUCCUCCAUCUUGCAAGCUUUCAUCUCCUGUUUUCCCUAUCUAAACUCAAGUCAGGGCCUGAAUGAAAGUUGUAGUACCUCAAGAUUGUUCCAACUUUGUUACACUGAUCCAGAUCCAAAUCGGGCCCGAACUUGUUCAAAACUCCGGUCAAAGGGAGGUAAACCAGUCAACUCACCCCUGGUGCCUUAAAAAUCCUAAGUCUGGAAUCCCAGAUUUUUGGCUAACUUUGACCGGAAAUAUCUUUGAAUCCUUUCACAAUCUAAACCAGCACCUUAAACAAAGUUUGAAGAACAAUCAGAGUUGAGCAAGUUUGUUUAAGGGAGUUUUGGAAGUUGUGUUGAAAGAUUCGGAGGAAGGAUCACUCCAAAGCUGGUCGGGCUUGUUGCCCGAAGGGAGCCUCGACGCCCGCGCGCCAGAGCACGUUCACUCGCGCGCCGCGUGCCGCGUGGCCGCCGGCCACCGGCAGCUCGCCGGCACCCUAUCCCCAGCACGACAGCGAUAGGACGAGAGCCACGGCGCCCAACCCGCGCCCGCGACAGGACGGAGCGAGCGCAGGGCUAGCCAACCGCCAGCCGCGCGCAGGUCGCCUUCCGCCUGCCACGGCUCUGCUCCGCCAACCCUGUUCCGCCCGUCCGCUGAGAAAGCUGACACGCCCCCGACGUCCCGCGCCUCCGCCCGUUCGCCCAACCCCCACGGUAGCCCUUCCGUCUCGCCCGCCCGACAGACCGGAAGCCCUAGAUGUGCGCCGCCCAAGGCCAAUCGCCGCCGAAGACCACCCGGAGCUCCGCCUCCUCUGCCCAAUGGCGUUGUCGGCCAAUGGCCGCCUCGCCUGAGCACUCGCCGCUCCCGGCCUUAUCCUUUCCCCACCGGAGCCCCGCCUCGACCCUCCGCCCCACCACGACCCUAUAAAAGAGAACCCCCUCACCGGCAAUGCCACCCCUUGCCACCGCCUGCACCUGCGCCACCGCUUUCUCCUCUGCGCCCCCGCUUUCUCCUCUGCGCUACCGCUGAGCUUCCGUGGAGCUCACCCCUUUGCGCCACCCCACACUCCGGCGAUUUCGCCGCCACCCUCUUGAGAAAGUUCCCCUCUCCGCUCCAGCCGCUUCUUCCAACCCACCAGCCGCCCGCUCCUCCGCGUGGUACUCGAGCUUGCUAGUGUCCGCAAGAAGCACCGCCGCCGCCGGAGCACCGUCGAAGCAACGCCGCCGCCGGACCACCGUCGAAGUCUCGCUGCUGCCCAAGCCUUAGCGCGUACAACUUCCCGCCCCAGCCUACUCCUGUUCGGCCCCAAGGCUUCACCGGUAGACCUGGAGGUAAGUGACCGACCCCUUGUGUUCCGUCUCGACCGACCCCUUGUGUUCAGCCUCAACCGACCCCUUUUCUUUCCGUCUCGCCCGACCCCUGUCCUUUUUGUUUCGCCCGACCCCUGUCCUUUUUCGUUUCUCCCGACCCCUUUGUUUCGGUUCGCCCGACCCCUUUUCUUUUCCUCUCGCCUGACCUUUUUCCCGUUCGCCUCGCCCGACCCUGCCAAGUUUCGCCGACCCUUUCUCCGUCUCGCCCGAGGGCUCGGCUGUAACUUUUUCUUUGACCCGAGGGUAUCGGUGAAAUAUUUUCGGGGAUUCCUCUGUGUUGAGUCUGAGGACCUCGGUACGGUUUUCCUUAAACCUGAGGGUCAGACCCUAAGUUUCCCCUAAUCCGACCCUCUCAUCCUGAUCUCCUCCAACAGAAGUUGAACUCCCCCACCUUUCCUGUAGCUUGGCUACAAGUGUCCGUGUUAAAACAUUAGUGUGUUGAAAUAACCAUCUAAAAUGUUUAACCCCUGCAUUGCAUUUCCGUGUAGAGUUGAAUCUCGCCGAUGGAACGUACGAGCUUCACCCGGCACCGGAAGAAGACCCCGCCGAGGAACUGCAUCCCUUCGAAGGAGAGCCCGAACCGGAGCAAGACCCCGAGGACCCGCAAGCUUUUCCUGAAGGCAAGCCCCGGAGCAUAAAUUCCUAUCUUGAAUUCAUGCAAUAUUAUUGAUUACUUGAUUGCGCAUUUACGUUUCGAGGAGUUGUAAUGGAACCUUAGAUGCAUAACUUAGUACCUUAUUUUUGAAUACUAGUUGCUAAGGCCGAGUAGUUGCAUUGCUUAAUAGGUUCCGGUAAAAGUCGAGUGAUCUCCUGUCACUCGCGAGUUAUAGGAGUUGAAUGUUUCAGAUAUGUCGCAACUAUAAGGACGACGGACGGGGUCAGGCUUAUGUUCGAUACUUGGUGGAUUGCCCCGUCUGUCUAAAUGAAAAUGAACUAAGGUCGAAACGUGUCGGCGUUCGUGAUCAAGUGUUUGAAAGUACUAAUCUCAUACCUAGUAUGGGAUGGGGAAGCCUAGUACCUGAUUGAAUUGGGGCGUGGCAUACCCUCCGGCUGUCCUUGGAACGUCGUUCCCAUGGUGCAUCAUGUGGGUGCAAGUGCGGUCACAGUGCAGCAAUAGGCCGGGACUGUGGAGCAUUGCAUGCCAAAGGAAGUUGGCCCUGACACGUGCCUAAGGGAUCGAUGGGGACGGCUGAUAAAUGAAGCGACCCUUCGUGGUGCGCGGAUGUCAUGAGAUUAGGUUUGCCAUGCAUGGUUAAUAAAUUCGAAUCGAUUCAUCUGCCUCUCAUAGAUUGGGACUACUUGAUCGCUAUUCUGCACUGAGUAAAGAUGGAACAUGAUGAUGAUUUUAAUCUUGAUGCUUGUUAAGUAAUUGCUUGGAAACCAUGUUUGUUUAGUAUAAGUUGCUAAUCUGGAAUGGAUAAAGAACAUAGAACAUGAGCUAAAAUGUUGAAAGUAAGGACUGACUUUAGACGCUUUUGGCAAAGAAAACCCCAGAGCCAGAAAGCCUUGCAUGUCUAGGUCUCGGUCGUGUCUUUUCGACAGGUCAGUCUUGCGGAGUACUAGUUGCUCAGCCUUGUUGUGGCUAAUCUUUUUCAGGUAAUGUCAAUAGUUUGGGUGUUGGUACCACUUGGCCGACCCAGCUUCCUCCAGGUUGGACCGUCGAGUGGGAUCCUUCCUUGGAUGGCGAAGGAAGAAAUUUUUGAUGUCAUGAACGGCUCCGUCGUGAUGUCAUGUAUCGACGUUUAGUUUUCGCUAUUUUCCUUUGACUUCGAACCAUGCAAAUUUCGAUUUGAAUUUCAGAAACUCUGAUGUAAUAAAUUGUUGAACUAUGUUGUCAUGAUGGAAUGUUGUAACCUCUGUGCUACUCACCUUCGCGUGAGCGAUGCUUCUCGAUCCUGUUUAUGUGGUUUAUCGGAGGAAAUCCGACGGUCGACCAAGUUGACUUGCUUAAAGUGCAUAAUCGCGUGUCAGACGACUUCAAUGCAUUUUAGUCAGGUUAAUUUGGGCGGUUCCGCCACAAGUACACUUAUGGUUGGUACUCAACAAGUCGUGGGGAAUAGUGUAGUGUAAGGCAAAUCAAGGUACGGCUAAGGCAUAAUUAGCAUUCGCUUUUAUUUAAGUUGGUCAAGUUUUAUUAGCAAUUAACUAAGUAUAAGUUCGUACCACUCGAAAUUAAACAUGAUCAUAAAUAAAGUAAACAGCAUAUGCAUGAAAUGACAACAAGUUAAAUCCAUCUUCCGAUAAAUAUUAUCAUGUGAGGGUCCAGGCCUCUCUUAACCGUGAGCACGGCUGAUCGAUCAGUUUUACACUCUGCAGAGGUGGCACAUCUUUACCCACAAGUCGCGUAAAAGUUCAAAAGAACUUUGGACCCAACCAUGCGGUGUUUGCAAGGCACCAUACCACACUUCUGAGGUGUGAUUGCAUAGGGACGCUACGAGGCCUUUACAAAGAUUCAUUAGUCAGUGGUAACCCGCUAAGGUUUCGAUGUCUGGCGUGCACCACCCAUCCCAGGCAAAAAUGCAACGACUCAGUCCCCCCUCUUGCCUCAUCAUGAGUAAGGUCACCCUAGACUAAGGUUUCUAAUUAUUCAGCCAAGACCAGAGCCAUUUAGUCUUGUGGUAGCACUAUUUUCCUGGGUGGUCGCUCCAUGUUACGAUUAAUAAUACAUGAUCUUAUAUUAAUGAAAGGUAUAACAGAAGUAAAGCAAGAUUAAACAUUGUUUUUAGUUAAACCACCAUGUACCAAGUAAGCGCUAAGCAUGAGCUACCCAACAAAAAGUAAACCGGUUGAUCAAGGCAAAGGUAAUUCAAUCUAGGCGAACCUUAAUUGGGACCCAUCAAUUCAAUCUUAACAUGUGCAUAGCAUAAAUGUUGAGUACGAGAAAGUAAAGGUGUAUAGGAUGAAAAGUAGUGAUCAAGGACACGACUUGCCUUCUUGGCCUUGCUCCUACUGUUCGUACUCCUCGAAGGCUUGGUCUUCAACUCCCUCGAACUGCGGGACGUCUACACGCGUCACACGAGCACAUACAAGCAAACAUGGGCAAAAAGUAAGAAACAGUACACCAAUCACAAUUAAACAGAGAAAACAAGCUUGAAAAGUUGAUCUACGCUUUAAAACGAACACGUGGAUAUAAAGAACGCGAAAAACGGAGUUAAGAUGCAAAAGAGAUGAUUAAAACAAGAUCCAGGGGCUUUUCUGUGAGAAAAACAAAACUUUUAGGGCAAAACCGCAAAAACCGAGGGCUUAUACGUAAAUACGCGUAUAAACCAAAGGUCUAACGCGCAAAAACUCCAAAACGGACGGCGGGUUGAUUUUUAGAAAACUCGGGGUUUAAACCGAAAAGCACGAGGGCAGAUCUGUGAAUAUUUUCAACGCGAUCUGGACCGCGGGUUGAUUUGCGGAAAAGGCAGGGGCUUAAGAGCAAAAUGGCGCGGUGCGGCACGGUUGACCGUUACGCGGUCUUGUUUGACUCGCUAUCGGCCGUCGGAUUUAGGUCCGACGGUCACGGUCGGCGAUGACUCGCGACGGCGACGGGAAAAGGGCAGCCAGCGGCGGUGAGCGACGGCGAGGUCGCCGGAGUAGGCCGAAACAACGCCACGGGGCUCGGUUUCGCGCGCGGAAAGCACCAGAAGAGAGCGGGGAACAUGGCGAACCCGUUUAGUGCCUUGGCGGGAGCCACGGCGCGGCGGCGCUCACCUUUUGGCGGCGGCGUGCGGCGGAGAGAGGCAGCGGCGCAAGAGCUUGCGGCAGCUAGGGUUUGGAGGGUGCUGGCACGGGUGCUCGUGGCCGGGGGAGGCGGCAGCUUAAAUAGGGGCGGACGGCUUGGAGAUAGAGGCGGCCCCGGAUUCAAACCGGUCGGGGAAUACGGCACCCACCCGGAGAUCUCGCGCGGCGGUUGCGGGCGGAGGAGAGUCUGGUCGGAGGUGGGAGACGAUGGCGGGUCCCACCUGUCGGCGGUAGCGGGCGGUAGGCGGGCCGUAGCGGCUGUGGGCUGGCGCGCGCGUUCGCGGGCCGCGGGAAAGGGGCGAGCGGAGAGCUUCGCAGGCCGGCUGGAGGUGGAGCGGUGGGCCGCACGGGCAAGGGGGUUCGCGGGCCGGCGAAGAAAGGCGGAGCGGGCCGAGCGGCUGGCACUGGGCUGCCGGCAGAGGAGGAGGCGCUAGGCCGAAAGAAAAAGAAGAAGAGAAAGGAAAGCAAGGUGCGGCCCAGGAGGAGAAGAAGAAAAAGAAAAAGAAGAGGGAAAAGGAAAAAGGUUUUGGAGAUUGAAUUUAAAUUUGGAAUUCAAAUUUUUGAUUCAAACCCAAGCAAUCAAAAUAAAUGCAGCAGCAUGAAUGCACAAUUAACUCCUAUGAUGAAUUAAUUAAAUUAAAGAAAAUGAAAUUAAAUGCCUAGAAUUUAAAUGACACCCUAAUUUGAGUAAAUUUUAAUGAAUUUGAAUUCUCUAAAAUUUUGGGUGUUACAACUCAUGAAACUAAAAGGGAAAUCCUUUUCUCAUAGCUGGAUAAUAGCGCGCGGCGACAGAAAAGCCAGCAUCGUUUCUGAUCUCAUUCACGUAUAUACAGCCAGUUGCUCGCUUCCGACCAUGCAGCUGCAUGAAGAAUAUGGACCGAAUGUUUAGUCAGUAAGCAAACACUGCCUAAAGUAAGUUUACAGAGCUACAUGCUGGGCAUUUCAGACUUGUUUAAACAGAGGUGCAAACAAAGUCGCCUCCAAGGAGGCAGUAGCACCCGCAAGCGUCACCGUCCACGCUUUCGCCCCGACCUCCAUGCUAUGCCAUGCCAGAAGCACCAUCACGUUCAGAGGUUUCACCUCUAUGUGUAACGCUGCGCUAUGGAGAGAUGACAAUCUUGGGGGGGGCGGGGGGGGGGGUACCAAUGACAUAUGGUAACAGCUUACAAUGAUGGUAGUGGAUAAAAGAAAUGGGAGCACCACAAACAAAAUCUAGAGUCUCAACAGUCAAAAUCAAACAAGAUCAAACAAUAAAAAGUUCUGAGUACCACAAGAGCACCAGGGGGGGAUCAUUUCCAAUGUGGAUGCAUCAGUGGAGAUCUCUCAACGUAUGUCACAUAAGCAGUGUGGUGUCCUCCAGGUGUCCAGGUUGGUGUGUUAAACUGCCUCCGAUCCACAGCCAUCUUAGAACACUGCAUUCCAAGUUUCCAACACUCUUCAUGGUCUCAACUCUACUUGAACAUUCUCAAUAAGCUCUAUCUUGCUCCAAUCUUCUCCUGACUCGCUGCAUCUUUGCUUAAACCCCUUUGUGCAUUGUGAUAGUGUCAAGGUAUGCAAAGAGGUCAGCCUUUCAAUGCACGGAGGCAAAGUUUUCAUCCAGUAGGUCUCUACUUUGAGCUCACGGAGAGAUGCCAUAUCUCCCAACCAUUCUGGCAAGGUUUCCAUGUUCUGACAGUUCAGUAUCUCUAGCUUCCUGAGGGAUUUCCAGCCUAGAAUGCACUUUGGCAAAGGUACAGGAUCGAUGCAACUGUCAACAGUUAAUUCUUCAAUGUCAAGCUGUUGAAGAGAAUCGGAGUCAGAAGAUAUAUUUUCGAUGUACUUGAUUUCCAUUUUGGAUGAUAAAGCAGAUGUUGAUAGCCCCAUGACUUGGUAGAAUGAUGGCCAAUGGAAUAAGAAUGGAAAUUGUUUAAUUCCAGAUAUGAUAUACCUGGCACUCCAAGGGAUUGAUGGUUCAAAUCUUACGUUCAAACAACAGUCUAUCUCUAAAUAUUGAAGUCCAGGAAAUAAUGUGCGCUGGUUGGAGGAUUCCCUGCCACUAUCACUGUGUCUUCCUCCCUGCUGCUCUCUUUGAAAUACGUUCUUAUCAUCCUUCUGCUCAAUACAAGGCAACGUCGAUGUUUUCCACAGUAACUUCCCUACUCUUCCUAAUGUAACUCUUCUGAGAUUUUUCACUGGCUGUGUGCUCAAGAUGCAUAUUGAUGAUUUGUCAUAUAGGUUCAGGUCAUUUGGCCUAUUAAUCACCGGGAAAGACGAGAUAUACAAGUCUUCAAGAGAUUGUAAAUAAUCUAGAUGGAGGUGACCAGAUUGAACAUCGAAAAGCUCCAAUCUUACAAGAUUUGGUAGCAAACGUAACCAGUUAGGAAAAUCACCACCAACAUAGUUCUUUAUGCAAAGCCUUUUAAGGUUUUCAUGAGGCUGGAGCUCUUCUAAUGCGACCUCGUUGAACACUGGCCCACUCCACUCCAAACUUAAAAAUUGGAGCUCCUCUUUUUGCGCCAAUUCAAUUAUGUUUGCUUCUGAGCUUGAUAGACCUUCGAGAUGUUUAAUAUUAAGUUCAAUAAGCUGGUGACUUGUAGUCUUUUGCAGAAUAGCCAUGUCGUCUGAUGAACUGACGGCAAAACUAGGGCCCUGCUAUUUUACAAAAACAUAGAAAAUCAAAAAUAAAACAUUCUGCUUUAGUCAAGAUGGCAUGCAUACUAUAUAAAACCAUCUCUAGGUGCAAACAUGCAGCUUAGAGCAUCUUCAAUAGUCAUCUAAUAAAUGUUUUCAGAUAAAUAGUUAAUAGGGAUAUCCCGAGUUGCUUUUGCAGUCUUCUAUAACCUCAUCCCAAUCCAACUACCGUGUUGGGAGAGUCACAGCUCCUCCUUUAUUUUGGGAGUUGGGGUGAAUUAUUUGUCGAAUAAUUAUUGGAAAAAAGGAAAGGUAAAGGGAGUGUGUUAGAGCACUAUUUUUUCACAAACUCUCCAAAUAUGGUAGUUGUAUUGGAGAAUAGGGAUCUGCUGGAGAUACUAUGUAAACCAUUGGACAAUUGAAUGCUGAUGAGGCUUAUGGAAACAGAGCCAGCCAAGGAUCCCUACCUAACUCUACCAAUCACGGGUAUGCACAGCAGAUAUGCUGGCAACAGAUCCUACCAGUAAGUUUUUUUUUCCAAAAAAAACAUAUCCUACCACGUACACAGCACAAAAAUACAAUUCUAAAAAAUUUGAUGUUCGCCUGGUAUAUCCCAAAAGUUGCAUGACUAUUUUAAUUUGGAACUUGCUUGGCUACUCCUUCCAUCCCAUAUUAUAGGUCAUUUUGGCAUUUCUAGGUUUAUGAUUUUUUGUUGUACACCUUGAUGUAUAUUAUAUCUAGAAGCUAUGAAUCUAAAAUUGUCAAAACAACCAACAAUUUGGAUAAUUUGGGAUGGAGGGAGUAUUUUAAUUUGGAGAAUCAGGUCUACUAUAAGUGCCACAAUUAAGCAAGGUAGUGGCAUAUCAAACAAUAAAUUAAAUAUUUAUGUUAGAAAGGGAUUCCAUUAAUUCAUUCAUAUAUACGAUAUUCACUCCCUAGAAUUAAUGAAAAUACAGUAACAAAUCACAUGCCUGCAUGAUAGAUUGAGCCUCUUGUUAUGCAACCGUAAUUUAUAGUAUACAUUGUAGAACAAAAAAAGUAAUAAUUAAAAACAGUGCAUAUUACCUCAUGUGCAUAUACAUGUUUGAUGGGUUUAAUCUUGUCGUAGUCCUCUCCUAAACGGCUGCAGCAUUCACGCAGUUUGUAAUUGCACUUCUUAAGAGUUAAUGUCUUCAAGGAGGUUACAUCCUUGAUGGAGUGAGGCAAACGCUGCAGUUUGGCAGAAUAAACUUCUAGAUGCUCCAGAGAUGCCAGAUCCCCCAACCAAUCUGGGAGUGCCGCAAAAUUACAACAACUGUCCAAUAUCUGCAAGCUCCUAAGGGAUGAUCUCCGGCAAGGUGAUCAGAUCACUGUCAGAUUUAAUAGUUAAAUACCACAAGUCGGUGCUGACGUAUUGGAGAAAUUCUGAAGCGUCAGAGAAGCCAAACAUAUUUGGUUCCAAUUCAAGUGUAAAAAGGUGUGAAGAUCCAACAAGUAUCACGGGUGAUAGUUCUACCUUACUGCAUGAUGCAACUAUAUGCUCUAUGUAUCCUUGAAAAGCUGAACCGAGGGUCAACGUGGAAAUAUUUCAUCUCCUUGCACCUUCUGUUCAUCAUCAUCCCAAGACAUCUCUCUAGCAGACAGCUCCAAGUUCGUGGACAGCACCUCCAAAUUCUCCAUCUUAUUAAUACAAAGUUCCCUUAAUUUCCUGAAUGGGUUCCUGCCUCCAUAAAAACUAGUAGCCACUUCUCGAAUAUUAGGCAUAUCUGAAAUGUGCAGUUCUUCAAGGUUUGCUAACUGUCCUAGUGAAGGGAGGCGUGCGCACCUUGGCUGCCCAUCAGCACUAUCUUCACAAGAUUUGGAAGAUCGAGAUUUGGAUCGCUCAUCCAGCCACAAAAUGUGGCAUCUCCAUAACCUUCUAUUUCAAGUGUUGAUAGGUUAGGAUGAGGAUGGAGUCUUUGGAGAACUGAAGAAUCAUCAGCUCUGGAGAAUUUUUUGCUCAGAUUAAGAUAUACAUUGUUAGGCCUAUCGUCUGAUCCAGAUAAACCAUUGCUGGAAUAAGAGUUUGCGUCAGCGUGCGCAGCUGGUCAUAUGUAGCCAACUCUCCAAGGCCAACUUCAUCAGCGCUAUUCACCUUCUCAAGAUUUGAAAUAAAUAGGUCUGUGAUUCCAAAGUCUGUAUUUUGACAGAGGAGAAAAUCACUUUCUUGUACUGCAAAAUACACUCCCUGUGAAGGAAGAGACAGAGUUAGACUAUUACCAAAUGCAACGAAAAUAUUUAUGCAUCCAUUCUGUUCUAGAUAAGAAUUAGAAAAUGUCCAUUGUAAAAGAGGAGUAACAAAGCACAGCCAAGAGAACUUACCUCAUUUAUCUUGAUGCAUUGAAUGUGAGGAAUAGCCUGUAGGAUUGCAGCUUUGUCUCUGUCCAAGAAAUUCCCAGGAGAUGACAAAGUUAGCUUCGCCAAACGAUCCAUGCAUCUCAAUUCAUCAAAACGGUCAAACAUCUCGAGGCAAUCAAUUUCAAGCUCAUGUACUGAUUGAAUGCCAGGAAGUUUCUGAAGAUCAUAGCUCUUACAGUUCGAUAUCUUGAGUUUUUGGAUGGUUUGUGUCAAUAUAGGGGUUUAUGACCACAGAUUAAUCUUGGAUAAAUCACUCUCGUUGAUGAAUAACUCCUUGCUGUUGGGGAUUCUUGGAUAUAGUUCCAGAUAACCGCAGUGUUCUAUCUGCAGAUAGCAAAGCGGAGGGAAUUCUUCUUCAUCAGUGUUCAUCAGUGCGGAAGAAGAUACAGGAACGUGUGUCAUCAGUGUUCUCUUUUUAGUCACUCCCAAAAAUAUUUCCAUCAUGUUCCUAAACUUUGCUUUUCCUUUUCCUCGGGAAGGAUCACCAGACUGCGCCCUGAACAUUUCAAGCCUCUUGAAUUCUUCUAAAGGAUCUAUUUCCAUGUCACGUAUCUCUUCACCAUCUUGGCAAAACCACAAGGUGCAUCUGGAUGCUAGUUUAACAAGCGACAGUCGCUUUAGGUUUCUGCAUGGUGCUAAACAUGCUUCCAUAAGUUUAGGCAUAUUACGAAUUUCAAGCUCCUCUAAGUUUGAUAGAUUUCCUAGAGUUGGAAGCUGGUCACACUCUACGAGAUCAGACAAUACCAGUUUCACCAGAUUUGGGAGUGUAGAACAUAUCUUCCUCAUCCAACUAGGAAACAUACUGUAAUUAUAGCCCUUUAUAGUGAGAUGCUUUAAAGCUGGAUGAGGCUUCAAAUUUUCUAGCACAUCCAUUGUCGUCACUUUGGGUUCCUCUGACCAUUCUAAUAAGGACCACUCCAAACUCAAAGAAGCAAGCCGAUGUCUCCUUCCCAAUUGCACCCCCUUUGCUUCCUCUGCAGACUUCACAACCUCAAGGCAUUUGAUAUUUAGUUCACUGUUUGUAGAAUCAAGGAUAUUCUGUAGAAGGAUAAUGUUGCUGCAAUCACCACUGCUGCCACUUUCUGAGACCACAAAAUCCGGUAGGGUUAGUAGGUCACUGGAGAUGCCUUCCUUUCAGAACAGUGACAUCCCUCCAACUGAAAGGUACUCAAGACGAUGCAUGUUUUUCAAUGUGUCAUGCAGCAUUUUCAGGCUCAACUCCUCACCAGAAUAAUCAGAGGAAUGCUGUGUAGAGGAGCUUGGAGCUUCAGAAUCUUUUCUUACAUCAAAUCCUGAUAAUGCUGAUAGGUUUAGGUACUCCAAAUUUACAAAUUUACCAAGAAAGCAGAUAAUUUUCAAAAUGCAAGGACAGCCAGAUAAAUUCAGAAAUCGGAGUUUAUUUAGUCUGGCACAAGAUUCAGAAAGAUCAAUAAGCCUCGCACAAUCAGAUAAAUCCAAAAUCUCCAGGUUCAGGCAGCCAUUGUUGCCCACACAAAAUUCAGGAAGUGCCUCAAGGCAAGUACAACCAGACAUAUUAAGAUAAAGAAGUCCCUUCAUUCUAUUGAAUGACAGGGUACGCAGUUGCUUAAGCUGGCAGCAGGAGGACAGAUUCAGAUGUUCCAAAUUUUUCAGUAGACUGAAAGAGUCUGGAAGCAUCUCAAGCUUUGAACAACAUGAUAAGUUCAAGAACGAAAGCUUUGGCAGCUCUCCAAAUUGUGAAGGUAGCUUUUGUAGGCUGGUACAACCUGAUAGAUCGAGGUGUUCCAAAUUUUCCAGUAGACUGAAAGAGUCUGGAAGCAUCUCAAGCUUUGAACAACAUGAUAAGUUCAAGAACGAAAGCUUUCGCAGCUCCCCAAAUCGUGAAGGUAGCUUUUGUAGUCUGGUACAUCCUGAUAGAUCAAGAUGUUCCAGGACUUGGAGUCUGUGAAUGGGACCUGGAAGUUCACUAAGAUUCGAGCAGCCAUGUAGAUCCAAAUAGUGAAGCUUCUGAAAGUCACAAAUGGAAGUGGAACUAUGGAGCUUUAAUUUUUCAGAAAAGGAGCUAUGGAGCUUUUUGAGGCUGGUAUUUUCUGAAAGAUUUAAAAACUGCAGGUGGUGCAAGUUUUGCAUAGAACUGGGUAGCUGGACAGUUUGCAUGCGUGGGAAGUCCAAUACACGCAGCCAUUUAGUUUCUGAAAAGGCACCCUUCGAAGGCUGACAUCCUGUGCAGCCACUAAAAUGAGCAGCCCUUGCUUUGAAAGGCGUAUCUUUGCAUUUUGGGUACUGACCUUUGAAAUUCAACAACAACGUGUAUCGAUAGUUGUCCUCUUUACCGAAGCUUCUUUGUUUGCCAUCACAGAUGGCAACUUCCUCAAUAGCAACUGACCUAGCAAGUUCAUGAACUAAAUCGUGCAUUUUGAAUAAUACAUUAUGCAUAUGAGGGUUAUUAAGCUUGGAGUAUCUUGCAGAAAUCUGAAAAGCAAAUUUGCAGGUCGAUUAGUAGUGCACUAGAUAUUUUUUUCAAGGACUCAACGGUAGGUCAAAAGAAAAAAAUAUAUAAAGAGCAUGCCAAUUUCACAUUUAGAAACGAGAUUGAUCAUUGCCACAUCAGCCGUCCCGCAUGGAGAUGCUAGAGCAGUCAAAGGGAGUGCAAAGGGUUUAAAAUUGCAACGAAUGAACAUUAUUUUCUCUCCAGUAGCAAUUGUGUCAAGACAACCAAGUUGACGUUUCUUCUAUCUGAAAUGAAAGAACACUGCCGAUUUAUUUAUUGCUAUAUCCAAUUUAUAGAAUGGAUAUACCAUUUAAUUGAUAUCUUUUCGUAAAAAUGAAACGCAUAAUAUGCAUCCACAUUUCAGCUUCGAAUUUUACUGGAUAGAGAUACAUGAUCUAGGCUAUUAAGUAGCGACUCAUAAAAGCUAAAUCUUGUAACCAAUGGUGGGUCAAUAAUGAUCAUUUUUGUAUAUAUGUAUCGACUGUUGUAAAAAAGUGAUUCGCUUUUCCUAUGCAGUAACCUUCUGCUCCUAAAGAAUGCCAGGAUUGUGUUUUAAUUAUUGCAAUUACUAUUCACUUAGUAACUUAACUCGCUGUCUUGGCAAUGUUGUAGAGCUUAUGCCAAAAAUACAGCUCAGCCCUUUUUGCUCAGAUUCCAUGACUUUAUGCAGAGAAAACUUGACUUAAAACAAAACUUAGGCUAUGUUACUAGUAAUUUGCAACCUCAGGGAGUUUACUUGUCAUGUUUAUUUGCUUGGUUGAUUUCAGUAAGCAUAAAACUGGCAACUUAAGAAAUAAUGUUCGUGUCGCUAUAUUUAUCUUUUAAAUAAUGUUGACUCAAAUAUUUAUAAGGUGUUAGAAUUGAGGAACCAAUACAACCAUGUCCGAAUGAUUCAUCGUAGGAUCACUCCAUGAAUUUUACACCUUGAUCAAUAUGCUUGUGCGAAAUGAAGUGGAUUAUUCAAAACUAGAAUCAAAGGAUUUAUGACUAUCUCAUUCUUCAAACCAAAGAUUAUAUUGAAUUAGUAGUAGAUAAACACCAUAUUCUGAAAUAAGAUUAAAAUACUAAUAAAUCAUGCGAGAAAUGACAGCACAACUCGAUACAAGGAAAAAAGUUAACUGUACCAAGCUUGGGUAUAUAAUAUAACUCACCGAGAUAGAGUCACUUGAAGCCUCCAGGAAUGACAUCUGACAAAGUUCUAGUAGGUAUUCCUCAGCACGAUGUGUGGUCAGAACAAAUCUCAGAGCAAUCCACUUAUGAAUCAGUUCUCUCUUCUCUAUGAUGAAGCCUUUUGGGAAGGCAGAAAAGUAUACAAAGCAAGGUCUCAGAUAAUAUGGCAUGUGGUAGUAACUAAUCUUCAAGGAUGGUAAUAUUAAAGUAGAUGUUGUUCCAGUCGUUGGAUCGCAUUCGUCUUCCCACAGGUCACUCUUCAGUGUUUCUUCCUACUUGUGCAUCGGCAUAUCUAGCAGACGAUCCCCAAGAGACUUGACUGCCAAAGGCACUCCACCGCAUUUCUUUACUAUUUUCUCCCCCAUAUGUACCUUUGCCAUUUCAGAUUCUUUAAUUCCAUUUGGAAAUGCCUUAGCUUUGAACAGCUUCCAGCAGUCAUCGUACGGCAAGGCACCCAACUUGAAUGGCAACUCACGAUUCAGCCGCUUAGCAACCUGUUCACUUCGAGUGGUCACAAUUAUCUUUCUGCCUGGUGCGCCACCUUUCAACAUCGCUUCUAUCUUUUCCAAUUGUCCUGUGUUUUCUUCCCAUAAGUCAUCUAAAACAAUAAGAUACUUCUUUCCACGGAGGAUCAUCUCCACGCGCAUCUGCACGGAGGACAGGUCAUACUGGUUACUCUGUCCAUCUACUUGGGAGAUAAUUGAUCGACCAAUCUUUUCAUCGCUAAAACUUGUGGAGACAUAAACCCAAAUCUGGAUAUCAAAAUCUCUCUUAGUUGUAUUGUCGUCAAAAACCAUUUGGGCGAGAGGUGGUUUUACCCAGACCACCAAAGCCAUAUAUAGGGAUGAUGAUGUGUUUGCAAUCUUCUUGCAGCAACUUCAUCAACUCUACCUUGUCCUUGUCCCUCCCAAGUAUACCUUCUACAAGGCAAGGGCCUGUAGCCCUUGUCUGGAUCACGUCCUGGUCGUCAGAGCUUGUGUCCACCAUCAAGUCGAACUGCCUCAGCUUUUCUAUGUCGUCCAAUCUUUGCUUCAUGGCCUUCAACUUGCUAGGCAUGUUUAGCCGCAACUUCAGAGGAAUGGAGAUCUCCUGCAAAUCCAUGUCGUGAAUUAGAAAAGGGACGAGAAAUGGAAAUGGACAUAUCGACAUCAAACACACUCGAGACCUACCGUUGUAGAUUUGUUAUUCUGAGAGCCAUCUUUAUUACUCAGGAUAUCACCUUCCAAUUCCAAUAAUAAUGUCCUCCAUGUCAUAGGCUGCUGCCUUUAGCUUCCUCAUCCAGACGCAGACGUCACCAUCUUUCAUCAGCCGCUUCUCCGCCCUAACCAUGCUAUUUUGGAUGGUAUCCACAGUAUCCUUGAGGCCUUUGAGCUCAUCACCUAGCUUCAGCUGCGAGGCGAUCGCCUCCCAGAUGGCACUACCUAGCAUGCCGCCGACCUUCUUCAAUGCGGCCGAGGCAAGAAACUCCCCUACCCCCACCAUGUGGCUGAAGGGGACGCCAAUCACACAGUGUGAUGAGUGCUUGACGUCAGGCCGGGUGAGGAACAGUCCCAAGAGAAAACUGGAGAAGACACAGCGAGAAAUUGUCAGAGUCUCUCUGUUUUUGACCUGAAAAUCACAACCCUUGCAGCAAACUCUGUAUCAAGGACAGGCAGGAAAUAUUUACAAGCAAGGAGGAAAAGGGCAAAUAUUUCAGUCAGAAUUGAGACAAAUAAUAGCACCCAAGGUGCGCUUUAGAUCGCACUCUGUUUCAAUUAAACUGACUCGAGAUGGAAACCCCAAUUCGGAUGCGAGGUGGAAGGAAAGAAAGGUGAUUAGUUCUCAGCUUUUACCGUGAGGGUGGUGUGUUGUGUCCAGCACCCGAUGGGAUGGCAGGUAACUAAGGCCCCGUUUGGGAGGGCUUCAGCUUCGGCUUCUCUACUGGCCGAAGCUUGAGCCCUACCAAAUGACGAGAUGGCGAAAGGCUUCGGCGGAGAAGCUCCGCGAAUCGCUCUGACUGAAGCUGAUUGAGGGAGCGGGAGCUAAAAAAAAUUGGCUCCCCGCGGCUUCUCGCGUCGUUGGACACCCUUGUGCUUCGAUGGGGCCCGCGGGUGGAGGUGGCUGGCGGUGGGCGCAGACGAGGCAUGAGGAUGGCGGCGCGGGAGCAGAAGUGGCCGGCUGCGGACAAGCCGCGACAGAGGACGGCCCAGGACGACCGGCGGCGGUGGGCACGGGGCGGAGGACGUCCGGCGGCGGCGGGCGCGGGGCAGAGGUGGCCGGCGGCGCGCGCUGGGGCGUGGGCGCGUGAAAAGGGGAGGCGGGGGCGCUAGGGACGUAUCUCAGAUGGCAGCGGUGAGAUUCAGCCGGGAGAAGGAGGCCGGGUCAGAUCUUUCACCGGGUGAGAGAGGGGCGCGGCGGAUGGAACGGUCGGUGGUGGUGGAUGGAACGGCGCGUCAGUGGAUGGAACAACGCGUCAGGGUGCCUGGGAAUCAGGGGGUGAGGAGGUGACGAUAGGGUUCGGGGCGCGAUCGAUCCUACCUCAACGUAUGCGUAAGUAGAAGAAUGCAGUGGCGAGAAAUGCGUACGCGAUGGAGAGGGCUAGAUCCAGAAGUAGCAAGUUGCCGAUUCGUAGAAGCGGAAUAAUAAGCUAGUGAUGAAACAAUGCGUUAUUAGCUCGCGUUACGUUGUUUAGGUCCAGAGAGGAGCAGCAAACUCCAUAGCUUAUAGUUUUAAUUUCUCAUUGUUUAUUGCGGCCGGUCUUUUGACAGUCUAGGGACACAGUCGUCGUAGAUCUCGGGAGCCCUGGUGGAAAACAGAUCAGCUUGCGGUUGUUUAUGUAGAGUCUCUCGAGACAAGGCAUGCAUGGCUAUACUCCCACUCACCAAGCCCAAACAGUGCCAGCUCUACUAGUUUAGUUAAUAAUGUUUUAAGUGACUUUUGCCUUUGCAGAAUAGCCCAUUCUACUACGGAGAGGCGACGAACAAGCUGACCAUGUACGUAGCUGCCUGCUUGUCGUCGACCACCACCGCAGAUUCUUCUCUUGCCAUGCAUGUACUCAGCAAAGGAGCGGACCACAUCGUCGUGCAUCUCCAGUUAUCCAGUUGCUCAGGCAGUCCAGCUACUGACCAUGCAGGACUUGUCAAAACAACAUUCCACUCACGCUCGCCUUGCGUAUCUUGUGCUUAAGAGCCCUCCAAUCGCUUUAAUUGCAAGUGGUAAUUAUGCCUUCACACUUCUCAAGAAUUUCCAUCCCAACGUUUUUUAGGCGGUCAGUGCCGACUACCUGCCAACAGUUAAUUAUUUAUUGGAUUAUUAUUUCUGACUACAGUAAGGUCGUCGCGGCACUACUUGCUUAAGUACAUUUUCUUACGUUCCUGUUGUAAAAAACAAUUGGUCAUCAUUUUUUUCAUCCCUUGCACAAAGCAUGAACAGACGAUCCAAUUUCAAAUGGGCUUUACAAGGAUUUUGCAUAAACCGCCACAAAAGUUGUAACGAUCUUACGUAAAUCCUGCAUUCCAAAUGGGGCCUAAACAUUUCAUUUGGGACCUUGGAAUGCAGACUAGAUUGUGUUCCAGUAGCUUGUAUCGUCUUUCAUAAUCACGUUGCCUUUUGUUUUAAAAGCAACAAUUUCAACUAAUAAUGCCAUAAGAUCAAAUUUGUCUACUCCAUCUCAUUUCAAAUAUAAUUCAGUCGAGCUUGUGCACAAGAAUUCAUAAGGUAGGUGGUGAAGUGACACUACUUGCUUAAGUACAUUUUCGGGCAAAAAAGAUUUGGCUACGUUCCUGUUGUAAAAUAAAACAAUUGGUUCACCCUCAGCAUCAGUUCAACAAUGGCCGACUCAUCAAACUCGGACGUCAUCUUCUGUAUAGAACUUGAACUUGAACCCGGACUCAACAGUUAGCAUCCUCGGCUCCGGAUUGAACUUGAACUCGAACCUGUCUGCCUCCUUGUGGAUGCCAUCAAGCCUCUGGUUGACGUCCCUGAUGCUGCUGCCUAUCUCGUGGGCGAACACGGGUUACGCAGGCAGAAGAGCAAUCGCUGGAAGAAAUCCUGCAUCUUUUCUAUGCUCCUGCACGUGAGGGUGAAGAUGGGGUUCCGUAGGCACAUCAACCUGCACUCAUCAGCCUUGAGUUGGCACAGGUCUAGGAUGUCUGUGUGGCAUCGUACAUGGCGUCCUUGAGCUUCCUCACCCAUCUUUGCACACUCUUGUCAGUGACGCGCACCUCCUCUCUGCAUCCGCGAGGAAAGCUUUGAGGCAUCCGGGAUGGCGGCCAUGGCUCCAGAGUACGAUCUAGCUAGUACACAAUACAUGAUCCCUCCGUUUCAGUGGGAUGAGCUCAACCGGAUCUCAAAGGAAUAUACUAUAAGGGUUGGGAUUCAACUCACACUCCUUUGCAACCAGAUAUGGGUUGAAGCGGGUCGAACCCAUCCUAACCCACUUUGACUCCAGAACCAAACACAUGAAAAAAGAUUGCACGAGGAAAAAGAAGGAAAGAGAAAUCGGCGACUCGUAGCAGGGAUGACUGUACGUUGAUUUGGUUGGUUCGGAGCUAAUGUCUUAGAAGAAAUAUCUCUGUAGGAUAAAGGAGAGAAAGUAUUUUUAUUGUGUCACGGCAGGAAUAGAGCAUUCGUCUAACGCGUUUGUCGUUGUCAAGAUUAGCGGAUCAAGACUUAGACUAGUAAAUUUCUUUUAUGCGCGUAAGGCUUCGGAUGGUGGCGUGGGAGACACGGGGUUUAGACUGGUUCGGGCAAGGGAAUGCCCUACGUCCAGUAUCGGGAGCUGCUCGUGUUGCCCACGCGGGGUUCUGUAGUAGGGGUUACAGGAGUGCGAGAGAGGGAGCUGAUCCCAGGUCUCUUGGGUGUACACUGAUGCUCUAGGUGGGUAUGAGUGUGUUUUGUGGCUUGGAGAACCUCCUUUGUCUCAGGCCCCCGGUUCUCCUUUUAUAGCGCAAGGAGGCCACCAAGGUUACAGGCGAGACCGGGUGUAUGGAGAAGUAAAAGAAAUAAACAAAGCUAGGUAAAAUACAACACAAGGGGAGGGACCAAGUCCCCAGGCCACCGGCAUCCUCGCCGGCCUUCGGCUCCUGCCGGCGCGUCUGCCGGAGGAGGGCGGCCGCCGUCACGUCCCGUCGAUGGUCUCCUCGGCGGCUGUCGCCGCCAGGCGUGAUGAUGGUGUUUUGUUGUGGCACCUGUGUCCGUUGGGGCAUUAACGAGUCAAAGUUAAUGCCCUCUCACCGUGUUAUCUUGUCUAAGUUUAAUUACAUAGUCAUGAAAUUGAUUAGAUUUUGUUAACUUAAUUGGCUUGUAAGCGGUAGGCAAGAUGUCUUUGGUGAUUGUGCUCUAGUCUUUUAUGUUGAUAGAUUGAGGUUAAUUCCCUCUCAUUCGUGUUGCCUUGUCUAAGUUCAAUACACUUAUCAAGACAAUUAUUAAGAUCUAUUAAUGUAUCUAGGUUGCGUAUAGUCAGCAUCGGCUGGUCCUUGUUGUUAUGUUCUAAUCUUUUAACUUAGUAGAUUGAUGCCAAUACCCUCUCAUUCUUGUUACCUUGUAUGAGUUCAAUACACUUGUCAAGAUAUUGGCUAGAUCUGUUAGCUUAUCUGAUAAGCAUGUGGUUAACAAGGACUCCCCUUUAUGGUUGUUGCGUUACAAUGCUUUGUCUUAGCGCGUCGGCUGAGAUAGCCGAUGGCACAUGCCAUUAAUGUUUUAUUUAUUUACACUGCAUGCUUACAUUAAAUAUCUAUCUGUCAUAGUGUUUAUUCCAAGAAUGCCUACCCAUGAGUUCGAAAGGCUUCGUCGCCGAUCGGCAAUGUUUACCUUGUCAAUUUUCAGGUCAAAUUGACUGACAGGCCUUGCACCAUUCGCGAGCUGAUUUGGAGCCUGCACUGGAGGUAAGCAGAUCUCCCAGAUCAUCCGUGUUGUUCAACGCAGAAGCCUGAAGUCCGGAUUUUGCAUCAACAGGUAUAGAGAAACAAAAGGAUCUAAGGAAAUAAAACAAAAGAAAAUUAAAGGGUAUUGAGCUACGCAGACAUAGCCAGAAUCAAAGAGGGUUUGGCUCUGAGCAACAGUAAGGAGAAUUCAGACAUAAAUUUUCUUUUACAAGCUUCGAUUAUAGGAUCAAUGUUACUGAAAAUCCGUUCGUUUCUAGUGGACCAUAUGCUCCAUAACAUUAAAAUGAUGACCUCCAUGAAGAACUGGACUUGAAGCUUGUCUUUGAUGAGCUUGAAAAUUUGAAGGAGGGGCCUUGUUGUUAUGACUGACACCCCUAUAGAGGCCCGUCAAGCCUUGGUAAAGUUACAUCUUAAGAACAUAUGGGCAACCAUUUCUAGCUUUUGAAGGAUUCACAAGUCACAAGUAUAAGAGUCUAGGAUCAUGUUUUUUCAUCUAAGAAACUCUCUUGUGCUUAAACGGUCCUUGAGACUAACCAGAAGAAUACCUCGUGUUUCAUUUGGCAUUUUGAACGUUUUGAUGUCCAAUGAUAACGGGAAGCGGCAAGACGGUGAUGUCUUGCAGUGUAGCAUUGUCAUUAGUUGACGGCCAAGAGCAGAAAAAAUUAUGAGAGAAGGAAUGAUAAUGAUUUAGCCAAGGUUGAGUGCCGAUGUGAUAUACAACAAGGGAGAACUAGGAAAUCGAUGUUUGUCAUGCACAUCCAUCCGUAGUAAGCUGAAUGAAGUGGUUGACUAGAGAGAAUGAUGUGCCCAGUAAGUGAUGCAUAUUCCAUGACCACGGUAUAGCUGGCAAAGAUCACAAAGGAGAACUCUAUCUUACUAUUACUAAUUGGAGGCUCCUUUUGAAGCCUCCAGGUGAAGCCACCUAGGAUUACUAGGUGGACACUCUAAAAAAAGAGAGAAAUCCUAGAAAUUCUCACAAAAAAGCAAAACAUCCAACCAUCAAUCUAUAGCUUCAAAUCAUCAUAGCCAUUGGAUCUAUUAUAUUUUCUAAAAAAUUACCCACCUAUGCCAUUAUGAAAAUAGUCUAAAGUAACCCCCUAAAUCUAUAUAUAAAUUACCCACCCCACCUCUGCCAUUAUAGAAAAUAAACUAAAGUAACCCCUAAUCUUAAUCAAAAUUACCCACUUAUGCCAUUGUAAAAAAUAUUUAAAAUAACCCCCUAAUUUGCGACUGAAUUGCCUACCACUAUUACUUAAAAAACUUAAAGUAACCCCUUAAAUUUGCAUCUAUAUUACCCACACAUGCUAUUAUUAAAAAUAACAUGAGGUAAUAACCCUACGUAAUGUACAACAAUAUAUGAUUCUAAAUUAUCUAUAUCUUGCACUAUUGGUAUACAAUAUAAUAAUUAAGAUCUAUACGUAUGAUGUGUGUCACCAUUUAUAAUUAAAGAUAUAAAAUGAUGGGAAUAUAGAUUUCUAUGCUAAAUUAAAGAUAUAAAGUGAUUGCAUAGAGUAAUUAUUAAUUAAAAAUUAAUCAAAACUGAAUAAAGAUAGGUACAUGUAUUAUGUUGAAGUAUUGAAAAAAUAAGAGAGUAGUAGGUAAACAAUUUUGAUCAUUAGCUAAGAGUUUAACUUCUAAAUAAUUUUCAAAUACAAUAGCUUCUAAAAAUAUUAGUCCGUGCGGGAGCACGGGUUGAUGGACUAGUAUGUAAAAUAAUAUGGGAACAUUUAUUUAUGGGGCUACAACCACCGGAUAUUGGUGAUCAAAGUAAAGAAAGGAGAUUGUCACACCCGGUUUUAAGGACAAAACCAAGUGCUACCUAUAUGUAUGCCAGGAUCAAGUUUCAUACAUAUAGUGACAUCAUAAGUGAAUAACAGCAACAGUAUCACGUAAAAAGAUACAAAUAAAGACUUACGAGACCAUCAGAGAUACACAGCUUAAAUACUGAAAACGGAGACUCCAAACUUCACAGGCAAUCGACUGGGGGUUGCGUACGCCUAGAACUCAGCAUCAUCUUCGGAACAUUUCACACACCUUCUUCUUCUGAGCAGCAGUAAGCAAGGGUGAGUACACUUAUGGUUGGUACUCAGCAAGGCCACAAGAAAUAACCAGAAUAACGAUUUGAGUCCAUCUUCAAGUUUAAUUAAUCAUGUGAGGGUCCAGGCCGCUCUUAACCGUGAGCACGGCUGAUCGAUCAGUUUUACACUCUGCAGAGGUGGCACAUCUUUACCCACAAGUCGCGUAAAAGUUCAAGGAACUUUGGACCCAACCAUGCGGUGCUAGCUAGGCACCAUACCACACUUCCGAGGUGUGAUUGCAUAGGGACGCUACGAGGCCUUUACAAAGAUUCGCUAGCAAUGUGGUAACCUGCUAAGGUUUCAGGUCGAAGCAGAACAUAGCAGUCCCCUAGUUGGUAUAGUGUCUUAGCAAAGCCCACUUCCCCCAAGAGCGAGUGCUAUAUCCCAUCAACGCCUCCCCUCUUGCCCUUUCGGUAAGAUCACCCCAGACUAGAGUUUCUAAUUAUUCAGCCAAGACCAGAGCCAUUUAGUCUUGUGGUAGCACUGUUUUCCUGGGUGGUUCUCCAUGUUCCGAUAACAUAAUCAUGAUAUUAUUAACAAAGCAUAGGUAGAAGGAUGGUUAGGGACACUUGCCUUUCUCCAACAGAAAGUUACUCUUACUGCUUUUCAGCUCUUGCUCUCUUGAAGCUCUUACUCUUCAAAACUUCCGAAUAGGGAUCCUUCUACUCAGAGCAAACAUCGGCACAAACAUGCAAGCAACAAACAAGUACAACUAAGAACAAUACACCAAAAUAAAAGGAAAGCUUUAAAAGAGCGUACUAAACGACAAGGCUCGAUCUAAGGUCACGCGAAUGUAAGGAACGCUUAAAACGGAACUAUGGUUGAAAAGAUAAAGCUAUCGAGCAUUUUAAAUUAUAAAAGAAAGAUGAGAGCUACAAGCUUCAUUUAUUUUAGUUGAGAAAAACAAUGUAAAGAUAUUUCACAGAAAUAUCCUUAGUUAGAAUUAAUCAAGUCAUAUUUAUAUUUUCAUAAGAAAAGACGGUGUAAAGCUUAGUCCAAUUUUAUUUAUAAAUAUUUAAGUAUAAUUUAUGCAAUUUAAACAUUUAAUAAAAAAAAUACAUGUAGACAUCUAAGCGUAUAGCUUUACAUUUCGACUUCAACUAAGUAGAUUAAAUUAAAAACAUAUUUAUAUUUAUAUUAGCCAAAUUAAUAUUUAAUUAUGAAAACUCGAGAUAUAACCUAUAUAUAUUUUAUUUAGAAAAAAAAUUAAAUAAACAUUAAUCAAAUUGAAUUUAAUUUAUGAAACACCAAGGUAUAACUCUAAGUGGCUUUUAAUUGAAAGAAUUAUUUGGACAGGCAUUAAUCAAUUUAAUAUAAAAUAUAUUUUCAAAAACAUGUGUGAAGGAAAACUUUACCACUAACGUGUAAUUUACAUCAUUAUGAAUCUAAUGCAACUUGAACGGACAAAAACGGAAUUAAAACGUAGAAUCUAUGGUUUAAACAAGGUUGUAGGGGUCUAAACAUAAUUAACCGUAUACUUGGAGGGUUAGCUGAGAAGAUUACCAAGACUCAGAGAAUAGUCACUGCGAAUAGAUGGAUCUUCGGGGUUAGAUCUGCAAAAGAGGAUGGCUUGGAUCAGAUUGCAAGGAACUGAAAGUUACAGGGGGUUUUCUACAAGGUUUGAAAGACACAAGAAAUAUGAACAAAAAUUAACAGAUUUUCCAGGGGCUAGAUCGAAAAGCAGCGCUUCAUCUUCUUCCUCACGCCAGGAGCAUGGUGCAGCUCCUGGCCGGCGGCCUGCCGGCGUUCUGGUGCGGCGGACGCCCGGGCGGGUGGUGCAGCGCGAUGCGCAGGGCAAGGAGGCGAUGGUGCGCGUGCAGGCAAUGGCACAAGCGAGCCGGAGGUGCUGGGCGAGCAGGAUGAACGGACCAGGCGUGCUGGCCCAAGUUGCGUACAGAAACACAGAAACAGGAGGGAAAGAGAGAAGGAGGGGGUAGCCGGAAACGAAAUCCGAUCUCGCGCAUGAACGGCAAAAUGGAACGAUAUUGAUGAGACGAACAAGAUGGUGUGCUCACCUUCGGCCAGAGACGAACAAUGGCGGCGGAAAAGCUCGCCGGAGUUGGGGAAGACGACGGAGCCGACAUCGGAUUCAUGCAAUUCACCACACCACGGCGUAGAGCUCGAAGAGAGGAACUCCAUGGUGGUGUCGGUUUUCGCCGGAAGUCCACGGUUUCGCCGGAAAAGCUCGCCGGAGUUUGACGAAGACCGAACUUUGACUUCACAUCUACGGAGUUAGGAGAUGCAACUCGUGAAAAGGUUUGCAGAUCUGAAAUCCUCGCGUCGAGACGAACGCGGUGAUAUAUAUAUAGGCCACACUCGGAAAAAGAUAUUUUCGAGUUGACUUUUUAUUUUCGGAAUUUCUGAUUUUAUUUAUCUGCGCGAAAACAAUUCCAGAAAUAGCUGGACUCGUUUUCUAAAGCGAGAAAAAUACCUAGAAAAUUCCGAAAAAUCUGAGAUAAAUCUCAGAGAUGGAUUGGGAUACAAAGAAUCCAAAUAAAAUACUUGGAGCUCGUGAAAAGGAUUCUAAAGCCUUCCAAAAAUUGGAUUUAGCUCUAGGAAAAGGAGAAUAAUUUUCAGAAAAAGAUGGAAAAAAUCCUCACAAGGGUCUGGGCAACGUCUAAACGCAUUUUUCAAACUUUUACACUCAAGAAACACCAAGAUGCAGUGACAUGAAUGCACAGACAUAGAACAACAUUAUUUAAUUUAGAAAAGCAAACAAUUAGUUUCCUAUACUAAAUUUCCUGUAAAGAAAAAUAAAUGUUGGGAAAAUUUUAAAAUGAUGAGAAAAUUAUUGUUUAUUUAUUCUUUUUAUUCACAUCCUGAAAUUUGGAAAUUUCAGGGUGUGACAGAGAUGAUUACUUCUGGUGCUAUACAUUGAAUCACUAACCUUAAUCAUGCAUUGUACCUCAAACUCUCAAGCAAAAAUUUACAUCACCAGCCAAAAUAAAUGUCAUAUUCAUGUUAAAUAUAUAUAUAUAUAUAUAUAUAUAUUAUUGUCAGUACGCACCAAAAAGUGUGUGUGUGUGUGUAAAAGGUACUCCCUUUUCUCUCCUAUCAUGUUCAAAAAAUACAGAAUAUAAUGAUGGAAAAAAGCAUAGACGACACUUUGGUCUGGGCCAUUAGGACAAAAACAAUUACAAGGAUAUGACUAAACAAAACUAUUUGCAUCCAUUUAUUUAUAAAUAAACAUCCAAAAGUAGGUUAAAAAAUAGUACCCACCCUAUUUGUGCGGGCCACAUUGCUAGUUUGACUCACAAGACUGAUCAUUUAUAGCAUGGGGAGAUGGAAAGGGAGAAGAACACAGCGCUUUUAUAUUCCCCAGCAUGCAGCUGGCAAGAUUGUGGAUGAGCAUGACCAUCACGAGCUGGUUAAUAGCCAUGGGAUCGACGACGAACCUGGUUCCUCCAGCCUCAAAAUGGGUUUUACGAUUUCUCCGGACCAUUUGGCAAGCUCGCUCUCCAAGUGUUGCUUGAGGCCGUCAUCAUAGGGACUGCUAAGCCAGACUUCCACCAGACCUUUUAUCUUCUGUAGGCCAGAGAACCGCAGUGCUGACACACACCUGCAGCGAAUCCUCAGCACCUUAAGAUAAAAGUCAUCGUGAAACGUUAUUGUAGCUGGCAACCUGGCGUCAUAAGAGAUCUCGAGGAAGGAUAAGAUGACAGGAUUUUGUCUACCAAAAUGGAGGUCAUGAAACUCUGACAAAAAAAGACGUGUAUUCUCCGGCCAACCAGGACUGUCAACGAGAUCUUGCUGCAACAUAAUCAUCUGUAAACUCAAUUUUGUGAGAUUCUUAAGCUUUUUGGUCCAUACUGGUAACUUGCUUACCAGCCCGUAUAACUUAAGACUCCGUAGGUUCACUAGAUGUUCGAAAGAGAUGCCGUCCAUGGUGCCAGCUUCAUCGUCCUCAUCGACCUGCAUUCUCAAUGACAACGAUUCCAGAUGGGCAAGACCUGAGAUGGCUGAAAAAAGCUUCCAGAUGUUGUCCCGGUUAAUGCCUGACACUCCAAGUUUGUGCAACUGAGUAAGCUUCUUGAGCUCCUCUAGAAUGGCGUCCCCUUUUCCAGUGCCAAUAUCAACGUCACCCAGCGUGUGCAAGUUAGAAAGUUUCCCAAUACCUCUGGGCACCUUCACGCAAUUAUGAGAGCCAUCGUCGAGAUGGUGGUAUCUGCUCAACUUGGACAACAAGCAGGACCCCAGCUGAGUAGCACAUGGCCAGCUCAUUGGCGUUGCGGUUAGUGAUGGGUUCUCUGCUGCUUCUGUAGCUUGAUGAUGCUUGGUGGUACCAGCACGAAUGUACUGCAGUUUCUCCAGCUUGAUGAUGCUCUCUGGUAGCUUCAUCACAGAUGUUUCCCUGAUAUCCAGAGUUUGGAGGUGCUUCAGAUCGCCCAGGGAAUCUGGCAGAUGAGUGAUUUCUCGGCACCUUCUCAGGGAAAGGAACUUCAAGCAGGGCAGCAGCUUCACCAUCUGCUCGACGUCACCAUUUGUUACACCUGAAGACACGUCCUCCAGAUCAAGCACACGGAGCAGCCUCAUCUUUUCAGAGAUGAAGAACGAUUUCCACUCACCAAACACUGUCAAAGAUCGCAGCCGGGAAAAGUCAAUGCUCUUAAACACAUUUCUGUCUCUGUCCCAGCUUCGAUCUAUGGCAAGGUGACGUCCCGUGCGAUGGAAGUUCUUUUCGCAAUGGCCCUCUAGUGCAAAGACAAGAUUAUCUUCCAUCGACUGUGAUAUGAUGUAUUCACGGAAGAAACCAUUAACUUGGCACAAUGGCAUCCUCUUGGAUUGCUGAACUGAUGCUGCUGUUGUUUCUGUUGUUCGUGGCACCUGGACCAUGCUUAGACUGACGAGCUUGGAAAAGGAUAUCUCCCCGUUUUUCUCUGCGGUGUUUUCUUUACUGUCUCUAGAGUAUCCCUCCGCGAUCCACCGUCUCACCAAACGCCUCCGCCGGAUCGUGUGGUUCAGAGGGAAGAUUGACAGGUAGAAUAUACAUGGCUUGAGGAUAUCUGGGCAGGAACGGAAGUAGGAAAGCAACCAGGCAAACAGAUCUUCUAGGCUUGGUUUGUCCUUCAACGCAGACACAAGGUUAUCUUUUCUGAGAAAAUCCCAAAAGAAAUUGCGUCGCGAUCAUCACCAGCUAUAGCGCAUAUAACUUUGGGAAGUCCACCACACUUGUGCAAGAUUUGCAUUUUGUCCUCGGUCCCUUGUCUCUGAAGGUUAUAUCUCUGAGAAACAUAUUGUCCAAAUGAUAUAUAUAUAUAUAUAUAUAUAUAUGAAUAAAUUUAUUUAUUACCAAAAAAAGAUAACCAUAACGAUGGCAUAAAAAAGAGUGUAAAAUUUCUCUUAAAAAAAAACCAAAAACAUCCCGCCCUGAGAUAUUAUGCAGCUACCAUGCAAAUUUGGCAUGUAUAGAUUACUGCAUACUACAAGGUCAGUCUUGAAUUGGAUUUUGAAAAUAGACUAUUUGCUGGAUUAGGUACAUUUGUUAGUUACACCUUCCAAUAAAAAUGGACUAUUAAUUUGACGCAAUACAUUUAUGAGACAAACCUUUUUCAAGAUAAAUGCUAAAGUUAACUGUUGAAUCUAGCCGUGCCCUACAAAUGCACGGGCCACCCCACUUGUUAUUUCUAAAUGAUAUAAGUUUGAUGCUGACAUUGUGCGUUUUUGUUGAUGUCUAAGCACAUGGACAACAUUGUAAGUAAUAUGAUUUAAUUAGGAUAAAUAAGCUGUGAUGUGGUCUAAGACGAAGAGGGAACAUAUGUUGUUAUGACAAGUAUCAAGUCGUUCUCCAGAGUCCAAAAAGUAAAAUAUGACCUUCAUUCCUACCUUGAUCCCAAAUAUCAGCCUAUUUCAAUUAUGUAUAAGAAUUUAGGUGGUCUACCCAUCACUUAUUGUUGCAAACAGUAAGGUAGUUGGAAUGUCUAUUUCAUUCAAUAAGCACAACUAUAUAGGGGCAAAAUAGGAAAGGGUGGGGUCAAAUAGAGCUGCCACGAUGUUUGCUGCUGGACAUGUAAAUAUGGCAUAUAUAAGAUGCCAUGCAAGAACGUUUAGUCUACAUGACAGUGACUAAACGAAGAGAGAGAGCAAAACUAUCUCUUCACCAAGAAAUGGAUUUGGCACAUGAUAUGAUGACCAGCACAAUUGACAAUGUUAUAUAAACAAUGCUCUACCAUUGUAUAUCUCGUCUAUGUGUCAUCAUUAAUUAGUAUAUAAUUGUUGAGAAACGAUGACAUAAUAAAAAAAUCUCAUUAUAUGAGCUAUUUAUAUUACUGUCUUUAUGUGACAUGACAAAAACUUUUAGAUGGUUGUUGUCUAACGGUUGUACAUGCCCUAAUUGUUGAGGUAAUAGAUAUGCUAGAUGGACUUCUAUUGGGGAUAAUAUAGUUCUCCAUUUUUAUUAAAGAUUUUCUUGGUUUAGAAAGUGCUUGCAUGAAGCUAACUAAACAAGGAAUUUUGUGCAUAAGAUGUUAAAUCUAAUUCAAAGAUGGAACUCAUUGGUAUACUGAAGGAAUUAUUAGAAUUGCGGAAUGCUUAUUGCGAGUAAACGGACCUCUGCGAUGAGUUCAAAGGCGCUGUCAACUCCGAGACCUUUGACAUUCCACACAUUCUUGCUGUUUGUUGCGCAGUAUUGUGCGACACAUUCUUCAUUGGUAAUGACAAAUAUAUCCAAGCCGAAUUUUUUGGUUCCUAGUUUCAAGGCAGCUUCUAUCAUGUCCCAUUCUUCUGUAGAUUGCAGACCGUCGAUAACAAUUGUGCAUCCAAAUUGUUCAUGUAGAUAUUCACGGCACUCUUGAAUUAGGUCUUUCAUCGUUGACAUCUGGCGGUCAUGGAGAUAUCCAGGAUUCAAAUCCAAAAGUAAGCGCCAUGACAAGUCCAUCAAAUCGAAUGGAUGGGAUACAUUCACCCAACCGAACUUGAUAUAAGGAUCUUCAAUCCGCAUCUCGUAGCAGAGAUGUUUGACAAGAAAUGAUUUGCCAACACCAGACAUCCCCCACACAGAGGACACAGGCCCAGUACGACGAGACCUGCGCAUAGAGAAACAAAGUAAAUCCGCCUCUUGGCCAACAAGUGGAUGUUUGUCCAGCCAUUCACGAGCAGUUUCCCGCAAGUCCGCCACGGUUUGCUCAACUUUUCCGGGCGCAUCCUGCAAAGAAUUGGAAAGAGCAUUGUCAAUUGGGUUUAUUUAUUGUGUCAAAAUUACAUCCUUGUAGAAGACAACAUACAUGCUCCGAGUGAAGUAAAAUGCAUCCAACAAAGACAAACAUACACGCGUGCAGUAUUAUGCUUUAUUUGUAGCAUCCAUGCAGCAAAAGGUUAAGAAGCAUGAAUCAGUUUUAUAUCACCUGGGCAAAAUGAUCUGAGUAUUCAAUAACACACUUUGACUAUCAAUAUAUAUCAUAUAUUAUAAUACUCAUGACCAUAAAAUUGGCAUCAUAUGAAAGUGCUUUCAAAUUGGAAUGAUAUGAUAAAAGUUUGUACGGUAUAAAAUUUACAAAUCCUUGAUAAUCCAUUGAUACCAUGUUGUAUAGUUAGAAAAUUUGAAUGUUGGAUCUUCGAAACACCCAGUGUUCGAUAGGCACAUCCUUCUAGAUAAACCAUUCUUUACUUUAGAGGUCAAAUCAAAAUGUUGGAUAAUUCUGCGAUCCACAAAUUAAUCACCUAUGUACAACCAUGCCAUAUACUACACGAUGCUAACCGCAAUUUGUGGUUGCCUGAACACUUGCGUCUCAGUCCCACAGACCAUCCGUUGCUUCCACAGUUUAACCUAGAGUAAUCACCGCCAUCCGCAGCUUGUUCAGUACCCCUUUCAUAGUUUUUUCUUUUGCGGAAUUCAUAGUUCUUCCUCGUGAUCCUAUAAUUUAACUGUUUUGAAUUUCUCAACCCCUAUGCAUCAACUAUUUACAAACGCAAAAUGAUGAAAAAUAAUAAUGGCAUAAUUGGCAUGUAAACUAAGUUUUGUAGAAUUACAUUAUGAAGCACAAGUCAGGAAUGUGAUAACAGUCAAAUACGUGCAUUGCAGACCACGUUGAUGCAAAAAUGUAAUGGAAGUAGAAGAGCGAGUAUAUCAUUUUAUUGGAAAUAAUUGAGCAUACCUCCUCGACAAGGGCAUAGACAGAGUGAUGAGCCGAGAUUUUUUCAAGCUCCAAUAGUCGGUGUGGAUGCCUGACACAAAGGCUUGCAACUUCAAACUGAUGCGUGCUGACGAUGAUGCAGCUGCCGUUCUUGUUGUCUGGCAGGUAAGCCCUUACCGCCUCCCAGUCAUCCAUGGUGGUCACGUCUUCAAGGACAACAAGGUAAUUUUGACGGCACAUUUGCUUCAUGAAUUCGUUGAUCAGAACGCCUUCUGUGGCCACCGUCAUCUUCACAACAAAAUCUACGGUAGCGCUUUCUUGUGGACUAUAGCUUCUGCAAAAUUGGGCCACCAAGCGCCUGAUAAAUUCCCGGGCAUUGAAAGGAUGCAUCAGCUUCACCCAGGCGCGGCAUCUGAAGUUGGUGCAGAUUUGUGUGUCUUCAUAGGCCUUCUUGAUGACGGACGCCAUCCCAACUGUUCCUAACAACGAGAUCACUUGAAGGGCAUGGUCACCUUUCCCGCUGAUCAACUUGACGAGUGCCACAGGUGGCCAGAUGGGCUCCCUGGCGGCUUCCCUCGCUGUGGCGGAACGAGGGAGGAUGUUUGAUGCUGUUGCGCUGGCCGCACCCUGCUGAUGCGUCUGCUCGGCAGGCUUGGAGCCAGGGUUACCGGUGUGGUUGUAGCGCAGGUUCCGCUGACCCAUGGCCUCGACCCUAGCCUUGAGUAGCUCUAUACCAGCGACAGCGUUGUCCAAGGCCACGGCCGGCGCCGCCGCUGGUACCCAGGAGGGGAGCAUGCGGCGCCACCAGCUCGAUUUGUUGUCCAGGUAGAGAAUGGAGUCAAUGCAGUCCUCCACGUCCAGGGCCAUGUCGCGGACCUGCCUCACGCAAGUCGUCGUCAUAUCGUCCGCGACACGAUCCUUGGCAACGUUGAGGAAGGAAUGCAUCAUCUCGAACUCGUCCGAGACAAGCAUAAGGUCACGCUGAACGCUCUUCUGCAGCUGCUUCUCCUCCUCAAUAGCGGACUUGGCAAUAUUCACCGUCUCCUUGACCGCCGACUUCGCCAAACCCAGCACAAGGUCCGCCAUUGCACUCCCGUUCACUCUUCGAUCUGUGUGAGGGGAGGUGGGUGGGUGGGUGGGUGGUGUACAAGAUAGAACCUGGUGACGAUGCUUGCAAAUAUAUAUUAUGCUUCAAAAUCAUGCAUGACAUCGGCUGCAAGACAGAAAAUUUGCACAUUAUAAAACAAGAGUGUCGCAGUAAAAGAAGCCAGUUAGAUUCCCUAAUUAAAUUAACAGUGGGCUUUCCCUUAUGGUCUUAUUUUUAGGGCUAAAAGUUGCUUAUUUGGAGGAACUAACCUCAAUCCUACCUGUUUGGUUCCAUGAGCAAAACAACAUUUAAUAAGGUGAAGAAUGAUUUGUUUACCUCUAAUCAUUGCGACGCGUGGGGGGAGAGAGAGGAAUCAGAUAGGCAUUGAAUGAGAGCAAUGGGUGUCCAGUGCACCUUUUAGUCCAAAUAAGCAACCCAAAAUUACCUUAUGGACUAAACUUUAAAAGCUAAACUUUAACUUAAAUAAGCAAGGAUGUUCGGCUCUUUAUUUGGUACUAUAAAAGGGACUAAAAUUUAAUCUCUAAAGUUUAGCAAGGGUACAGCCCCUUAAUCUUCGCCGGCCAAGCACUUAAAUUAAGCUAGGUCAGACAGCUGAUGCAUCGAACGCAGCAGCAGUGAAAAACAAAUAAAGGCCAGUGUGCUCUGUAAGAAAUAUAAACCAAUAAAAUACAUCUUGGCAGAAUGGGGUCAAGUGGGUCUAUAGUCUAUUCUUGUGGCAGUAAGCUGAUCCUUUAUAAUACCGCUGGAUCGGAUCUCGAUCUCCUUGAUUAGCGCUCCACUAGCCCACUAAUGCUUGUCUCGUACUCCAACCACCGAUACCCAGCCCAAAAACUAUGCAUCGGGGAUUCACUUAACUUUUUAUUAUUUCGAGGUCUAAUUAAUAACACUGUUUGGAUUACGUAUGGGUUGCCUGCUGCUGGUAAAUACAUCUAUUUAUCUUUCAGCAAAAGCAUGCCUGCUGGGAAAUAUUAGUUCUGAAAUCUGAGCGCAUACCAGCUGUCAGUUAACAUAUUGUCUGUCAGCAAAUCCCUGCCAGAGCUUACGAUAAGUGGUCCGUCAGCAGACGUCAUCCCCCAACGGAUAAAGUACCCCAUAUUGCCUUCUUCAAGUUUCAUGAUGAAUGCAAUUCUCACACCUUGAAAUUUUUGGAUCUCACGAGGUGAUUAGGAGGAAUAAUUAAACAAUCAUUUUCUCGUAAUUUUAAAAUUUUUCAACAUUUGUUUCUUGACAGAAAAUUUAGUGUAGGAAUAUAAUUGGUUGUGUUUCCUAAACUAAAUGAGGUUGUUCUAUGUGUGUGCAUUCAUGCCCAUGCAUCUUGGUGUUUAUUGAGUGCAAAGGUUUUAAAAUGCCUCUAGACGACGACAAGGUUCUUCUGAGAAUUUACCAGUUUUUUCUGGAAAUUAUUCUCAUUUUCCUAGAGCUAAAUUCUUUUCACGAGCUUCAGUUAUUUUAUUUAGACUCCUCGUGUCCCAAACUAUCUCUAGGAAUUUUUCUGGAAUUUUUAGGAUUUUCAGAGUAUUUUUUGUGGGUUUUAUUGAAUUAUCUGGAUUUUCCUUUAUACGGGAAAUUACUUCUGAAAAGAAAAAGAAAAGAAAACCUCAACCUACCCUUUUGGGUUAAGCCCGCACCCACAAGCUCUACCAUGGCCCAACUCUCCUUCCCACCCUCGGGCCUCAUUGGCUCAGCCCAGUCCAGGCCCGACCAGCCCAGCCAGGCCCAACCGGGACCAUCUGCUCUACAGCUCUCUCCCAAGCUGCACAGGCAAGCAACGCCACCACCAAACCUUUUUGGUGUGUGUGCCACGCCAGGCGCAACCACCGGCGCCCUAUCAAUAGCGAAGCCCGACCCCCGCACGCCACUGCCAUCCUCGCAAGCCACCCUGCCUCGCCUGUGCUGCACCGCCGCCUUGCAAGCCCGCCAGCCGAGUCGGGCACCGCCACCGACUUUCCACUCGAUUCACCAGCUCCGCUGCCCGCCGGACGAAGCCGGCCCCUUCUAGAGCUUCGGGACGUCGUACAACGGUAGAAGCACCAUCGGUGUAGCCUGGGAGGAUGAGCCACAGCGACGGCUGCGUUCUCUCACCGUAUUAACUCACGUACACGUAAGAUGAACUAGCUUUGCUGGCGGUAUACAGACGCCCUCGCAACCACCGUGUACGUGCCCUAAUCUGUCCUGAAAAUUCUAGAAUGCCUUAUAUUAGGAUAGAGGGACAGAGGUGGUACUCUUCAAAUAUCUAGCCCAAAAACCAUGUCAAGAACUUACAACAUGCCUAUAAAUACCCGACUCAAUUCAUUGCAUGCUGCGACACUCCUACCUUUUGCCUUUUUCUUAACAAAUCCUUGCAAUGUAAAUAUAAAUCAUAAGCAAAUCAAAUCAAUCGAAAUUUUUUAUAUAUCGUUUCUUUGUAAAUAGCCACACCAAGAACAAUGUCUUGUAGUCUGAACAGACGAAAAUGGUGGAUGCCUUGGCUUGCUCAGGUGGCUUCUCAAACUUGUAGUCUUAAUUGAUGAAAAUGGUAAUUGCUUUGACUUGCUCGGGUGUUUUUUUGAGCCCUGGCAACCUGCCAAUUGCCUCACCAAACAAGUUGAUAGCUAGAGUUGCCCAAGCUCAAAAAGAUUAUUGUUCUUUUCUCCUUCAAUAAUGAUUUUGCUCCCAUGUUUUGUGAAGCGCUUUCCACGAUUGUUUUCACAACAUGUUCCAUACUUAUAGCUCAAUGCAAUGCAAAAGCAUCCACAUAUUCCAAUAUUAAUUCACUGGUAUGUGGAAUAUCCAACACCUUCUUGGAUUCUAAAAAUUUUGUGCCCAAGUAUCAAUAUCAGGUGCAACAUUUUCGUGUCAGUUUACCUGUCCGCAUUGCUUCACAUAUCCGUACCUUGUCAAGAAAGGUCUAUUUUCCUGACAGAGAUUUCAUUACCGUCAGUGCAAUGUGACCUUCCACAAUAGCCUGUUGCCGCUUGGUGUCCAUUGUGCUGCCACGGACGGAGUGAUCCCUUUUACAGUUUCUUUCUUUUGUUUUCUGUGGAGGACUUGAGAAGAGUCCGGUUUUCUAGAGAAUACUUUGUGCAAAUGAACAGAAGUAAUGUUCCUCCCUUCUAUACGAAGUUCACGUUAGGUGAGUACUCGAUCAUGUUAUUAAUUUAAUACUAGAUACUCCUCGCUCCAUAUGGUUGCGUGAGUCCGCGAAACUUGCUGACAUUGGCUUCUAGAGCGAGGAAAUAUGUUAACAGGAAUGAGAAUAUAUAACAAGCAGCUCGUACAACUAAGUGCGCGCCUUAUCACCUAAUCACCUAGCCAAGCAUCUAAUCACGUGGGGUACCUUUUUUUAUUUGUCUCCUCUUUGAGUAUCCUAUGCUUGACUUGAACCUAGUCUUGCGUAACCAAUCCAUCUUCUCCCGGGUUACUUUACAAGUUUUGAACUGAAUCAACAUAAGGGGCCUCUCAUAUCAGAACCUCGCUUUGCUCCCUUUCGUUGUGUUCUCCCAGCUAGGAUCCCUCAACUGUUUUUCUCGGCCCCGAGGUUAGUACCUUUAAUCAAGAAGCUGGUGUUUUUUCUGUUCCACAAACAGUUAAACAUAUCUAUGUAUAUUUUGUAAUUAUGUCUAGUUGUAAUACAACUGUUUUGUUUGGAUAAAAGAUCUAGUUGUAACGAUAUGAGUUGUAGCAGCUUAAAUCUAUAUCUAAAAUCAUCAGAAAUGGACACUGGUUCGAGCACGCCAAGCCUGCUGAGUACAGUGCCGAAGGAUCUAUCAGCAGCAUUCCUGCGUGAUAUUACGGAUGGUUUUUCCACUGACAGAGAAAUAGGACAAGGGGCGUUUGGAACAGUUUAUAAGGUAUGUUUACGACCUUUUCUGCGUUUUUCAGAAACUGGUAGGCAUGCCAAUAUAUAGUAUAUGGACGGUUAAACAGGGAAUCCUCCCAGAAGGGGAUUGUAUUGCUGUGAAGAAGCUUGUGGAUGAGGACAUAUAUGACAAACAAUUUCAAAAUGAGAUUACGCAUCUUAUGAAUGUCUGUCAUGAAAAUAUUGUGAGGAUAGUUGGCUUCUGCCAAGAACGUGAAAAGAAAGUUGUGGAGCAUAAUCGAAGAUAUAUUAUUGUAGACUCAGUUGAAAGAUUUAUCUGCUAUGAGUAUUUACCAAAUGGGAGCAUUGAUAAGUGUAUAUUUGGUACGGUAAUUUUUUAUCUUUUCUUUCUUUCUUCACUCAUACUUUUUAAUUUGGAGUGUGGAUAUCAAUUGUUAUAUAUUACUUCAGUUUCCUGCACUAAAAUAUUAUUCUCUCCAUCCCAAAUUACUAUUGCUUUUGUUUUUUCUAGAUAUAUAGUUUUUAUAUGCACCUAGAUAUAUAUUAUCUCUAGGUACAUAGAAAAUGUUAUGUAUCUAGAAAAGUCAAAAUGAAUAGUAAUUUGGGACGGAGGGAGUAUGAUGGAACUGAUUAUGGUUCAGGCUAUGAACAUACGCUUUCUAGUCACUAUGUUAUGAAAAUUGAUGUUUUGGAGGUCCUUAUACCAGAUUACUCAUAGAGGAUCUAUCCUUUUUUCUUUCUUCAGAUGAUACACUUAAUUGGGCUACACGCUUCAAAAUUAUUAAGGGGAUCUGCCAAGGUUUACAUUUCCUACAUGAGGGAAUGGAAACACCUACAAUUCAUAUGUCUCUUCAGCCUGCCAAUGUAUUGUUGGAUGAUAGAAAGGUGCCUAAAAUUACAGAUUUUGGUUCGUCGAGAGUCUUUGGUCGUGCUGAUAAAUCAAUGAUGAUCACACAAAACCCUGUGGGAGUAAUGUAAGUUUAAUUCAGAUAGUGCAAUAAGAGUACUUUCCCAUCAAGUAACAAUGCUUACGAAACUCUUGUUGGUAAUGUCAUUCAGUGGAUACAUGGCUCCAGAAUAUCUUUAUAGAGGUGAAAUCUCAACCCAAGCAGACAUAUAUAGCCUAGGCUUAAUGAUAAUCGAGAUCACAACUAGGAAGAAGAAUUAUUCAGACGAUCGAGACAAGUCUGCCCAGAGAUUUAUUGAUGAAGUAAGGCAGUGUUGAUGAUUAGUUGAUUACAAAAUAAUUUUCAUAGAAGCAUGUGUUACAUUUAUUUCGUGUAUCCGUUUUUACAAAAGAUAUAUUUUUAUUUUUAUUUCGUGGUUUAUUAGUGAGUAUUAUGAGUUGAGUUAUGUAGGUGCGCCAGACAUGGACGGAUGAUGUGUACAUUUUAUCCAAAUACUCCCAAUUGGAUGCAGGCUUACUGCAAGAAGUAAAGGCAUGCAUUCAAACUGGGCUUAAGUGUGUGGAUAUUGAUCGCAAGAGAAGACCUUCCAUAUCUGAAAUUGUUAGACUGCUCAAUGCUGCAUGGUAAACGGUGGACGAGGUAUGACUAGGAAUAGCAUACAUUCCCUCUGGUCUUUGCACAUACUUACCAAAUUUUACUUUGCACAUAUAUAUUUAAAGUCCUUAAUAUUUAUGGGAUUUUGCAAGUGUUGCUCAAUACAAUUCCACAAAUACAACUUGCAUGCUUUCAAACUUAAUAAUGUAAAAGUUAUUGAUGUUUUUAAUUUUUAAUCUUUGACAAAACCUUGUCCUAAACAACAUGUUUUUUAUGACUGGAGUUACGGGGUGUUUGGAUACGAGGUGUUAAACUUUAACAGUGUCACAUCGGAUGUUCGGAUACUAAUUAAGAGAACUAAACAUGAGCUAAUUAUAAAACUAAUUGCAGAACCCUGUGCUAAUUCGCGAGACGAAUCUAUUAAGCCUAAUUAAUCCAUCAUUAGCAAAUGGUUACUGUAGCACCACAUUAUCAAAUCAUGGACUAAUUAGGCUUAAUAGAUUCAUCUCGCGAAUUACACUCUAUCUGUGCAAUUAGUUUUGUAAUUAGCCUAUAUUUAAUACUCCUAAUUAGCAUCUAAACAUCCGAUGUGACGGGUGUUAAACUUUAACACCUGGUUCCAAAUAGGCCCUUAGUAUAUGAUCACUAAUAGUUUUCUUAGUUUUUUGAGAGGAGAGGAGUUUUCAUAGUUUUACAUGCAACAACUACAUAUGAUCACUAUUAGUGGAAUCUUGUACUUCUAUAUAUGGCAAACUGAUCAGGUGAUCUUAACAUGCUAUCUCAAACUACAGGUCUACAUAUAUACCGUGUUCGCAUCAUGAAUAAAAGUUGUCAUUGUGGAGAAGACAUGGCCAAGAUGAAAUAAAGCAUGCUCUAUUAUUUCUAGAAGACCUGAACUUUUCUAUCACAACUAAGAUUCCUUUGAUGUAAUUUCAUUGUGGAAGCUACAUUUACUCCUCUUUUGGAGAUUGACACUCCAAAAGUGAUUUUCGAAGACACCCCAUUUACGGCACAGGUGGUCCACAAGGGAAUACGCUAGGGUCCUCAGUCAUGGAAAGCCUAUAGAAAUGAGUUUCCAGAGAAUGUUGGUUCAGCCGAUCAUGUCUGAAAAAGGUUGCUGACUUAAGUGACUGCGUUAGGAAAUCCCCAUUACUAGACGUAGACACUUAAGCUGAUGGACUAGAAAUUGAUUUCAAGAGAUGGUUCCUCAAUUUGGGCUGCCUCUAGAAACUGUUUUCCACAAGAGGCAAAAGAAAAGGUCAUCCCAUUUCCGUUAUCAAUAGGUUUGUGGUGGGAUGGCAAGGGGGGAUGUUGUUGUGGGUUUAAAGGUUGACACCCCCCCCCACACACACACACACAUUUCACGCAAAAAAUUGCAUGUGUGGUGCAGCUCAAUGGUUUUUACAAAUCUUUUUGUAGUUUUUCCAUGCCCAAUGUUAUCGUAGACAGACCGACAUAACCAAUGUCAUGUGGAAAUGCAUUUUUAGAGGUAAUUAAUUCCAGAGGUAGUGAACUUAGGGAACUUCCUCUAAAAAUGUCUUUUCUUAAUACGAUUGAUUGUCCACCUAUGAAAAUGCACCAUUUCCAUAUGCGAUGUCACACCUGGUUUUAAAAAUAAAUCAAAUGUACACCAUAUGUGUGCCAGGAUCAAGUUUCAAACAUACAACAAGCCAAUAGUGAAUAACAGAUACAGUAUCAUGUACUAACGAGUUCAACUAAUACAAAGUGACAUAAAUCUCUAAACAAAAUAAACAUACAAACGUCUCCUAGCAGCGGAUUACCAUUCUCCAUAGGCAUUCAACUGGGGGAACAUACGCCUAGCACUUAUGGAAAUCUUCUAAUACUAACAUCCUCUUGUUCUGAGCAGCAUUCAUUGUGUGGUACAAAUAUAUGUAGGAAAUAGCAAGUGUGAGUACAUGCCGUACUCCCACUACUACAGAAGAGGCCAUCACCGCUGGGCUAUCACCACCAGUUAUAGAUGAAUCAUUUGUGAUGCCUUUUCACUGUCGGUUUUGGAGCAAAUGGGGGCAGCAGCCUUUACAACCGGCGGUGGUGCUCGUUUUCAUUGCCGGUUCCUUAUUGAGCCGCUAGUUUCAAGCAAGAGCCAGCAGCGAUACUCGAUGCGAACCUGAAAUUUUUCUUCAACCCAAUUUAGAAAACGACUUUGCGUCCACUUGCCUCCCUCUCCCCACUCCUCCCCUCCCCCACCCUCUCUCCACCCCCUCCCUCUCUCCCUCUCACCCCAGCCCUCUAUCCCACUCUCCGCGGGCCCCCUCCCUCCCUUCCUCUCCCGCCGGCCCUCCCCUUCUCUCCCUCUCCGUUCGCCGCCCCUCCGCUUGCUUCCGCACCCCCCCCUUUCCCCCUCCACUCGCUACCCCCUCGGCCUGGCAUAGAGGAGCGCUGGCAGCGUGCAGGGAUCCGCAGCGGCAUGGCAGGAUCCGCGGCUGGCAGUAGGGAUCCACAAUGCAGCGAGGCUCCAGUGACAUCAAGAUGUGCGGGGUAAGCAGCGGCAGUGACAAGGCCGGGUCAACGGUGGCGGCUGCAGCGUGAGUAGCAGCAGCGAUGCUACCUAGGGGCCCACGGUGGGCGCGGUGCGAUGGCGGUGGGGACGCCAGGUAUAUUUCUUCUUUUUUUUGUGAUGUGCAUCACCGUCAGUUCCUGGUUUAGCGGUGAUAGGGACUCCUAUCACCGCCGACCUAAUAAUGUCCUCACUCAAAAUGAGGGUUGCCUAUAUCAUAUUGAGAUAUGAGAUACAUCCCCCUAAUGCUGUUCUAUGGACAUUCUUGAGGCACUGACUCUGGAGCCAAAAAAAAGGUUUAGUCAACGAGCACAAAAGUUUCAUACUAGAACCACUAGACCUAUGCUAGUCAAUUCACUGUGCUAAGGGCACAUGCAAGAGCUACAACCACCCUAUGCCCAUUGAUCACAAUUAAUUUGAAAGGAUGUUUAUGGAUGCUUUUGUUUACCAUAAGUGUAAUAAAUCUUGUAGUCAUUUUCGGCACAAGUCUUGCAGCUAGCCAAUAUAAUCCAAGUUUUUGGUACCCUAUAAUCCAAGAUAAGAUAUAAUCUCCUACUGUUUUCAAAUCUCAGAAUCUUUUGCAGUAAUCUCCUACUGUUUUCAAAAAGUGGUAUGUCAAUCGUAACAGGAUUAGACAGAGGGAAGUACCGAAUGGUUGCUUGCAGAUGAGGUGAUUCUAACUUUAGACUUUGCAUGUAGACGGCGUGGAGGAUAUGAAUAGUUGCAUGCAGAUGAGAUGGUGCUGACAUUAGCCUUUGCAUGUAGAUGGCGUGGACGAUUUGAGGUAAAUGACACAAGAACACACACCAUAUAUAUAGUGGCAUUGUUGGACCUUGUUUAGUUACCCCAAAAUCCCAACUUUGGCACUAUGCAAAAAUAAGAUUCCCCAUCACAUCAAACUUGCGGUACAUGCAUGGAGUACUAAAUGUAGACGAAAUAAAAAACUAAUUGCACAGUUUUGUUGUACUUUGCGAGACGAAUCUUUUGAGCCUAAUUAGUCAAUAUUUGGACAAUAAUUCAUAAAUACAAACGAAACACUACAGUAUGCUACAGUGCUGGCACAGUGAUUUUGGUUGUCCAAAAUUGGGCAACUAAACAGGGCCUCGUUCUCUUCUCAUUAAUUGUUAAUAGAAGUUACUACAUGUACCUAGAACUCCUAAACUAGGUGUCCUAUCAUAUGAUUUGCAAUUAAUUCCAUUAAGCUUGAAGCAGGUGGAAAGGGCACUUGCAUCGAUAGGAGGCGCACGUGCACAGAGAGUCUGUUAUGUCUUUUAUCUUUUAAUGAAACUAGGUGGCGUUGGGGCUGCUGGCCUUUCCUCGCUGUUUAGCAUCCUGAGAACAUCCGGCAUGGUUGGCCGCUCCCUUGGAUUGUCUUGGGUGCACAACAGUCCGAUAUGUAUUCUUCUUUCCACUUCCUGUAGCUGUGACUCUCCACAAGAUGCAGAGUCAAAUAAAUCCUUCAGACUCUGAGCUUCCCGUACCUCCCAAGCCUGUGAAAAAGGUGUCAGUGUGUAUAACAAGGCAACAAGUAAAACCCAUUGUGUAACUGAAGUUCUUCAUGUGGUCAGCUAAGUUGCCAUUUUCUUCAGAUCCGUCUAACCAAUUUUGAUUAACGUGUUGGAUCAUUAACACACUAUUGCUUCUUGACUGCAUCAUUUUGGUCGAGAUUGGUCACUGACUAGUCCUAAGAUGAACAUCCACAAAUUCAAACAAUGAUGACCUAUAUGCUACGUUAUUGAGACUGCUAUUUCUUUGAUAAUCUUAUACUUGUCUGUAUUGAAAGAUCAUGUUGAUGUUUGGUGUAGUAAAAUUUGGAAAGGUAAGAGAACUUUUGAGAUUAUACGAGGCUACUACCCAAAGUAUGAGGUGGCACCCAAAUAGAACGACAUAUCCUUAAAAGGAACAACAUGACAUGAAGAGAUGAGCAAUUAUAAACCAAUCCAGUUUUUUAUGCUCAGAAAUUAUUGCUAGCGCUGACAGCGAGCAAGAUGCAGAAUUACCAAAUAAAGUAUGACCUACAAAAGGAUUCCUCUUUUUUUUGUGUCACAGCUGAUUACACUUUUUUCCCUUGUUGAAAAAAGUGGACAGUUUAAGGCCAAUAUCUCCACCGAAGUAUGGAUAUCAGAAUAGAUCGAAUAAUGAUGAAUGCAAAAAAGAGAAAACCUUUAUCUGAACAAGUUCCUUGUGAAGAUACCCAACCAAUGCCUGCCUAUAAAUGUUUUACGUACCCACUCAAUUGAAUGUUGGAGAAGUCCAGACCUGCUCAUUCCUCUAAUGGUAGAUAAGACUAAGAGGCCAAAACUGUAGACAUCAUUCUUGGCUGAGAUGACACCUUGAGCAAUAUAUUCUGGAGCCAUAUAUCCCCUAAAUGGUGAAAAAAUAAAUAAAUGGGUCAGCAGAAGGGGGGAAGCGACAAGAAGCUUGAUCGUGCAUGUCAUGGCAACAAAAAUACAGUAUAUAUGGAAAGUCGUCCUACAGGGUGCCUGCUAACUCUUCCGUGACUUCUUGAGUCACCUCUUGAUCAAAUAUUUUGCACAUUUCAAAAUCACAGAUUUUAGGGUUCAUAUUAGAGUCAAACAGGAUGUUUUCUGGCUUCAAAUCCAUAUGGAUAAUGUUUUUCCAGUGCAGAUGAGCUAUGCCUUGUGCCAUCCCUUGAAUUAUUUGGAAUAUGAUAGACCAAUCCAUCUGCGGACACUGUCCUGGAAAAUUAAAAAAUCAAACAUCCUAUAGAGUUAACAUUGUUAAGCUAAAUUUUGCUCCAAAUGAUAACUGGAGUCAUUCUUUAAGUGGAAACAUGCCUUCGAUAAUGUCGGACAAGUUUCCAUUCGGGGUGUACUCUUCGACCACUAUCAUACUAGUUAUUUCAGCCUCCACAUAGCGGCCCUUGUAUAGCAUCUUCUCGUAUGUGGUUUCCUGGCAAUAUCCGAGAAAGCAAACUAUAUUUUGGUGCUGACCCAGCAAUGCAAAGACAUUCACAUAAUGAUCUACAUCUCUUCGUAAGUGCCGAGCUGCACAAAAUCUCUUUAUGGCAACCAAUACGUCAGAUAUUACACCCUGGAUCAUAGGCAGCAAUUUUAAUCACGAAUGCAGUUAACGUGAUAUUAUAAUUUGAAUGCCUCAAACAUAAUUAAAAUACCAAGCAUAUGGAGUACCUUGUACACAGUAGCACUGCCACCUCUCCCAAUCAGGUUGUGUUCCGAGAAGUUAUUUGUAGCGGCCUUCAUCUCAGAUAAACUGAACAUUCUAAAUCCUGUCAUAAAAACAGGUACACAUACAGGCAUAAAUGAUGUUCUGCAAACACACACCAGCAAGAUCACUAUCACUAGUGAAUAAUAAAUAGCUCGAAUUCAAGAUCAAAGAGGCCGGUAAACAAAUAUGUGAUCUUACCUGAUUGGUUGAGAAAGUGCUCCAUACAGGCUGGAUCACUUUUUCUCUCACCAUCAGCUCCAAAUCUGUCAUCGUACAUUCGAUAAGCAAAAUGAGUGCCCUCCGAUCGAUGUAAUAAUACUGAAUGGAGGUAGACCAAUGGUGGUAGCAUAAUGGUAAGGUUUUAGAUGCUUCCUCCAUCCCAAUUGUAAAUCGUUUUGGCAUUUCACCUAGAAAUGCCAAAACGAUUUACAAUUUGCGACAAAGAGAGUAGUUUACCAGGGCUUUUAUGGAAAUAAAAGCUAAAAUUGCGCAAGUGCAUACUUUGAUGGUAUACAGACUUGCCAAGGGAAUUACAGUUUUUCGUAAUGGUGAUUAAUUUCUAUGUUGAACUCACUAAGUAUUACAACAUAUAAUUUACUAUGCUACAAUUGGAAUGGCACACUGUAAAUAUCAGACCUAGUAUCAUUGUUUGACGCACUGCUAGACGAGCUCUCCACUGCCCCUAGAUGGCCAGCAUCCUGAAAUAGAAAACCAAAUCCCUCAAGGUAUUAUUGAUGAAAUUUUUAUCCUAUCUUAUUAGUUGAAAUGGAAGAGCUAGGAAGUACCAAUUGAAUGAUACCCCUGAAAUAAAGAAACUAUCUAAAGGUUGCUGCGAAACAAAAGAAACUGUCCGUAUAUUGAUCUUGACGAGGUGAGGUGGGACACUUAAAUCUGUUAAUGCCGGACCCAACACCUGGGUCAACCGUGCUUGCGGUAGAGGCAUACAUUCUACAAAUAUGAUACGUACAGGUUGCAUCUGUCCAAUUUUUAUUCUUAACAAAAUGAGUCUAUCAACCCAAAGCUAAUGAAAAACAUGGAGAAGUUUCUCUAAAAUGGUGGAUAGAAUCGUAAGGAACAUUAUAUAUGGAAGUGACAAAAUUAAAAAUACGCUGUAAAGAUGUAGUACCUGUGUAAUCCAGUUUGCGGCCGCAAUUUGGUCCAUGAUAACCUGGUUUACCUGGCGCAACUCUUUGGUCAGGUAUCCAGUUGCACCCAGGUGAAUGUUGCGCGUCGACUGGCAGGCCCUGACAAGCUUCAGCGCCCGAUACAGGGUCUCCUCGAGGUUCUCAAGCGCCUGGAUCAUCGCCUGGUCCUUCACCAUCUCCAAAUUCUCCAUCUUUGACAGGAUAGCACUUAAUCUGCUUACGCGCCUUCCGAUCUCAUAACAAUCAGCCUUAUUCUUUCGAACGGUGUCGACCGCCUCCUUGAUCUGGAGCGCAACCUCGACAAUGUUCCUCACCCUGCCCAAUGCAUCGGACAUCCUCUCUCUAGGGGAUUAUAAUCUGCAGAUCGAAAGGAUAAGGGAGUCGUAUCGAAUCAGACGAACAAGCCUGAUGAACCAACUGGAACAAACAAAAAAAGCUCUUCGAUUUUCUUUCUCAAAGCAAUCAAAGCAAAUAAAGAAGCAAGCAUAAACCUGGCGUCUUCGGCCCUCCUUUACUAGCUGCGUCAGGGAUCUCUUCCUCCAAGCUAUGGUACGCCCGGAGCAUCCGGUGUUCGCCGGGAAUCAAGUCUGCUCGAUGGGCAAGCUUAUCUGAUAGGGACAUAAACAAUUCCGUGAAAAACAAAUAAAGGCCAGUGUGCUCUGUAAGAAAUAUAAACCAAUAAAAUACAUCUUGGCAGAAUGGGGUCAAGUGGGUCUAUAGUCUAUUCUUGUGGCAGCAAGCUGAUCCUUUAUAAUAACGCUGGAUCGGAUCUCGAUCUCCUUGAAUAGCGCUCCACUAACCCACUAAUGCUUGUCUCGUACUCCACCCACCGAUACCCAGCCCAAAAACUAUGCAUCGGGGAUUGACUUAACUUUUUGUUAUUUCGAGGUCUAAUUGAUAACACUGUUUGAAUUACGUAUGGGUUGCCUGCUGCUGGUAAAUACAUCUAUUUAUCCGUCAGCAAAAACAUGCCUGCUGGGAAAUAUUAGUUCUGACUUCUGAGCGCAUACCAGCUGUCAGUUAACAUAUUGUCUGUCAGCAAAUCCCUGCCAGGGCUUACGAUAAGUGGUCUGUCAGAAGACGUCAUCCCCCAACGGGUACAGUACGGCAUAUUACCUUCUUUGUGUUUCAUGAUGAAUGCACGGUUGUCACACCUUGAAAUUUUUGGAUCUCACGAUGUGAUUAGGAAGAAUAAUUAAACAAUGAUUUUUCUCAUAAUUUUAAAAUUUGCCAACAUUUGUUUUCUUGAUAGGAAAUUUAGUGUAGGAAAAUAAUUGGUUGUUUUUCCUAAACUAAAUGAGCUUGUUCUAUGUGUGUGCAUUCAUGCCCAUGCAUCUUGGUGUUUAUUGAGUGCAAAGGUUUUAAAAAUAUCUUUAGACGACGACCAGGUUCUUCUGAGAAUUUACCAAUUUUUUCUGGAAAUUAUUCUCAUUUUCCUAGAGCUAAAUCCUUUUCCCAAGCUCCAGUAAUUUUAUUUAGACUCCUCGUGUCCCAAACUAUCUCUAGGAAUUUUCCUGGAAUUUUUAGGAUUUUCAGAGUAUUUUUUGUGGGUUUUAUUGAAUUAUCUGGAUUUUUCUUUAUACGGGAAAUUACUUCUGAAAAUAAAAAGAAAAGAAAACCUCAACCUACCCUUUUGGGCUAAGCCCGCACCCAAAAGCUCUACCAUAGCCCAACUCUCCUUCCCUCCCUCGAGCCUCGCUAGCUCAGCCCAGUCCAGGCCCGACCAGCCAAGCCAGGCCCGAUUGGGACCAUAUGCUCUGCAGCUCUCUCCCAAGCUGCACAGGCAGGCAACGCCACCGCCACGCCCUUUUGGUGUGCGUGCCACGCCAGGCGCAGCCACCCGCGCCCUAUCAAUAGCGAAGCCCGACCCCCGCACGCCCCUGCCAUCCUCGCAAGCCACCCUGCCUCGCCUGUGCUGCGCCGCCACCUUGCAAACCCGCCAGCCGAGUCGGGCGCCGCCGCCAACUUUCCACUCGAUUCACCAGCUCCGCUGCCCGCCGGAUGAAACCGGCCCCUUCUAGAGCUUCGGGACGUCGUACAACGGUAGAAGCACCAUCGGUGUAGCCUGGGAGGAUGAGCCACAGCGACGGCUGCGUUCUCUCACCGUAUUAACUCACGUACACGUAAGAUGAACUAGCUUUGCUGGCGGUAUACAGACGCCCUCGCAACCACCGUGUACGUGCCCUAAUCUGUCCUGAAAAUUCUAGAAUGCCUUAUAUUAGGAUAGAGGGACAGAGGUGGUACUCUUCAAAUAUCUAGCCCAAAAACCAUGUCAAGAACUUACAACAUGCCUAUAAAUACCCGACUCAAUUCAUUGCAUGCUGCGACACUCCUACCUUUUGCCUUUUUCUUAACAAAUCCUUGCAAUGUAAAUAUAAAUCAUAAGCAAAUCAAAUCAAUCGAAAUUUUUUAUAUAUCGUUUCUUUGUAAAUAGCCACACCAAGAACAAUGUCUUGUAGUCUGAACAGACGAAAAUGGUGGAUGCCUUGGCUUGCUCAGGUGGCUUCUCAAACUUGUAGUCUUAAUUGAUGAAAAUGGUAAUUGCUUUGACUUGCUCGGGUGUUUUUUUGAGCCCUGGCAACCUGCCAAUUGCCUCACCAAACAAGUUGAUAGCUAGAGUUGCCCAAGCUCAAAAAGAUUAUUGUUCUUUUCUCCUUCAAUAAUGAUUUUGCUCCCAUGUUUUGUGAAGCGCUUUCCACGAUUGUUUUCACAACAUGUUCCAUACUUAUAGCUCAAUGCAAUGCAAAAGCAUCCACAUAUUCCAAUAUUAAUUCACUGGUAUGUGGAAUAUCCAACACCUUCUUGGAUUCUAAAAAUUUUGUGCCCAAGUAUCAAUAUCAGGUGCAACAUUUUCGUGUCAGUUUACCUGUCCGCAUUGCUUCACAUAUCCGUACCUUGUCAAGAAAGGUCUAUUUUCCUGACAGAGAUUUCAUUACCGUCAGUGCAAUGUGACCUUCCACAAUAGCCUGUUGCCGCUUGGUGUCCAUUGUGCUGCCACGGACGGAGUGAUCCCUUUUACAGUUUCUUUCUUUUGUUUUCUGUGGAGGACUUGAGAAGAGUCCGGUUUUCUAGAGAAUACUUUGUGCAAAUGAACAGAAGUAACGUUCCUCCCUUCUAUACGAAGUUCACGUUAGGUGAGUACUCGAUCAUGUUAUUAAUUUAAUACUAGAUACUCCUCGCUCCAUAUGGUUGCGUGAGUCCGCGAAACUUGCUGACAUUGGCUUCUAGAGCGAGGAAAUAUGUUAACAAGAAUGAGAAUAUAUAACAAGCAGCUCGUACAACUAAGUGCGCGCCUUAUCACCUAAUCACCUAGCCAAGCAUCUAAUCACGUGGGGCACCUUUUUUUAUUUGUCUCCUCUUUGAGUAUCCUAUGCUUGACUUGAACCUAGUCUUGCGUAACCAAUCCAUCUUCUCCCGGGUUACUUUACAAGUUUUGAACUGAAUCAACACAGGAAUUUUCGUGGAAUUUUUAGGAUUUUUUGAGUAUAUUCCGUGGCUUUAAUUGAAUUAUCUGGAUUUUUCUUUAUACAGGAAAUUACUUCUGAAAAUAAAAAAAAGAAAACCUAAACCUAACCUUUUGGGCCGAGCCCGCACCCGCGAGCCCAACCAUGGCCCAGCUCUCCUUCCCUCCCUCUAGCCUCGCUGGCUUUCCGCUCGAUUCACCGGCUCCGCUGCCCGCCGGACGAAACCGGCCCCUUCUGGAGCUUCGGGACGUCGCCCCGCACACCCGCCGCUACACCCUGUCGUCGUUUGGCCGCCGGAGGAGCCCCGCCCUGUGGAGCCCGAACUAGCCGCCGCCUCCACAGUCCGCCAUCGAUUCCGGCCGGUGCCGUCGUCCUCUACCGUCGGUGAGCACGCCCCCGUGACCCUCUCGACCUCCUCUAUCUCCUUCGCCACCCACCUAAGCCCCUACCUCUCAACCACCGGCGAUUUCAUCUCCCAGUGCGCCGUCCGCCAUGGCCAAAAGCUCCUCGAGCUUUUCCGUGGAGGCCCCUGAAGAAAUCUAUAAUUAUUCCAAGAUCUCUGUGUCUUGGAUCUUUUUUGAAAAGCCCCCUAGAUCUAUUAGGUUCCUUCAACCGAGCCCAAGCCGUGAUCUAUUUCAGAUCGAACCCUGCUCUUUAUCGUAUUCACGGGCACUAUGUGUCUCGGGAAUCUUCCUCGCUAGCCCUUGUUCUCUAGGGUUAAUCGCGAUUAGACCCCUGCAGCUUGAUUAGCUCGUAGAUCUUAUGUUUCAACUCCGUUUAACCUCUUUCUUGUUGCGUUAGAUUCAUAUCAAUUUAAAUUACGCAUUAGAAGCAAUGUUAAUCAUUUUAUCUAUUUUAUAAUUUACUUCAAAUAUUAAUAUGAUUAAGUACUUACAUACUUGUUUUUCUAAUUAAAAUACAAUAGAGUUUAACCCCGUGUUUUCAUGCUAAUGUUAAUUUGUUUAAUGCUUAUCUAAAUAAUUUUUCCAAUUAAUAGCUAACUAGAGUUAUACCUCGGUUUUCAUAGUCAAACUUAAAUUGAUUAAUGUUUAUUCAAUUUGCUUUCUAAACAAAAGUUGCAUAGGUUCUAUCUCGAGUUUUCGUAAUUAAAUGUUAAUUUGGUUAAAUAUAAAUAUAAAUAUAAAUGUGUUUCUGAAUUAUAAUUUGUCUAGUUCAACACGAAUCAUAAAGUUAUGCGCUUAGAUCUUCCCACCUAAGUUAUUUUCCAAAUAAAUGUUUAACUAGUAUAAUUUAUACAUGAACAUUUAUAAAUAAAACUUGAGUAGGAUUUACCUCGGUUUUUGCCAAUAGAGUAAAAUUUGCAUUAUUUCUAAAUUAGGGUAUUUUCUUUCCAAAAUAUCCUUUAGAUAUGUUUUGCUAAUUAAAAUAAAUCCAGCAUAUAGCCUUGUGUGCUCUCAUAAUUGUUUGAUAGCCGUCUUUGUUAGCUUUAGCUUUGUAUCUCUUUUGUAGAUCUAGUCUUCUGUAAAGCUUUAGAUCUUUGUAGUUCCAGAUCAAGCUCACACUCAGUUUCUUUCACAAAUCUAGCCAAGCCUUUCCUUUUCAAGCACGGUUUGUGUGCUUUAGUGAUCCAAAUAGUUUAUCUUAGAGUUUUUGUUCUGCCUAAUAGUUUUGGUCUUCAUGAGUAGUUUGGUGCUGCUCAUUUCCCUAGCUAGUAUAUUUUUUAUCAUGCUUGUUUCCUGUUCCUCUUAGAAACCUGUUUAUCAAAAGCUAGCUCAUAAUUACUAUGUCCUAGUUGUCUCUUUGUGAGUCAGCUAUGUUCGUUAUGGCCAAACCUUUCGCAGCCAUCUCUUUAGAGCUAAUCUUGUUAGUUGUGUCUCUAUCGACCAGUUCAGUUUAGCUUUGACUAGUUUGUUAUCUUUGCAACCUAGUUGCUCUCUUUGUAGACUAGUUUUCCCUAAACCAUAGUUUAAGGUUUUCUUCUGCGCUCUAAAGUCUGAUUUUGAUGUUCUUGUUCACUUAACCAUAACUUAUGCGAUAGCAAUGUGUAUUGCCUGUUGCUUGUCUUUAAAAUCAAAAUUGAAUGUCAAUUUGACUAAUACUUAUUAAACCAGUUUUCUAAUUAAAAGUUUACUAGUUAUACAAUAUGGGAUUUCAUAUAAAAUUUUAAACUUUACUAAUUCUUAUUCAAUUAGUUUUCUACAUAAAAAUUUAUUAGGUUCUAUCCCGGAUUUCAUAAACUAAGAUUUAAUUAAUUAAUUCCUAUUUAUAACUAGCUUUUCUAAAUAAAAUAUACCUAGUGUCAUACAUCAUUUUCCAUGAAUGAAGUUAAUAUGCUUAAUGGUAUUAUAAACACCUUUUUCACAUUAAUAUGUUUAGCUGAACACAAAAUACAAAGUUAUUCGAUUAGAUGUCUUAUACAUGCUCUGUGUUUCUAAAGUUAACUGUUAAAUUGGUGUAACUUGUACUUCAAUAUUUACAAAUAAAAUAUGAUUAAAUUUAUCACGUUUUCAAUGUUCAAAUAUACCUUCUGUUAAUUCCAACUAAGGAUAUUUCUCUAAAAUAUCUACGCAUUGUUUUUUAUUAAAAUCUAAAGUUAACUGUUAAAUUGGUGUAACUUGUACUUCAAUAUUUACAAAUAAAAUAUGAUUAAAUUUAUCACAUUUUCGAUGUUCAAAUAUACCUUCUGUUAAUUCCAACUAAGGAUAUUUCUCUAAAAUAUCUACGCAUUGUUUUUUAUUAAAAUAUAUCAAGCAUAUAGUCUUUUUAUUUCUUUGAUAAUUCAAACCUCUCGAUAGCUUUGUCUUUUCAUCCAUAGUUUCAUUUUCAGCAUUUUUUCUACGUUGCGAUCUUAGAAUCAAGCCCUAUCCUUUGGUAUGAUCUUUUAAAGCUUUUCUUUUGAUUGGUGUACUGUUCUUAGUUGUGCUUGUUUGUUUGCUCUGUAUGGUUGUGCCGAUGAUUGUUUUGAGUAGAAGGAUUGCUAUUCGAAAGCUUUGAAGAUUAAGAGUUUCAAGAGAGCAAGAGCUGAAGAGCAGUAAGAGUAAUUUUUCAUUGGAGAAAGGCAAGUGUCCCCAACCUUCCUUCUAUCUAUGAUUAUUUAAAUACCAUGCAUGCAUUAAUUGGAACAUUGAGCGACCACCCAAGAAAACAAUGCAACCACAAGAACUACAUGGCUCUAGUCUUGGCUAAUUAAUUAGAUACUCUUGUUUGAAGCGGUCUUACCGAAAGGGCAAGAGGGGUGACGGCAGAUGGGGUAUAACCCAACCCUCAGACCGAUAUGCUCAAUGGUAGCUUCGCAGUCUUGAGAGAGGUUUACGCUCUGCUACUUAUCCGGAAACCUUAGCUGGCUACAUCUUAUUAGGGAAUCUUUGUAGAGGUCUUAUAGCUUCCCUAUGCAGUCACAUCUCGGUAGUGUGAUGAGUGCUUGAUUAGCACAGUAUGGUUGGGUCUAAAGUUUUUCUGAACUUCUACGCAACUUGUGGUGAAAAUGUACAACUUCUGCAGAGUGUUAUAUCAACUGUGCUCACAGUCAAGAGUGGCCUGAACCCUCACAUGAUUAAUAAACUUGAAGAUAUACUUAAAUCAUUAUUUUGGUUAUUUUUUGUGUUCUUGCUGAGUAGCAACCAUAAGUGUACUCACCCUUGCUAACCGCUGCUCAGAAUAAGGUGUCUGAAGUUAUUGAAGAUGAUGCUAGGCGUACGCAGCCCCAAUUGAUUGCUUGUGAAGUCUGAAGUCUUUGUUUUCAGGAUUAAGCUGUAUAUCUCUGAUAGACUCGUAAAUUUUUAUUUAUAUUCCUUUACGUGAUACUGUUACUGUUAUUCACUGAUAAUGUCACUAUAUGUAUGAUACUUGAUUAUGGGAUACAUAGGUAGCACUUGGUUUUGUUUUAAAAUCUGGUGUGACAUCGGUUCACAUCAAGCGUGACGAUAAGAAUUUAUAUAAAUGUUGCCCAACCACCCGAAUAUCAUAAAUUGAAGGUAUGUUUGAUUUUUUUACCAUACUUACCUGUGGCUAAACUCCAAAUGCUAGUUUUAGAAUAGUCGUAAUGGAAUUGCCAAGGGCGAGAGAAGAAUUGUUACUGUUGUGCCAUAACCCACAUUGGCUUAUGUGUCUAGACAGCUUAGAUGUCCAGCGUGGCCUAGCGCAUUUUAUGUAAACAUUUACAGGUGCACUGCUGCUGAUUUUAUGUAAUUAUUAAACCUAAUGCAGUUUCAUCAUGGCAAGAUGCAUUAAAGAAAGAAAGGGAAAGACAAAAUGAAAUACACCAAAGAGUUCAGUUCCAGCUGAAAACGUGUCUGCCCCAAGCGAGCUCCUAUACAUCUUCUGUGUUGAUUGCACAGCCCAUAAGGCCCAGCAAUUUACAGCCCAAGCAGCAAUAAUACACAUGCGCCGCAGGCCCCAAUACGAAUAUGUAAGUAUGGGGAAAAAAAAAGAUACGUACCACCUAAGCAGCAUGCCACGGCAGGCCCCAUCAGCCACCAGCCGAAGAUACGUGUUGCUUUACUAUUUUUAUUCAUAUUCCAUUCUACAGUAAUCCUCCUAAUACUAUAUUCAACAUUUUGUGCGAAUUGAUUCAAACAUUCAAAAUAACUAGUUAAACAUUUUGAUAAAACGAAUGCAAAAUUUUCUUAAAAUGUUGAAAUAGUAUAUUAAAAAUGUUGAAUAAAAUGUUGGAAUAGUGUAUUAAAUUUCAACAUUUUUUAUAAAUGCAAAUUCAACAUUUUUAAUAAAAUAUUGAAAUAGCGUAUUAAAAAUGUUGAAAUAGAAUUUAUGAUCUAAUAUAUUCAAAUAAUAAACUAAUAUAGUUAACAUUUUAAAUAAUAGAUUCAUCAUUUCUUUGCAUACUUAACUGUUGGGUAGUUCAUCAAAAAUUUUGAAUUUUAAAAAUUAGCAAAGAUAUAUUCGGAUAUCAUUAUGUUCGAUUAAUUCUCAAUAAUGUAGUGGUUUAAACGAUUAAAAAGGGUUCCCAGUUUGGGAGAAAAAUGCAUUUGAAGUUUGGAAUCCAAAAGCACCAUGCAACCACCACAAGAACCACACUGUCUGUCCUCCCCAUCAGCCGUGCAUGUUCUUUUCUACCUGGAGCCAUGGUGCGCCUGGGCUGUUGCUGUCAAUUGUGGUGGAAAAGGCAAAAUCAUUCCUACAGCUUGGAGAGUACGACACAAGUCGCGAGCAUUGGAAGAUGCUUAAGAAAAAAUUCUUCAAGAAGACACAUAGGAUUUCCAGCCCGGUCCAGCCUAGAAGAGUUUGACCCGCCCAUCAGUCUGUUCAGGCCUAUUAACUUCAGGUCCAAUUAGAAUGUGGGUCGUCCAUUCUCUCUCCUCUCAUAAAAAGACUCGUUCUGUCCUGCGUAACCCAUGGGCCGGCCCAGCUUCCUGUCGCGCUCGUGCCCAGAGCUCGCAGACGGAGGACGGGGAGCCACCAGUGUGGCACUCCGAGGGGCGACCGCGGCGGCGGGGGCACUGAGCAGUGAGCACAGCACAACCCAAUGCUAGCGCAUCGGAGAAGGGCGCGGAUGCCUCGACGAUCUCCGAAGGGUCCCACUGUAAUCUCGUCCGCCAUGUCCGACGGCCUCCUGCAGCCGCGUGCGUUCAAGCAGGUGAGAUCCCACAACUAAGGUUCGUGGCCACGGUCGGAUUCCCGGCCUGAAAGAAACUUAUCAGCCACCUCGUUCUGUUCAUGCUUCUUUGUGCUCUCCAAAUUAAAGUUUCCCCAAUUUUGAUGUAAAUUUCGGUCACGCGCAUGUGGUGUGGCAGUCACCGGAGUGUUGGCAAUACACAUAAAAUCGACAAAUACAUAGACAUCGUAGAGUCUUGGCACUAUGCAUAACUAAUAUCUUACGAAUUUCCCUGUAUGGUCUAACAAGUGCCCUGAAAGGUUGUAACAAGUCUAAGAUGGUGUAGCUUAGUCUCCACUUACCGUCCAUAUCGACCGAGUCUGAGGAGGACGUUACUUCUUCCAGAUGCUGACAAACAACUGCAGAGCACUCCGUCCAUCCUUCUUACUCGCAUUGAGCCCCUUCUCUCCUUCUCGAGACCAAUUCCAAGAGGCAAAACUUUUGGAAACUUUGGAGCAAUGGCAUGGUGCUUAAGUGUAUUAUUGUCAUGCGGUGCAGAACCUGAUUCCUUUCACCCAUUAUUAUUGUCAUGCGGUUGAUUCUGAAAACUUUAUUUUGCUCAGGUUCUAUUUCCAUGUUGCAGAGCCUCCAUGCCUGGUCGAGGCACUUUGUCCUCAACAUCAACUAAAGGUGUGUUUGGAUGGAGGGACGUGACGGAAUGGGAUCAUCCCACUUUUACAUAUGUUUGGUUGGAGGUUAGGUGGGACGAGGACGGCAUCAAAGUAAAAUAUUCUUCGAAAAAGAGGGAUGAAACAGUUCCUCCAAAUCGGUCGGACCAAUCCGUCCCACUUCGAUGACACAAACACCGUGACGAGCAAGACGACACAAACGCCGUGACGACACAAACGCCGUGACGAGCGAGCGCCUCGAGCGCAAGCGCACGUCCAACUCCAGCGCAGCGCCACGAGAAAAGCCAGGCGGCAGGGGCACGUAGCUCGGGCGGUAGAGGAAUGGAGCUGGGUGGUGGGGAGGGUGGAGCCCGGUGGCGCAGGGGACCGCCAGGAGGAGACGGGGAUCGACCUCCUGGGUUCCAGUUCCACCCCACCAACGAGGAGCUGGUGGUGCAGUACCUCCGUCGGAAGGCCCUGUCCCGCCUGCUGCCCGCUGCCAUCAUCCCCGUCAACCACGACCAUGCCAGGCUGGAUCCAUGGGACCUCCCUGGUGCGUCCGCACGCUCUCUUUCAGAUUAAUGGGAAGGAAGGCUGAGACAGAGUGUUCUGAUGUUCCUUGAUUGAUUGGUGUGUGUACAGGAGCGAGCGAAGGGGAGGGGUACUUCUUCAGCGCGCCUUCGUCGAGCAGCGGCCGCUGGAGGAGAGCUAGCAGCGGGUACUGGAAGGCCACGGGGAAGGAGAAGCCUGUGUUCCUGCAGUGCGGCGGCAAGCGGCAGCUGCUCGUGAGCGUCAAGACGGCGCUCGCCUUCCAUCGCAGCGAGCCGUCAUCGUCACAGGGGACCGCCGGUAGGAGACGGGAGGGCGAAGCCUGGCGGCGCGGGGUGGUGUGGGCCUCGGCUGCGGUGGCGCGGGUGAUUGCGCCGCGACACGCCGAGAAGGGGAUGAGGCUCUGAGGCUAAUAGUGAGCUCCGCGGCUAACGGAAUACAAACACCGUUUAUUUCAUCGGUCCUCAUCCCUCAAACCAAACAACGAAAUUAGGAUGUUCCCAUCUUUCCAACCAAACAUUAAGUGGGAUCAUCUCAUCCUAAAAAAGAGGAUGAUCCUAUCUCAUCCCACCUGUCCCUCCAUCCAAAUACACCCUAACUGCGCCGGUCGAUGUGAUUGCGACUGCUUGUUCUUACCGGACUGGUUAUAUGAAGCUGGCAUCAGAAGUAACCAGGUUCUGAUCCUCCCUGUGUUGAGUUCCAGCUAAUAUCACUCUAGGAUCAGUGCAAUGAAUGGUUUCUGUGAAAUCCAUCUUCAUCUCCUUUCGUUCCAAAAAACUAUCCUGUUAUCUAAGGAAGCUCCCAACUGCAAUCCACUCCUCCGUAUUUUUUGGGUCCCGGAAGAUAGAACUCUUUUUCAGUGUACAUUCUAUUUUCGGUAUAAUUAACAUACAUUAUGAAAAUCUAAGAAUGAGGCCCCCUCCCCCCGAGAGAGGCGACGCCCAUGGUGACACCCCGCCCGUACACCAACCUCGUCCCAGACCCCCCACCCCAGUAACCUCCACCAACCAACCGGCCCCAGAUCCGAGCGCAUCUGUAGAAGACCUCCAAGCUCGUACUAGCCGUGUCGUGAGGGAGCAAGAGAAGGAGGAGAUCGAGUUCACUCAGAAGAAGGUCCAAGAUCCAGAUCCCAUCGGUGAGGUCGCAGUACAGGAGCAGUUAUCGCCGGAAGAUCGACAGUCUGGCCAAGCUAUGCAUACCCAGAGGCUAGAGGCAGCGACGGAGGCCAGCAUCCUCCCGGAUCUCGUCCAAGAUUUGCGAGCACAAGCUAGCCUUAAGUCGACGCGGCUGGAAACAGGCAUUGAAUGCGACGAGGCAAAUCACACGCCAAGCACAAGCAUGCCAGUGAGGCUGGCGAGGGGCUCGACGAGGAAGAAGAAGACCGGUGGUUCGCGCCCUCCUCCAACGGCUUGUCAAGCAAGAGAAUCCACAAAAUCUGCCGCACAGCAGAGUUUUUGAGCCUGUAAAGCAGAAGCUCACCAGCGCAGUGAAAGGAAAAGGAGCAGGGACAGAACGGCAACCAUGCCAGCCAUCAAAUCUGCAUCAGAGAAGGGAGCAGAGCAUUUCAACAAGCAGCUGGCAAAAGCAGCGGGGUCAAUGCUUGAGAGAAGGGGAGGUGGGUAACCUUCAAUUCCCCUCUCCUCCAUUCAGGUCCAGCUCAAGGAAUAGACAGCAAUGACAUCAGCAACAAGAUCCGACCAUGGACAAAUCUUCAAGGACACAACACACUGCACUGCAGUCAGAGACCUGGAUUGAUGAACACGGCUUCCAAGUGGUAAAACCAGCAUAUUGGUGGCGAAGGACUGGAGACCAUUCAAGAGAAGAUUCAAGGCUUCACCAACCGGACAUGGAAGAGCAUAGGAGGAAGAGGUACAGGGAACAUGUCAGGGGAAAAUGUCUCAAUUGUUUCUCCACAGAACACAAAGCAGCUGAAUGCAAGCAACGCACUAAAUGCUGAAGAUGUCUGCAGACGGGGCACAAGGCCCUCGCCUGCCCAACCUGGAGAGACCAUGUUAAAAGGCCACCACCGGAGACUUAUUCUCAUUCUUGUCAAACCAAGACCAUCCCCACCACCACAUCUUUCCCCCCACUCCUGCUGGCCGGACCGUCUGCACGGCCGGCCGUUUCUACCUUCGGGCAGCAAAGGGCGAGGCAGCUCCCAUGGCGACAUACCCGGGUGACCCGCGUGCCCGCCCAGAAUACGCGGUCUGUGCGCUCUCAGCGACUGGGCACAUCAAGCGCAAGCAGGAGUCCAUGAUCGGCAAGACAGCAGUCUGUUGGCUCAACGGCAACAGCCACGACAUGGAGAUAUGCCACGUCGCUGAUGCCCUUGAAGAACAGCUCCUCAUCAGCCGCCAUGAAGUGCGCGUCGUCAAGCACUUCCCCGAGCAAUAUCUGGUGUUCUUCACCGACUGCCGAGCAUACCAUCGCGCUAUCGACCAGUGGGGCGUCCACAAAUGAGGAAGAGUCUUCAACUUCGAGCCAUGGACAGAGCGUUGGAACGUCGUGGAGAGCAAGCUAGAGUUCCGGGUCAGGCUGCGCAUUGAGGGAGUGGCGCUGCUGCAUGCCUGGUCCGAGGAGGUGGCGGCCCAAGUCAUUGGCCAAUACUGCGCCAUCCACUACGUUGAGGAACACGCACGCCAGUAGGAGUGCACACGAACCUACGAUCUGUGGGCGUGGUGCUCCAACCCCCAAGAUCCCUAAGAAGUUGCUGCUCACCAUCACCGACCCUGACAGGGAGCAGCCGGCAAUCGACAUCCCGCGGCAGCUCGUCAACCCCAACCACGACACACCUGAUGACAUCAAGGGCGCGUACAACUACAAGCUGCACAUCCACCUCGACGUGGUCGAGGACCUCUCCUUCCUCAGAGGGAGGGACGGAGGGGACGGAUAGCACAACAGGAGGCCAUGCCGUGAGUUCCUCUGAAACUACGGGGCACCGGACUCCCAGGGGGAACGGCGCAGUGACCAGUACCAUGAUAACUUUGCAAGCCGCGACUACCACCCACGCCGUGACAGAGACGACCAUGACGACCAGCACCAUCGAGGCACAAGGCGCCACCGUAGUGCCUCUUCCUGGGGGCGAGUGACGCGCUGCCGCGGAGCCAUGGAGGACUGCUACAGCUCCACACACCGCAACGGCAACUAGGUACACUCGGGUCGCCACAACAGAGUCCAGAACAACACAGCUGGCCAGGACAACAAAAGCCAUUCUCUGAUGGCUUGGCGCAAGAAGAGCACAGGAGGCAAGAAGGUCUCCUUUGCAAAUCCUCUGGUGCAGAUCAUGGGUGAGUUUGAGUUUGACCCUAGUUGCUAUCAUUUCCCAGCGCCUUCGAAUUCUGACUUGGUGGGUGAGUGGUUUGACCCCAUGAGGGAAGAGAUGCUCAUCCCUAAUAUUUUUGUAGGCGACCCAGGCAAGGAGGAUCGUAUCCUGAACAUGCUGCACUCGGCAGUGGGAUGGACCCCGGUUGCUUCACCAAGGAGUGCUCCGGAGGAAGGCGAGCUGCCGGAGCCAGUGACCGAGCUGCAGGAACCAGAAGGGCACAACAUGCAUUCGCCAAUCACCAACAAGCAGUCACAGGUCUGUCUGGUUUCUACUCCUCUAGAUGCAUCAGUGAGGCACACACAACAAGCUCAAAUUUCAGAAACUGUCAACACGGAAAACACUAGCUCAUCGCCUUUUGCACAGUACACCAACAGAGUAGAGCCCCCUAAUGUCAACAGAGAAGAGGUGAACGGUAGCAACAUCAUUAGUGAAAAUAACAACAACAUAGCAGCACCGCACAACACCGUAGCUACUUCAGUUAUAUGCAAUGAUCAAGAUAUGGUAGCCACUUCUGUUGAAAAUGGGGAGGGUAACAUAGAGGUCGGUGAGGGUCCUAAAUUUGACGACCUUUCAGCUUUCAUUGAUUUCAUAGCCUGCAAGCCAAAUGCGCAUAUUGUUUGCACUCCACCCAGAGCAAACCCCAUCACAUCAGGCAACGAAAAUCAGGGCCAAAACACAGCACAAAGAAAAAGCUCUAGGCUAGCGGAUAAAGCUAAGCUAAACCCGGGCAAGGACAGCACCCAACUUGCCCAAAAAGUCCUUAGUAAUAAGCUUGGGGAGCUGUCUCCAAAGUCGAAAGUUAAUUCUAAUGCUGAGGUUGAUCAUUUGGUGCAGCACCUUCCAAAGCCACUGACGGACCUGAAGAUGAUGGCCAUCAAAACCUUGGUGGAGCAGGGAAACCAGGCCAAGCACAAGAACAUGAAGAGGAGCAAGAUCACUCCAUCAGCAAUUGGAGAGAUGGAGGCCCAAGUGGCCUGAGGGAUAACCAUCCAGGGAGGAAGCGUUUCAGUGGUUUUUACUUCCCUAAUGUUAGGCAUAAAAUAAUUGAACUUAAACUUAGUCGAAUCUGUAUCUUUAAAUGGGCCAACAAUUAGGCCCUGCGACUUCAGCGGUGCUUUGUAUCGGGCAGAAUGCCCAGCAUCGACGUCCACGAAGCUCGCCAAGCUCUCCUCGAGGCAAUGCUUUAGUGAAAAAACAAGUCUCCUGGGACUUCUCAGCUUUGUAUCAGGACCAUGCGCCAAGCAAUGUUGUCCGCAGGUUGACGCUUUCCAUGAGUCUACUAUUAGUUGUGCACCUCUGAUCCAUGUCACAAAAGGAUUGUAAUGUGUUGUGUUGGAAUGUUCGUGGGCUUAAUGUGGCAGCUAGGAGAGCAAGUGUACGAAGCACGAUUCGUUCAUCCGGAGCAACGAUAGUAUGUCUGCAAGAGACCAAAAUAGCACACUGGACAUCUAAACUCGUGGCAGACACCCUGGGCAAUAAUUUUGCAAAGAACUUUGCUGUGUUACCAGCCCUUGGCACAAGAGGAGGCAUCCUUAUAGCGACAACGGUGAACCAUUUUGAUAUGCACAACAUCCACACCAUCGAUCACACAGUAUCCACAACAAUCACUAUGAAAGUAGACAAAAAAAUCUUGGACACUCACUUGCGUCUAUGGCCCUCAGGAUGAACACGACAAGCUACUAUUUCUAGAGGAACUGAAGAGCCUAAAAGAACAAGUUCUCACGGAAUGGCUCAUAGUUUGUGACUUUAACCUUAUAUAUAAGGCAGAGGACAAAAGUAACAAUAGGCUCAACAGAAACUUGAUGAAUCGUUUCAAGCAGGCAAUUGACAAGAACCAACUGAUGGAAAUCGACCUCCACGGAUGGUGUUUCACCUGGAGCAACGAACAAGAUCACCCAACAUUCACAAGGAUAGACAGGUUCUUCGGUACACCAGAAUGGCAUCUUCUCUUCCCAAACCUUGACUUGCAAGCCUUGCCAACCAUGGGCUCAGAUCACUGCCCAUUAUUUUUAACAGGUGACGUAGAGAGACAGAACUAUAUGGGCUUUCACUUUGAAUCUUAUUGGGUGAACAUGCCAGGUUUCUUAGAGACUAUACAAGAAGUCUGGAGCCAGCCAGUGCAUACUCAAGAUGCCAUACUGCGUAUGCAUGUCAAACUCAUUCGCACAGCAAAGGCACUUAAAUUGUGGAAGAGAAAAAACCUUGGCAAUCUAGCCCUUAGACUGGCAAUAGCCAAUGAGGUGCUAUGCUUCUUGGAUGCAGCUCAGGAACAAAGAGCCCUUACAACAGAGGAAUUAGAAUUUCAACGAUACCUAAAAGCGAAGUCGGUGGGCUUAGCAACGGUUCAGAGAGCCCGUGCAAGACAACACUCCCGGCUCACAUGGAUGCGAAAAGGAGACGCAUGCACACGCCUGUUUAUGCUGCAUGCUAACAACACAAGAAGAAAUCUACACAUCCCGUCCUUAACCACCGUAAAUGGAACAACAAUCAACAACCACCAGCAAAAAGAGGAAAUAAUAUACGAUCACUUCGUAAACCUGUUGGGCAAAACACAAGAGAGAUCCCUCAGCCUAAACUGGACAAAUCUCGGAUGUCAUCCACAUGACUUGACCGACCUGGAAGCACCAUUUGAGGCAGAAGAAAUAAAAAAGGUCGUCAUGCACUUACCAGCAUAAAAAUCACCUAGCCCGGAUGGAUUUAUUGGUCUAUUCUAUAAGAAGUGUUGGGAUGUGAUCGGAGAGGAUCUGAUCCAAGCUCUUCAUGCCUUCCACUCCCUUAGGACCAGACGCAUGGAAUUGAUUAACGAGGCCAAUAUCAUUUUGCUGCCAAAGAAAGAAGGAGCAACCAUGGUUGCAGAUUUCCGACCCAUCACUCUCAUUAAUAGUCUAGCCAAGAUCAUAACAAAGGUGCUAGUAGAUAGGUUGGCUCCGAGACUGAAUGAGCUAGUUUCCGGAUGUCAGAACACCUUCAUCAAAAAAAGAUGCAUUCAUGACAACUUCGUCUACGUACAUAGUGUAAUCAAGGCGUUGCACAAAUCAAAGAGACCGGCACUCUUUGUAAAACUCGAUAUCUCAAAAGCAUUUCAUUCGCUUAAUUGGGUAUUUCUCAUCGAAACAUUACAGGCCCUAGGUUUUGGCCAAAAAUGAGAGAUUGGAUUACAACACUAUUAGCCACCUCAUCAUCCAAGGUGCUACUUAACGGGAGACCUAGGAAAAAAUUGAAGCAUGCUAGAGGCCUCCGUCAAGGAGACCCACUAUCACCCAUGUUGUUCAUCCUUGCCAUUGACCCACUCCAUAAAAUGGUGGAACUAGUAGCCGGCAACAACAUCAUAAGACCAAUCCUCCCCAGAGCGGCAAAGCUACGAUGCUCCCUUUAUGCAAAUGAUGCAGCUAUUUUUACAAACCCAGACAGAGAAGAACUACAACGUAUCGGACAGUUGUUACAUAUCUUUGGAGAAUGUUCAGGACUCAAGAUAAAUAUGACUAAAACGGAAAUAUUCCCUAUCCGGUGUACCAAUGAAACCAUCUUAGAAGCUCUAGAGCACUUCUCGGGAAAAAUUUCCUCCUUCCCUGGAAAAUAUUUGGGCUUGCCUCUUCACAUGCGCAAACUCCGAAGGGUGGACGUCCAACCAUUAAUUGACAAGAUCGGUGGAAGGCUUCCUGGAUGGAAAGGUAAAAUGUUAUCGUCGGCCGGGAGAGAAACACUGGUGAAGAGUGUAUUAACAUCACAACCAAUAUAUCACCUCACAGUUUUCCCUACUCAAAAAUGGCUGAUCAAACAGAUUGAUCACCUACGUCGCAGUUUCCUUUAGAAAGGAGAGGAACCAAAAAAGGUCAAUGGAGGACACUACUUGAUUAAAUGGCCAACAGUAUGCACGCCUAAGGACAUGGGAGGGCUCGGGAUUCUCAACCUCGAGAGACUUGCGAGGGCUCUAAGAAUGAGAUGGUGCUGGUUCCAGUGGAAGUAUAGUGAGAUACCUUGGGUAGGACUUGAUAUCCCGUGCGAUAAGAAUGAUAAAGACCUAUUCUAUGCGUCAACAGUAGUAAUGGUGGGCAAUGGAAAGAAAGCAAACUACUGGAUAGCGCAGGUUUACCCACUCAUGACAGGAGAGGAAAUCAGAGAGUAUGUGCAGCUAUUUGAGGAAAUAAACAUGCUACAACGUGACACUAAUGCGGAGGAUGAAAUAUCAUGGAGGUGGACGCAGGACGGGGAGUAUACCACAAAGAGUGUAUACCGUAUACAAUUCCAAGGCCAACUGAAGAAGUUGAGUAUCACCUCAAUAUGGAAAGCUAGAACUGAACCAAAAUGCCGGAUCUUUGCCUGGCUUCUCCUGCAUAGGAAAAUCUUAAUAGCAGACAACUUGGAAAAGCUGGGGUGGCCUAAUGACCCUCAGUGCAAGCUAUGCAAUUCGGACCUGGAGACACCCACACACCUGUGCAAAGACUGCCCUUACACAACGGCAGUCUGUGACCGGCUGCAGGGAUGGUUUUCUCUUAACCACUUACCCCCAGGCAACACAUCGCUUUCGAUCCACAAGUGGUGGAAGAAAUGUAGGAGCAUGAUCGACAAAAGGAACAAAACUUUCUUUGACGGCCUCAUCAUAUAUUUCUAGUGGAACAUUUGGAAAGAGCGCAACAGACGAAUCUUUAAUCACGAAACCAAACUGGUGGAAGACGUCGCGUUCUCUAUCAAAGAAGACAUCCAACAGUUCCAGUUCGCCAAUAAAACGCAUGAAGCUCCCGCGGUUGAGCCAACCUAGCAGCAUUUUUCAUCUUUUAAAGUGGGGUUUUGAAGUGGAGCUCGUAGUUGUUGUUGUUUUUUCCUUUCUCCCUAGGGAGUGCUAUUUAGUUGGUGCAGUGAGAGCCAUGUACAUAGAGUUAUUUUUUGUUUUAUUUUCUUGUCUUGUUUGGUUUUACCUCUUCUAAUAAAAAUUCGGCAAAGCUUUUGCCGUCCGUUAAAGAAAACAUACAUUAUGAUAAUUUUAUAAAUUUUAAUGGAGACGGGGAUGCAUAUGAUAUACUCCCUCCAUCUAUAUUUAUAAGGCGUGGAAGGACUUAGCACGGUCUUCCAAAUAACACUUUGACCCUUUAUUUAUCUUAUAUUAUAGUAUUUAUAGUUAUAAACUUAUAAUCAUCGUAGAGUAUAUUUGAUUACGAAUCCAACUAUAUAAAUUUUGAAUUAUAAAAAUAAAAAAAUAAUAGUUAAAUUAUUGGUCAAAAAUUGUAAAGUUUAAAUCUUGAUAUGCGUGUGCGCCUUAUAAAUAAAAACGGAUGGAGCAUAUCCCCCAAAUGUUUCUAUAUAUUGUGGAACUCAACUUAACUGAAGGAUAUAAAGACAAGAUUUUCAUAGGAAAUCGAACCAUUUUAAGAGGCGGUUCACACGAGGGAUCUCCUAGGAUAAUGCUAUUUGUGCACAACCAUACCCUUACAUGAACCGUCUCUGGAACCAGAAAUCAUUCCGUUUUCACUUACGGCAGACACGAGUGUAAUGGAGCCGUACAGGUGCAGGAGGGCGAUCCCCAUCUAGACUUUAAUUUGGCCAUGUGGAAGUAGGACACACUAUCUCUAGCACCAGCACCAUGUGUAGUUGGUCCCCCGUGUAUGCAUCAAUGCUGCACCUAUCGACUGUGACCUGGCACCUAACCGGACAGUUGGUUACGGUAGCCAUUCUUGUGAUUUCACAACUCAAAGGCAUCGUUUAUCCUCCCUCUCCCUGCUGCUGCUCAUCCUCCCUUCACUGAACUACUUGUUGCAAUCAGAAGAAAGAUCAAUCGAGUUGAAGAGACAGAUCGGAAGCUAGUCAACGUUGAUUGGUUCGUGAGUGAUGUUAUGAUCCGUCCCUCUGUUAUAACCAUCCAACCCAGCUGGUGCAGAAGCUAAUUACCUGAAGCAAUAUAUUUGUAGAAACGAAUAGUAAUAUAUUUAUAGAAACGAAUAGUACUGGUUAGUUCACUUAUUUCUUUGCUCAAACUUAGCCGUUUGGCAAGGCUUCGUCUUGGGUUAAAAUGACUCCGGAGCUUCGGCUCAUCAAGCAACUUUUUAUAUCUCUAGCUCAUCCUAUUAAAAAAUAUUUGGUAAAAUGAUUUCUCCAAAUUAGUUUGAGGUUGAUAGAAAGAUAAAAUGUCCAAAAUACUCUAAGAACAUAUAUUUUUCAUUCCAUUUUUUUCUUUUCCAUCAUUCUUUUAUUCCAUCUACUAUUUUUUCCUUACGCUUUUUUUUUUGGCCAGGUGUGCCUUAUCCGCUUCGGCCCUUCCCACCAUGCCUUUUUUCCUAUUUCUUUUCUUGCCGAGCGUGCUUUAUCUCCUUCGUUGACUUCAGUAGCACCUGUUGCGUUCGAUGCUCGCGCGGCAGCCCGGGGACCUCGACCUCGCCCGCCUAGGAGCUCCAGCAGCCGGUCCGCUCCGCCGCCGGUGCGGCAACCACGCCGUCGUCAGACCGCCUCACGCGGCCACCGGUCGUCCCCGCGAUACACCGCCGCCGGUGCGCCGUGCGCGGCGGCGCUGUCCCGCCGCUCCGCCGCCUACCGUCGGCCUGCGCCACCACCAGCGCACCGGCAGCACCGCGAGCUGCCGCGCCGCCCCGACAUUGGUCCUUCCCGAGCCCGGUGUCGUCACCAGCGUCGCGGAGAGAAGGUAAGGGGAGUGGCAAUUUUGCAGUAGUUUUGACGAACUUGAGGAGCAAAGUUAAAGCACAUGGCUGUGGGGAAGAGGAGAAGCGGGGAAAGCUACUUUUUAUGACUCACGCUGCUCAGUUCGAUUUGAUGAUUGGCUUCACACCGGCUUUUCCUGUGAAGCCCUUUUCAACUCACCCGUUUGGUAGGGUUUGGCCUGAAGCCGGUUCAUAAGCGGGAGCCAGAGCCCUACCAAAACUAUUUGGUGAGACUAUGAGCCGUUUGGUUCUCUGACUUAUUUUUAGCACAUGUCACAUUGAAUGUUUAGAUACUAAUUAGGAGUAUUUAACGUAGACUAUUUACAAAACCAUUACACAGCUGGAGGCUAAAUGGCGAGACGAAUCUAUUAAGCCUAAUUAGUCCAUAAUUUGACAAUGUGAUGCUACAUUAAAUAUUUGCUAAUGAUGGAUUAAUUAGGCUUACUAGAUUCAUCUCGUCGUUUAGCCUCUAUCUGUGCAAUUAGUUUUAUAAUUAACUCAUAUUUAGUCCUCCUAAUUAGCCUCCAAAUAUUCGAUGUGACACGGACUAAACUUUAGCUCAAGGAACCAAACCUCGCAUAAAUUAGCUGCUUAUUCUGCUGGUUGCAUGCAGGAGAUCGAGCUGCGGGCACACGGCCGGAUCGGAGGAGGACAUAUCAGCCGGGUUCCUGUUGGUUGUGUACUUGUGUUCCUGCCAGCGGAGAAGCAACCAUGGCCGAGUUAGUGAUCGGGCCACUGAUCUCCAUGGUGAAGGAGAAGGCAUCCAGCUACCUGCUGGACCAAUACAAGGUGAUGGAAGGCAUGGAGGAGCAGCGCAAGACCCUGGAGCGCAUGCUGCCAGCAAUCCUGCAAAUCAUCCAGGAUGCGGAGGAGAAAGGAGCCUCCCGACGAGGAGUAGCAGCUUGGCUCAAACACCUCAAGACAGCAGCCUAUGAGGCCAACGACGUCUUUGAUGAGUUCAAGUACGAGGCGCUUCGGCGAGAAGCCAAGAAGAAGGGCCACCACAGCAAGCUUGGAG